GAGAGGCCUUCAAUGAAGGAAGUUGCACAAGUGCUUGAGGAUGUAAGAAGACUCAGGUGCGAACAUCCAUGUGCUGAAGUUGCUGUUAAUUUGGAGGAAACAGAGUUUCUGCUUGGAGAAACAUAGAUGUUUCUACUAAUAACAGCAGCCAAGGUUUCACAACAAUGGCGGUGUAGUUGUUUAGCAAGAAAUCAGAUAAUUAUAUAUAUGUAUGUAUAUAUUUGUGAUCUUUGUUGAUUUUAAAUUUGUUUUGGGACAUUUUAGGUGUUUAUAUUUUGUUGCUUAUAUGUAAGAUUCAGAAGUAAAUAAAACAGCCCUCGAGGUGUUUCAUCUUCAGUAGUAAAAUUAGAGAGUGCAACCACUCUCUAAAACUGUUGGAGCAAGAGGCAGCAGCAGCAAGCUUCAGCAGAAUGCUUGUAUGGCAAGUCUCGUGACUUGUAGGAGAAACAAAGCAAAAAACUCAAAUGGAUUUUUAAGCAAAACUAAAAAUGGAGAGCAUAUGGAUGAUAACUUCUUGAAUUCAUUCAUCAAACUAAAUAUGCCACAAAGCCAAUACAUAAAACAAGUUUACAAUCUUGACAAAACAGUAGGUUGACCUAAACUUCACCUACUACCACUAAUACACAUAGUAACUUGUGCUAAUUAGCUUGAAUAAACAAACAAAGCUGAUUUAUCAGCUCAGUCAACAUCAAAAUUACAUCAAACAUAAACCUAACAUAGUUAUAAAGCAACUAAGUUACAUUACUCUAACUUAAAAUUACAAAAUGAAACAUAAACAGCUUGCUGACUAGGUGAACCAGCAGCUUCUGCAUGUAGUGCCUUUGACAGUCUUGGUUGCUGCAUGCUGACCAUUACUUCAACACUCCUCCUUGGUUAGCAUGUUGCAAACUCCCAUAUUAGCUCUCAGGUGUUGAAACUUGGAAACACUUAGUGCUUUUGUUAAAAUAUCAGCAAUUUGCUCUUCAGAACUGCAAUGUAUCAGCUUAACAACAUGAGCUUGUUCCAUUUCCCGAACUGCAUGAAGUUUGAUGUUGAAGUGCUUGGUCCUUCCAUGAAAAACAGGAUUCUUUGCAAUAGCAACUGCUGAUUGGUUGUCACACAUUAUCUCAGUUGCUUCCUUUUGCUCAUGAUUGAUAUCUUUCAAAAUUUUUCUAAGCCAUAUGGCUUGAUUGACUGCUGCAGCAGCAGCCACAUAUUCUGCUUCUGCAGUCGACUGAGCCACUACUCCUUGCUUCUUUGAGCUUCCACCUUUUGUUGCUGAAAUUGAUUCUGUCUUGGUUUGCUUCUAUUCUUGCAAACUUUUUCAACAUGGCCUUUUUUCUUGCAGUGUUGGCAUACUGCAUCUGGUCUAAACCAGCAUCUAUCUUCUGGAUGACCAGCUCUUUUACAAUGUCUGCAGAGUUGGUCACUGCUCCUAGCAGCAUCAGGCUUAGGCCUGUUUUUCCAGAACUUUUUGCCUUGGUGAGUUUUGAUGCUCGAGGCUUCUUUGGCUUGAAAAGCCCCUUCCUGGUGCUCCUCUUGUCUGCUGGCUCUUCUUUGCUCUUGUGCAUACAAGGCAUUGAUUAGCUCAGUUAAGAAGAUAUUUGUCAAGUCCCUUGAGUCUUCGAGGGAUGAAAUUUUAGCUUCAUACCUCUCUGGUAGAGUGGACAUGACUUUCUCAACCAUUCUAGCUUCACUGAAUUGCUCUCCUAGGAGCCUUAUGCUGUUUACAACAGCCAUAAUCCGGUCUGAGUACUGCUUAACUGUUUCUUCCUCUUUCAUUUUGAGAUUUUCGAAAUCUCUUCUCAAAUUGAGCAGCUGUUGUUGCCUUGUUUUCUCAGUCCCCUGAAAUUCUUCUUUCAGCUUGUCCCAAGCCUCCUUUGGUGUCUCACAGGCCAUGAUCCUCAUAAAGAUCACAUCUGUCACACAAUUCUGUAUGCAUGACAUGGCCUUGUGCCUUUUUGUCCUUUCAUCAGUGUGUUGCCUUAUUUGAGCAACUGUUGGAUUAGCUCGAAGAGGUGCUGGCUCAGCAUCUGAGUUAACAACUUCCCAUAGGUCGAAUGCCUGCAGGUAAGUCCUCAUCUUAACUGCCCAAAUGUUGAAGCCCUCUCCAUUGAAGACAGGUGGUGAAGCUGGUGAAAAACCUGAUGAUGCCAUCGUUUUGAUACUGAACUACAACAGGUCCUCUAAGAAUGUGGCUCUAGAUACCAAUUGUUGGAGCAAGAGGCAGCAGCAGCAAGCUUCAGCAGAAUGCUUGUAUGGCAAGUCUCGUGACUUGUAGGAGAAACAAAGCAGAAAACUCAAAUGGAUUUUUAAGCAAAACUAAAAAUGGAGAGCAUAUGGAUGAUAACUUCUUGAAUUCAUUCAUCAAACUAAAUAUGCCACAAAGCCAAUACAUAAAACAAGUUUACAAUCUUGACAAAACAGUAGGUUGACCUAAACUUCACCUACUACCACUAAUACACAUAGUAACUUGUGCUAAUUAGCUUGAAUAAACAAACAAAGCUGAUUUAUCAGCUCAGUCAACAUCAAAAUUACAUCAAACAUAAACCUAACAUAGUUAUAAAGCAACUAAGUUACAUUACUCUAACUUAAAAUUACAAAAUGAAACAUAAACAGCUUGCUGACUAGGUGAACCAGCAGCUUCUGCAUGUAGUGCCUUUGACAGUCUUGGUUGCUGCAUGCUGACCAUUACUUCAACAAAAACCCACCUGGAAGGACAUAUUAUGGAGGGCGUUGAUGAGGUUAAGGAGGUUGGCGACGUUGGAGAAUGAUGCAGCCGAUUUGGCGAGGGCUUCAAGGUACUUGGUGGCUACCAAGGUCAGGCUGUCCAGUGCUGAGACUCACCUGAACCUGAACCCGAACCCGAACCCAACUGAUUUGCAAAUCUAAGACACUGCUACUUUGGUUAUAUUCAAUAACUCCACGAGAUGUGUUGUCUCUGGUGUGGUAAUUUGAUUUUCUCUUAGAUUUUGGCUAUUUCAUGGAACUUGAAAUUGAUCGUCUUCUAAUUGCUAAAAUCCUAGGUUCUAAUAUUUAAAUGUGUUUGAUAUAUUGGAACUAAUCUUUUCUGAAUAGUACUGUAACUGUAAAUGAACAUAGCUUCGAUAAACAGUUUGGUUUUUGUUCAUUUAUAUUCACAUCAACAAGAUUUUAAAAUUUAUUAAAUGAACCAAACACAAACAAAGCUUGUUCGAUUCAUUUAUAUUUAAGAACAAACUCGUUUAUGUUUAUUUAAAGUUUGUUUAAUAGAUCAUUUAAACUCGUUUACUGUGCUAUAUCAAUACUAUAUAAUAAAUAGGAUUUAUUAUGCAUUUUGCUGAGUUAAUGUCAUUUAAUAAUCGAGUCUCAACUCACUUAUGAAAUUACUGAAAAAAAAAAAUUUUGCAAAGUAAGUUAUAUUAUUAUAUGGAGUUAUUUUUGUCUUUUUAUAUUUUUAUAAAAAAUAAAAAAUUAUCCAUAAUAAAUCAAGUACACCAUGCAUAUAAAAUUUUUUAAUUUAUCAUUUAAACUAAAGCAACUUUUUGUACUUUAAUAACUAUAUUUGUUAUAUACAUUUUAAUAUAUUUGUGCAUAUAUACUUACCAUUAAUAAAAAAAUUAACUGAGUUAAUGUUAAGAGUAAAUUAGUUACCAAUUAGGUUAGUGAAAUUAUGGAAAUAUAUUUUCGUAUUUAAAAAAGUUAUAUUAUUUGGGAUUAUUUUAAUUUUGUUAUGUUUAGAAAAACUCAAUAAAAACCAUAGAUGCGGUUAGAUUUGAAUCGUGCUAUUAGUAUCAAUAAAACAUUCACAUUUCCACUAAACUAAAAAUUUAUUUUAAUAUAAUAUUUACAUUUUAAUUGUAUUAUGCAUAAUUUGUUACAUCUAUCAAUUGUAUAUAUCUAUCUAUACUAUUAAUAAAAUUUUUGACUGGGUUAGUAUUACAAGUUAAUCGGUCACCAACUUGAUUAGCGAAAGUAUGGAAAUAUCGUUCAUAUUUAAAACAAGUUAUAUUAUUUGAAGGUAUUUUAAUCUUUGUUUCUUUUUUUUUUUUAAUCCAAUAAAAACUUUGAUGAGAGUGGUUUUGGGCCUUUGCUAUUAACAUCAAUAAAAUAUUCACUUUACCACUAAACCAAAUAUUUAUUUUAAUACGAUAUUUAUAUUUUAAUUGUCUUAUGCAUACUGUGUUACUUUGUCAAUCGUAUAUAUUUAUACUAUUAAUAAAAUCCCUAACUGAGUUGAUGUCACGAGUCAACUGGACACUAACUUGGUUAGUAAAUUUAUGAAAAUAUCCAGUAUUUAAAAUAAAUUAUAUUAUUUGAGAGUAUUUUAGUCUUUUUUAUUUUUUAAAAAAUCUAAUAAAAAAUUUGCAUGUGGUUAGAUUUGAACUUGUAUUAUUAACAUCAAUAAAACAUUUACCUUACCACUAAACAAAAGAUUUAUUUUAAUAUAUUAUUUACAUUUUAAUUGUAUUAUGCAAAUUUUGUUGUCGUUAUCAAUUAUAUAUAUUAAUAAUGUUGUUAAUUGAGUUGGUAUCAUAAGUCAACUCGACACUGACUCACGAUUGAUAACACCAUGAUAAACAAGUGUAAUGCAUUUAGUAUUUUUAAUAUGAUGUAUUUAUGUGUUUAAAUUUUAUUUUGCGCACAAUUUAAUUUAUUUUUAUACACAUCAAUGUUCUAAAUAUGUGGUUUCUAUACGCAUAAGCAUGUGAUAGAUUUCUAGUUUAAUAAACUUACUAUGGUUUUUAUGCUUUUUUUUUUAUUGAUAAUAUAAUUAUUAACAUAUAUAUGACAAUUUUAUAUCUAAAUAAUAUAUAUAUAUAUAUAUAUAUAUAUAGGGAGGGAUCCACUUACACAAUGUAAAAACUAAAGUAGUUUUAUACACUUCCUUAACUAUUUAUAUGAUAACAAUUCAACUAUUGAAUUUAUCAAUAUAAUUGUAUUUGUCAUACAUAUAAAAUUUUGAACUGAUCCAAUAUCUCUAUCAUAUCAAUCUAAAGUACUCUAUAUAUUAAUAUAUUCAACAGUUGAAAUUUUGUUACAUAAAAUAAAUAGUUAGAAUUUUUAAAUUCACAUUAAAUUUGACAUGCAUAAUAUAAAUGAAUAGACCAUGAAAUAUAACGGUUGGAUCAUUAAAAUAUUAAUCAUAUAAAUAGUUAUAGAAAUUUGUAAAACUACUUUAGUUUUUACACUAUGUAAAUGGAACCCUUCCCUAUAUAUGUGUGUGUUUAGUUAUUGUUUGUUUGUUUGAUUGUUUGUUUGUUUAUUAUUCAUAAAAAUUGUUCAUGAAUAUAUUCGUUUAAUGUUCACGAAUAUCUUUGUUUAACUUAAACACUUAAAUGAAUGAACAUGAACACUCAUAAUUCUAAAUAAAUGAACACAGACAAAAAUUGUGAUAUUCUUAAUGAACAUAAACCUAAUAAAAACAAGCUUAAAAAUAAACAAACGAACAUGAAUGAAAGUUCAUUCAUUCAAGUUGAGUUCAUUUAUAGAUCUACCCCUAAAGUUCAAAGGCCUAAAUAAUUGGGGCGUAUUUUGGUCAUUUAAUCAAGAAAACAUUGAUAUCAUGCUUGUGAAUCCUAAAUUGCAUAUCUAUUGUUCGAAAAUUUCGAUCAAGCACCUUUCUCAAACCCAUUCCAAUCACUGCCCGAAUCUUCUAACCCUCAAUACCCAAUCAGCCUUGUUUUGGUAAGAAACCCUUACACUUUCAACUGAUGUGGUUCAAUCAUCUUGACUUCAUAAAUGUUCUUCUUAAUAGAUGAAAUUCAUUUGAGCCUACCUCUUCUUUCUUUCAGCAGCCAUAUUACAAAAUAUCUAAAGCGUAAAACUAAGGAUGUUUUUAGGAAUGUCUUAGCUCGAAAAAAGUCUUAAUGCCAGAAUCUUAUGAUGUAACGAUAAGGAUCAAUUUGUUGAUUAGUUACCAUUUUAUGAGCAUAUUUAAAAUUGAUAAAGAUCUUGUGACUAUCACUCCCAUCCUGAAUAACCUAAAUCAACCUUGCCUUUUAUUUAAGCACUAUGUUCCUUUUUUAUCAUCAAUAACUUUUAUUGAAAUCUACAACCCAUUUGGUCUUUCAAGUAUUGAUGGACUUCUUUUGAUCUUUUUUCAAAGAUGAGAUAUUCUAAAAGAGAAGUUCUUUGAUGUUAUCUACUCAAUCUUCAACUUUGGAGUUAUUCCUCAAGAGCUUAAUGAAACGCUUCUUGUGCUCAUCGCAAAAUGCUUAAGACCUUUCGCUAUCGGUCACUUUAGACCUAUCAACCAUUGUAGAACCACUUACAAGUUCAUUACAGAAAUCCUUUCACUAAGAUUGUGCCCUUUCUUGAACAAACUAACCUUGUCAAUCGAAUUCCAUUCUAGGUAGACAAGCCUCCUACAAUGUAAUCCUUGUCAACUAGGCAAUUCAUUGGAUGAGUGGGAAGAAAGACAACAUAGCUUUCAUGGUAAUCUAGUUAAAUAUUGAAAAGGCUGAUCGUUACAGUACUAACAUGGUUAUUAACAGUGCUGAACAAUCAUAUAUUUAGAUUCAUUUUGGACUUAACUUUUAAAUAGUUUUAUCAAUUUUUUUUAUUUUUUUAGCUUUAUUUAAUAUUUUUAAAAAUUUCAAUAAUGUUUUACAAAUUUAUAAAUUUAAAAAAAAAAUUAAUUUUUAAAUUUUUAAAAAAUUAAGUUUUGAAACUAAUAAACCUUGACAGCUAAAUGUUCAAGUUUAUUCCAGUAAAAAAAAAUAUUCUUUUUUUUUAAAUAAACUUUUUAUUUUUGAUGCCACAUCAGCAACUAUCACUAACUUGGACAUGGAGAGCCACGUCAGCAUUGUAAUAGUCAACAUUAGCUAAAAGCCUUAUUUAGCCAAUUUUAUUAGUUUAGAGACACAAUUGAGUAUAAAAAUUUGCGAGGACUUAGUUAAUUUUUUCAAAAAAGGUCAAGGGUUUUUUAAACCAUUAAACCCCAAUUUUUUAUGACUGUUUUAAUCAAACAAUUAUUUUAUACUUUGAACAUAGAAACUGGCAUUGGGUUUCUUGGACUCCUAUGGGGGUUACUAUUAGUGUGUUGGAUGCUCAGGCAAAGACAAAUUUCCAAACUAAAAGAAGCCCACUUUCAACAAAAUGGUGGCAUUUUGUUGCGGGGACAACUUUCGAAACGACAAGGGUACCAUGAAGAUGUUAAAGUAUUCACAAUUGAGGAACUUAAGAAGGCAACAAAUAAUUAUUGUAAAAACUAACAUCCGGUAACGGCAAUAGAACGAUCACAAAGCAAUAAGAAAAGAAAACAAAAAACACACAACUUUUUUUAUGUGGAAACCCUUUCAGGAAAAAAUCACGGGCAAAGGAGAAAAAAAUUCACUAAUGUCAAAUUUGAAUGAUGCAAGUAGAGUUUCGACUACAUCUAUUUAUAGUUUGAAAAACCUUAUUCUAAUCAAUGCCAAAUAGAAGCAAUGUAGUAAGAUUGAAAUAUCUUGUUCUAAUCAAUAUCAAAUAAAAGAAGUGUACUUUUAUACGGAUUCCACUUGUACAACAAAGUCCUACACAUGAUCAAGUCAAAGUCUCUACAUACGCAACAGAGUGUUCAAAAAACCAGUUCUUUUAUUGCAUUUGUUACAAAAUCUUUAGAUCAUCUUUUAGUGCAGUUGUACUUAAGAUCAUGAUUUUAUAUUUCCUUAUUUCCUUAUACUUUAAAUAGUUACUUUUGUUUAACUCAAGUUACAUUUUAAUCACUUAUAUUUAAAAUAUUACGUUUUAGUCACUUACGUUAUUGUGUUGUAACAUUUUAGUCACUGAGCCAUUAAUUGUCGUUAACUGUGUAACGGUAAGCUGACAUGGGAGGUUAGAUCAUCAUUUUAGACAAAAAAUUCAGGUUAAUUUCUAUAAUCGGUCCCAUAUUUUUUCGUUUUGAGCAAUUUAAUUUUCUUUUAUGUUCUUUUAACUCUUUUUUUUUCUUUAUUUUUGAUUCUCUUCUACUUCUCCCUUUGUUUUCCUCCCUUCUUCAUUUCUUUUAACGUAGUUUUUCUAUGUUUUCCAUUUGUUAAAACUAGUCCCUAUUAUUUUUUUGAACAAUUUAAUUUUUUCAAGUGAGGCAAGUUUGUGGACUAGUUUUAACAAAUAGAAAACAUAGAAAAAAACUAUGCUAAAAGAAGAAGAGAAUGGAAAAUAAAGAAAAAAAAAAAGGAAAGUUAAAAGAAUAUAAAAGAAAAAAAAUUAAAUUACUCAAAAUGAAACAAAAAUAUAGGGAUCAAUUGUAGAUUUCAACCUAAAAUUUAAUUUUGAACUAAUGAUUUAAUGUGCCAUGUCAGCUUACCGUUAUACCGUUAAUGACAAUUAAUGGCUAAGUGACUAAAAUAUCACAACACGAUAACGUAAGUGACUAAAACGUAACAUUUCAAAUAUAAGUGACUAAAAUGUAACCAGAGGCAAAUAAAAGUGAUUAUUUUGGUAGUUUACCCUAAAAAAUUUGAAAGGAAUAUUAAUUUUUUACUGGAAUGAACUUGGACAUGCAGUUGUCUUGGUUCGUUCAUUUCAAGGCUUAAUUUUCUAAAAUUUAAAAAAAAUUAUUUUUUUAAAUGUAUAAAUUUGUAAAACAUUAUUAAAAUUUAUAAAAAUAUGAAAUAAAAUUCAAAAAAAUAAAAAUUAAUAAAAUCAUUUAAAAGUUAAGUCUAGAAUGAAGUGGACAUAUUUCAAUUCAUUCAAGACAAUUUUUCUAAAUAAUAUAAUACCUAAAAACUAUUAAAAAUUAAUUUUAUUUUUAAAAUUUUUUUAUAUGUAUCAAUGUUUUAAUUCUAUUGAUACUUUUAGGAUUUAUAAAAAAAUAAAAUAUUUUAGAAAAUAAAAAAAUAAAUAAAAUAAUUUUAUUAAUUUUACAUGUAAAGUUUUUUUUUAAAUGUAUGAAUAUAACCCAUUAAAAAAUUUACAAUUUUCAAAAAUAAUAUUUUAAAAAAACUUGACACGAAGAAUUAAUAAAAUUAUAUAAUAUUAUAUAAAGUUUUUUUAUUUUCAUUUUUUUCUAAAUUAUAUAAUAUUUAAAAACUAUUAAAGUUUUUUUACGUGCAAUAAAAAUAAUGGUAAACUGCCAAAAUAGUCAUUUUUGUUUGCCUCAGGUUACAUUUUAGUCACUUAUGUUUAAAAUGUUAUGUUUUAGUCACUUACCGUUAUUGUGUUGUAACAUUUUAGUCACUAAGCCAUUAAAUAACGUUAAUGGUGUAAUGGUAAGCUGACAUGACACGUUAAAUAAUUAUUUCAAAAUUAAAUUUUAGGUUAAAAUUCUACAAUUAAUCCGUAUAUUUUUUUAAUUUUAAGCAAUAUUUUUUUUUCUUUUAUGUUAUUUUAACUUUCAUUUUUUUCCUUCAUUUUCCAUUCUCUUCUGCUUCUCCCUUUGUUUUCCUCCCUUCUUCAUUUCUUAAAUGCAACACCCUAAAUUCGGCCUAGAUAUCAAAACUAAGUCUAGAGAGUUACAUCAUCGAUAUUAAAAAUAUCACAUUUACAACGCAGUCAAAAUAAACCAUUCAACAUAUAAUAUCAAACACAACAAUUAACUAAGUAUAUAAGCUUCCCAAACAUCAUAAUAUCAUAGAAUACCGAAAUCCUAAUAGUGGUAUUUAAAGGAAAGAUAAAAGCUUGACCGAGCUCCUAUAGCGCCGACCCAUUCAAGUCUGAGAACCACAUGAAAUCCAAUCAAUAACAAAAUGAGUUGUGAACUCAGUGCAUAAAAGACUCUUGUUCAAUUAGAACACAUUUAUAAGGUAAUUCCUGACUUCUAAGAUCCGGUUAGGUAACAGACGCAGUUUCAGUUCAGAUACAAAACAGAUUAAUUACAUAUGCAGAAGCAAUUUAAGUUUCACAUACAGAACAAAUCAGAUUCAAAUGCAAUUAUUCCUACCCCUAUUCGCAACACAUAAACUUUGGCCAUUCCAACACACCAUUAAGGGCAUUCAAUGCCCAACCAACCCUACACACUAUAGAGUGUCUGUCUGACACAUUUACAGAGAUGCAGCUUAGUUGCUAGAUCAGAAUGUGUCAAAGCACCAGAUUCAUAUUUCUGUACAUCGUGGCUUAGCCAUUAAUUCAGAGUAGAUUACUUCUUCACAAUAUUCCAACCCAUGUAAAAUAUAGAGUACAAAUAUCCACGACAUGUGUUCAAUCAUUCUAAUUCAUUUCACAAAUAAGUAAUACAGUCAGUGUCAGAAAUAGCCAUUGCAUUACACAUACAAUUAUAUUACUCAUACAUCAGUCACAAAGCAUUAGAGAGUCCUCGUACAAUCACAUUCAGGUCAUUCAUACAUUAAGGAGGUCAGUAUUAGUGUUGGAUCACAACUUCAAAAAAUAAGAUUUGGACCCUAUUUGUGUACCACACGGUCUGGGCACACGCCCAUGUCCUUGCUCGUAUGGCUCACACUGCCUGGACACACGCCCAUGUCCUCUGCCCUUGUGGUUCUAAAAUGUAAAUAGUGAGUUACACAGCUUGGACACAUGCCCGUGUCCUUACCCGUGUGACCCACAUGGCCUAGGCAAACGCCCAUGUCCCUGGCCAUGUGAUCUUAAAACAUAAACAGUGAGUUACAUGGCCUAGACACAUACUCGUGUCUGCUACUCGUGUGAACCCUACACUAACAUUGCCACACACAGCCUGGACAGAUGCCUAUAUGCAUUGCCCAUGUUGCUCCAAUUCGAUAAACAGUAAGUUACACGGCCAGCCACAUGGCCCGAAACAUGGUCUUGUGGCUCACAUGGUCUGGGCACACGCUUAUGCCCCUGGCCAUGUGGUGUUAACAACCACAUUUUUUUGCCACCAAAAUUUGCAUAAAAUGAGGUUUUCGGUACGCAUCUGAAGAGAUUUUGAAGUGAGAAGAGCAUAGAAAGUCUCCAAAGCCUAAAAUAACCUUACAAUCAUUCAAUCAACCAAAUUCAACGAUAAUAAAAUACAAUUACACACAGAAACUUAUGUCGAAAAGUUCGACAUAAAACCUUCAAUGGAAUCAACACUUACCGAAAGAUCAACUGAAGGUACUCAAACUAUCCUACCGAGACUCGUUACUUCCAAAUCCUAUUCCUAAAAUAAGGAACCAACAUCACUUAAUAACGAGAAUUCAUCCAUUAGCGCAACUAUUAACAAUACCACACCGUUGUUUCUUAGAACUUUAACGAAUUAACACAAUUAACAUCACAAAAGACAUACUUAAUCGACUCGUGUAGCAGAUCAGAAUGAGAAGUUCAACAACUGACAACAGUACGCUCAAAUGAUGUAAAAAAAAACAAAAGAGGAAAAAAAAGGGAAAGAAGAAGAGGAAGAAAACAAAAAGAUUGUUUAAAAAUUCUUAGUCUUAACCACCAGCGUAUUUCUGACAAUAAGCAAAAUAUUUCCUAAUGCAUAUGAUAGGACUCGAACUUGGGACCAUACAGAAUACAGAUGCUUAACUAGUGAACCAAUAGGCUCAUUCUUAACACAUAUUUACACAGAAUUGCACUUAACUAUGUAACGUACGGAUAGGGGUUGUUUUAAAAAUAAUAAAACUUUUAAUGGUGCAACUCGAACUCCAGACCUUAAACACAAUAGCAGAACAUAGAGCCACAAACACAGAAAUUACUUACUGCAGAUUCUCAAAAAAAUUAAAAACAUUAAAAAGUAUAGGGACUAGUUUUAACAAAUGAAAAACAUAGAAAAGUUACGUUAAAAGAAAUGUAGAAGGGAGAAGUAGAGGAAAAUGAAAAAUACAAAAAAAAAGUUAAAAAAAACAUAAAAGAAAAAAAUUAAAUUGCUCAAAACAAAAAAAAAUAGGGGGACUGAUUGUAUAAAUUAACCUAAAAUUUUUGUUUGAAAUGAUGAUUUAACGUGCCACAUUAGCUUACCAUUACACUGUUAACGGUAAUGAACGACUUAGUGACUAAAAUGUUACAACGCGAUAACGUAAGUGACUAAAACGUAACAUUUCAAACGUAAGUGACUAAAAUAUAAUCUGAGGUAAACAAAAGUGACUAUUUUGGUAGUUUGCCCAUUUUUUUAGAAAAAUAUUUUUUUAUUAAUUCUGCCACGUCAAUAACUAACGCUGACAUGGAGUGCCAUGUCAUUGCUAUAAUGCUUAACAUUAGUCAAAUAUCUUAUUUGGCCAGUUUUGUUAGUUUAGGGGCUCAAUUGGGUGAAAAAUUUCCACAGGGGUUUAAUUGAUUUUUUUGAAAAAGUUCAAGGGUCUUUUAAAUCUCUAAGCCCUAAUUUAAUUGUUAUUACUUUUUUAAUCAAACAAUGAUUUUAUGUUUUGAAACUGAUAUUGGAUUUCUUGGACUCCUCUUUGGGAUAGUAUUAUUGUGUUGGAUGCUUAGGCAAAGACAAAUUUCCAAACUAAAAAAAAGCCUACUUUUAGCAAAAUGGUGUCAUUUUGUUGCGGGAACAACUUUUAAAGCGACGAGGAUAUCGUGAAGAUAUUAAAGUAUUUACAGCCAAGGAACUUGAGAAGGCAACAAACAAUUACCAUGAAAGCGGAAUUUUAAGACAAGGAGGGCAGAGGACAAUGUACAAGGGAAUAUUAGUUGAUAAUCGAAUAGUUUCCAUUAAAAAGUCAAUAAUUGGAGAUCCUAGCCAAGUUGAACAAUUCAUUAAUGAAAUAAUGGUGCUUUACCAAAUCAACCACAAAAAUGUUGUCAAACUACUAGGAUGUUGUUUGGAAACACAAGUUCCACUAUUGGUCUAUGAAUAUAUCACUAAUGGAACCCUUUUUCAUCAUUUGCAUCAUGAUGAUGCUGCCCUUGAUCUUCCAUGGAAAACUUGUUUGAGAAUCACCAUUGAAACUGUCGAAGCUCUUUCUUAUUUACACUCUACAACUUCUAUUUGGGACAUCAAGUUGGCUAACAUACAAUUAGAUAAUAAUUACAAUGCAAAGGUUUCUGAUUUUGGGGCUUCGAGAUUGAUUCCAUCUGACGAGGCAUAGAUAAAUACAAUUCUGCAAGGAAAUUUUGGUUAUUUGGAUCCUAAAUGCAUGCUUACAAGCUUUCUUACUGAAAAGAGUGAUGUCUAUAGCUUUGGGGUGGUGUUUAUGGAGUUAUUAACAUGACAAAAAGCGACAUGUUUCAAAAGAUCGGAUGAAAAAUGAGUUUUGGCUAUGUACUUCAUUUCUUUGAUGAAAGAAGACAACUUGCGUGAUAUUCUUGAUCCUCGAGUGCUUACCAAUGAAAAUGUUGACUAGCUUAAGGAAGUAGUAGUAUUAGCUAGGAGAUGUGUAAGAAUAAAAGGACAUGUAACACCCCAAACCUGGCCUAGAUAUUAUGGCUAGAUCUGGAGAUGCUACGUAAAAUAGUUGUAAAUCUGGCUUUCGUUUAUUAAAAAACAUCGUGAAGUUUUGUUACUUAAAAGCCUGUUUAAUUUGAAAAAGUGUUUGACAUAAUUAUUUAAAAACGUUGUUUGUUUACAUUUUCUAAAUAAAUCAAAUACUUGGUAGCGAAAAUUCUUAAACUAUUAUAUUUUGUAAAACCAAGUUUGUUUUCUUGAAAUCAAUUGUUUGCAGGAAAACAAACUUUUUAAAUAAAUGGUUUUAUUAGUAUCUCGCGAAAAUCGAAAAUAAAAUCCAAAACCAAAAACAAUCACAAACGUCCAGAGAGUCCAAACUUUACAAAACUUUCAAACCAGAAUUAUGAUUAAGUCAAAUUUAAAUAAAUUGAGUUUACGAAAAUGUGGUUAUAAUUGAGCUCCCGUCACACCGACCUACCUAAGUCUGAGGGUUACCUAAAAGUGAAAAACGAAUAAAAAGUGAGUUUUCAUAACUCCGUCUGUAACUUAAAAGGAAACAAAAUUAUAUAUUUAACUUCAGAUUUAUUACAUAGCAGAGCAGAUACAUAUGUAUAUCUCAUACAGAAUCAGAAUCAUAUGCACAUUUACAAUCCUACCCCUAUCCACUACACACCAUCUCCAACCAUCCUUACACAUCAUGUAGGGUCUUAAAGACCCAUCCAGCCCUGCACACCACUUAGUGUUAGUAUGACACCUUUCAUAAUAUUCGCAGCUGUGCUGCUAGUAUAAUGGGCGAGAAAUCGCCUCUCUUAGAAACACUUUCUCCAUAUAAUAUAUCCCACCCCAGAAUCAGAUAUAGAUAGAACAGAAAUCAUGCAUAGCAUUUCAAAUGCAAAUAAUGUAUGUAUUUAAUGACACUCCCUGUUUGAAUUAUCACAUGACAUCUCUGACACACUUACAGAUAUCAAAAUUUCAUAAUAGCAGAUGACCAAAUUUCAUGUUUUAUAGUAUAUCUAAUCACAUAUCGACCCACGGAAGGUCUUAGGGACAAAUUUUGAAUUUUGGGCCUACACACUUGUGCGGCCCAGACACCCUAUCACAUAGCCUACACACGCCCGUGUGUCAUAUACAGCCCAGCACAUGGUUUGUCACACGACAGUGUGGUGUCGAUCGUGCCCAAUUUUGGCUUUUGUCGUUUGCUAUUUUUCAGGUUUCUCGUUACACAUGUGGUUCGAUUGUGGCGUGAACGCAACCACGAGAUAUCGAAUACUUAAAAAAAUAAUUAAUCGCUCAAAAUCAGUCACAAUUACCAAAUUUUACCAAAUAACUUACUUGACCACAACUCACAAUUACACAAUUCUAACAAUAGGAUUAACUCAUCAAUGUUUGAGCACUUACCCAACAUCCACAACAGUUCCUAAAGCAAUUAAGUCACCAAAGAACAAUCCUGAGCCUAUUGAUUUUCCCCUAUUCCGACAUUAAGACGAAUAACACCAUCAAUAAAUCUUUCCUUAACAAAAAUAAUGAAACCCCUAAAUCACACAAUUAAAGAACUACGCAUCAUACUUACCUAUCUAGAACGAAACGAAGAAGCCAAAUGGAUCGCACCCACAACCACAAAAAAAUGGACAAAAAUCAAAGAAAAUCACAAAAGAUAAAGGUCAGAAUUUUAAGUCCCCUACUAGCAGUGGCGUAAAGAAGUAUGAACAAAAAGAAAAGAAAAAAACCAAAAGAUGGAGCGUGAAAUUGAUGAGAGAUAGGAAUUAUUUUUUGAACUAAUUUUAAAAAAUUUAAACUAACUUAUCCCCUCGCCAACCCAAUGUCAUCCAACCACUCCUUCCAACUUAAAAGUUAGUUUUUAAUUCGAAUUCUACACCUGAAACAACAAAAAAAAAGACUAACAAAACCACCAUCACCAAGACUCGAACUUACGACCCUUACCACACACCCAAUGCCUAUAGCCAUCGAACCAAGCACUCAGCUUAUGAUUGUAUUUAACAAAUCCAAACGUAAGAUUGUUGAGGCCCCUUUAAAAGAAAUUUUGACCUCAAAAUUUACUUGACUCAAACAGAUGCGGAUAUUGCUAAUGAAUCGAGUUCUCAGGUUCCCACGUGUCUUCCUCAAUGUCAUGAUUCCGCCGCUAAACCUUCACUAAUGGAAUAGACUUCCUCAACAAAACAUUAACAUCUCGAUCCAGAAUCUGAACCGGCUCCUCCUCAAAGGUCAAAUCUGGCCUUACCUCAAUCUCUUCAAUAGAAACAAUAUGAGAUUGAUCCGACUGAUAUUGCAUCAACAUAGAGAAUUGAAACACAGCAUGAAUAUGAUCUAACUCUAGAGGUAGCUCCAACUAAUAAGCGAAUUGUCCUACACGUUUUAAAAUCAGAUACGUCCCAAUAAACCUAGGCUCAACUUGCCAUUUCGUCCAAACCAUAGAACAUUCUUCCAUGGAGAUACCUUAAGGAACACAUAAUCCUCCUUUUUAGAUCUGCAUAGGACUUUUGUCUGUCAGAAGCUACCUUAAGACGAUCCCAAAUCGAUUUAACUCUAUCCUCAAUCUCGGAAACCAACUCAGGACCUAAAACCUGUCGCUCACCAAACUCAAUCCAACACAAUGGAGUAUGACAAUUACGAACAUAUAAAGCCUCAUAAGGUGCCAUCUAAAUACUAGAUUGGAAGCUAUUAUUUUAGGUGAACUCGACUAAUGGUAGAAAAUCCUGUCAACUACCUCGAAAAUCGAUCACACAACUCUUAAACAUAUAUUUUAGUAUCUAAAUCACCCUUUCAGAUUAACCAUCUGUCUAAGGAUGGAAUGCAGUGUUGAAGUCAAGCUUAAACUUAAAGCCUCAUGAAGUUUCCUCUAUAAAAAAUAAUCGAGACCGGUACCCCAUGAAUUCUCACAAUCUCUGAAACAUAUAACUUGGCCAAUUUCUAAAGGGAGUAAUCUGUCCUAAUAGGAAUAAAGCGAGCAGUAUUGGUCAACCGAUCCACGAUGACCCACACGGAAUCCUUCUUAGUAGGUGUUAAGCGUAACCCACUAACGAAGUCCAUAGUCAUACGUUUUCACUUCCAUCAGAGAAUAUUAACAGGUUGAAGUAAACCCGAAGGCAACUGUUGCUUAGCCUUAACUUGCUAGUACAUUAGACAUCGAGGAACAAAACUCGUUACCUCUUGUUUCAAACCAAGCCUCUAGUACAGUUGGCGGAGAUCCUGAUACAUCUUAUUUCCACCAGGAUGUAUAGCAUAAGAAUUACUAUGCACUUCCCUCAAAAUAGACUGCCUCAAAUUAGAGUCAUUAGGUACACAAACCCAUCCUCAGAAACAUAGAACCCCAUCACUUUUUAGCAAAAAAUCAGACGUGCUAUCGUCCUCCACCUGACGGAAUCCCAAAACUAAAGAAUUAUCCUCUAACUGUUUAUCCCAAAUCUGAUCAAUCUAAGUUGGCUUAACUUGCAACUCGGCUAACAAACUCCCAUCAUCAAACAAACUUAGACGAGCAAACAUCACCCUCAAAUCAGUAAUUGCCCUACAACUACGAGCAUCGACCACCACAUUGGCCUUACCUAGAUAAUACUCAAUAGUGCAAUUGUAAUUCUUAAGUAGUUCAAUCCAUCAAUAUUGCCUAAGGUUUAACUUCUUUUGGGUAAGGAGAUACUUUUUGUGAUUGAUGUAAAUGAUACACCUCUCACCAUACAGAUAGUGCCUCCAAAUCUUUAAGGCAAAGACAACCGCAGUUAACUCACGAUCGUGCGUGGGAUAAUUGCCCUCGUGUGACUUAAGUGGUCAAGAUACAUAAGCCACUACAUCACCGUCUUACAUCAGAACAUAACCCAAACCAACAUGAGAUGCAUCACUAAAUACCACGAAUUACUUAUUGGAUUCAGGCUGUAUCAGCACAUGAGCCUGAGUCAAAACAAAUUUGAGCUUUUCAAAGCUUGAUUGUUACUCAUUAGUCCAGACAAAUGGGGCAUUCUUACGCAACAGCUUAUUCAAAAAAGCUACAAUUAAAGAGAAUCCCUCGAUAAAUCUCUGAUAAUAACCCGUAAGCCCAAGAAACUACAUGCCCCAGAAAAGUCACCUCACUUAAUUAGAAUUCACAUUUGCUCAACUUAGCGUAGAGCUUUUUCUCUCGGAGUAUCUGAAGAACUACUCUAAUAUGCUCCUCAUGAUCAUUUUUGGCCUUAGAGUAUACCAUAAUGUCGUCGAUGAAGACCACAACGAACUGAUCUAAAUAUGGCUGGAAAAAUCAGUUCAUAAGAUCCAUGAAUACAACCGGAGAAUUAGUCAAACCAAAGGGCAUGAUGGGGUAAUUUAGCCAUUUAUAAGAUCAAUUACCGAAUAAUGGUUUUUUUUAAUAUGGAGUCUUUAUGCUAUAAUUUAGCCAUUUAUAAGAUAGUGGGUGGCAAUGGACUAAAAUGACCUUAGUGUAUAAGUUUUAUAUUUUAAUUAGUAAAGGUUAAUUUAGUAAUUGAAUAAUAUAUGUUAUAAUAAAAUAAAACAUAAAAAAUGGCUAUUAUGUUCAUCUUCUUCAUCGAAUGUUGAAAAGAAAAAUAGGGUUUGAAAGCUUAAAACAUUCGACCAUUGUUGGAGCUUGAAUCCAGGUUAGUUUUUGUUAGGUUUUUGAUAAUUUCUACGUUUUUGAGAUCAUUGCUUUGAACACUAUCCGACCCAUGCUUAAAUUUUUUAUUUUAAUGAAUAUUUUGAGUUAUGCCAUUGAUGAAUAUUUAUGUUUUGUGAUGUUUUAUGAUGAAUAAUGAAAAUAGGUGAAAGAUUAACAUGUUUUAUCUUGGGAUUUUUGAUGAAUUUGAGUAAUUAGGGUUGAAUUGUGAAAAAAAAAAUUUAGAGGACUAAAAUGCAAAAUAAAUGAAAUGCAUGGACUUGUAUGAGUAUAAUAAAGAUUCGGUCUAGGCAUAGUCUAGUCAAAAUUUAAAUGUUUUGUGUUUUGUGUUUUGUGUUAUUUGGACUAAAUUGUGAAAAGUGUAAAUGUUAGGGGCAAAAUGACAAUUUGCCCAUUUAUGUGUUUUUGGACUAAAUUGAGUGAAAAUAUGUUUGAAUGAGUUUAAUUUGAAUAUGUUUAGAUCAAGAAAAGAUAAAUUUGAAUUUGGAUCAAGGAAAACUAAACUCGUCAACUAGCAGUUCCGUUCCAUUUUACAUCGCCGAGGUAAGUCUAUAAGUUAAUAGAUGUACUUAAAUUAAUUAAAUGCAAAGUAUAUGUGCUAAAAUGAAAUAUACGAAAAAUAUUUGAGCUAUUACUGAAUAUGAAAUGAUUUGAUAACUAUGUUUUAGCUAAUGUUUUAAAUUGUGUUUUGACAUAUAUAAAAAAAAUAAAGAUGAAUAUCAUGGAAAAAUUAUGAACUUCGAUAUGUGAAAUAUGUGAUAGAAUAAACUAUGUAUCAGUGAUUAUCGGGCUUCGUGCCUAGCAGGCCUUGUGCCGAUGUGAUAUAUCUAGCAUAAGCCUAGCAGACCUAGUGCCGGUGAGUUUUUAUCAGGCUUCAGCCUAGCAGGUUUUAUGCCGGUGCAUUAUUACAGGCUUUAUACCAAGAAGGCUUUAUGCCGAUGUGAUAUCGAAUAUGUAAAAUGAGCCAGAAGGCCAAGUAUGAAUUAACUUGUGAGUACUAUGUGAUUCGAUAUCUAUUACAAAAUAGGUACUUUGGUAAUGAAAGAUAUAUAUUUAUAUAUAUAUUUGGUUGUCAAUGAACAAUUGGUAUAUCAUUGAGAUGUUUCAUAAAUAUGUGCAUACAUGAUUUAAUGUAUUCGACCAUGUAGACUAUAUGUAUAUGUGAGACAUUAUACUAUGGAUCUUGGACUUACGUAUACAAUUAAAUGUAUGUAUGGAUUUUACGAUUAAUUAGAUUAGACUUUGAAUAAUAAAAUGCUAAAAUAACUAGGUGAGUAUUCGGCCUAGUGGUGUUUGGGUAAGGAAAUCUUUUAACUAUGAGUUUUAAUAAUUUGAGUUGAAGUUUAGUAAGGUUAAUGUGAUUAGUUAGAUUAUAUAAAUUGAUUAUAACUAAUAAAUUGAUUAUUAUUAAAUCAUUUAAUUUCUUAAAGACUUACUAAGUUAUAAAAGCUUACUUGGUGUGUUUACGUUUCUUUGUUUUAUAGAUUUCGGGAGUUGGUUACGAGCUCAGGGAUUGUCAGAGAAGUUUAACACACGAUUGACUCUCUUUAGUACUUUGUUAAAUUUUAAUUUGAGCUUAUGGCAUGUAUAGUCUAGUUAUAAUGUUUGAUUUGGGAUAUGUAAAUAUAAGCCAUGUGAAAAUGGCUUAUUUCUUUUGGUUAAGCUUAGUUUCUAUGCUUUUGAUAUAAUGGCUUAAUUAUAAUGCUAAUGGUUGUGUAAAUUCCUUCAUGGUUUAAUCUUAUAUGGGAAGUAAUCACAUGAUAUAUAUAUAUAUAUUAUGGUGUGCUUGGUAUAUGUAUUUAGUUUAAAGUAAUAAUAUGUAUGGUUGAAGAUUAUUCAUUAUGGUAAGCUUGACAUAUUGGUAUAAUUAGCAUUAUUAAAUAGUUGAAGUUAGUAAGCUUAAAAUUGAAUAUAUAUAUGUGUUUGUGAUGUUCAUUAUAUGAUUCAGUAAAGGGGUAAUGAUAAGCAUAUUGUAUUUCGGUCAUGAUGCUAAAUUAUUUAAAUUCAGAUUAGUAAGAUAAAUAAUGAAUAUAGUUGAGGUGGUUUGGUUUGAGGUUAAUUUGGUUGAUCGAAUAUGUAUAUGUGGUUAAUUGAUAUGGUUAUAUGUGUAUAUAUAUUUGUGAUAUGAGAAGGAUAUAUUUGGUUCUUGAAAUGAUAUUUGUUUAUGCAUAAUGUUUACCUAUUUAUAUGUUUUGUACGCUGCAUGAAUAAUUUAAAGUGAAAAAUGUAUCAGUGGAAUAGAUCAUGAGAUGAAUGAGUAAAUGUAUGUGGGUUGGUUUGGUUAAUGACUAUACAAGUUGAGUAUGAUAUGAUUCGGUAAAUGGUUAAAUAUAAUGUACACAUGACGUUGAUAUCUAAAGUUAUAUGCUAGCCCAUUAAGUAAAGUUACUAUUGCCGAAUGUACUUUUAUUUUUUUAGUUAUGUGAUAUGGUUAUUAAGUUAUCAAGUGAAUAAUAUAAUGUUUCAUAAAUAAAUGAUAUAAAAUUGGCUUAUGGAUUAAAAAUGUAAUAUGUUUGUUUAUACAUUAGUAUUUGACUAGCAAGCAUGUAAUAAUUGAAAAUUUUGAAUUCCAUGCUUAUUAAGUAUAAGUAUUUUAAAUGUUAAAGCAUGAUUAGAUUUAAAUUGAUUAAGUGAAUUGUAUGUUUAAUAAUUUAUUUAAAUGUGUUUUGAUUUAUAAGUCAUGUGAUAUUGAUUAUUAAAUAUUAAAUACAUGUGUACUGUUGUAAUUGAAUUACGAAGCAUGAAAUAUAAUGAAUACCUGUUUUCAGUUAUGUUCUGUUCGGUAAUGCCUUGUAACCCUAAUCCAGCGACGGAUACGGGUUAGGGGUGUUACACCUACCCUUAUCCGCUACACACUAUCUUUGACCAUCCCUACACACCAUGUAGGGUCUUAAAGACCCAUCCAGCCCUACACACCACCUAGUGUCGGUAUGAGACUUUUCAGAAUAUUCGCAGCUUUGCUGUUAGUAUAAUGGGCGAGAAAACCCCUAUCUUAGAAACACUUCCUACACAUAAUAUAUCCCACCCCAUAAUCAGAUAUAGACAGAACAAAAAUCAUGCAUAGCAUUCCAGAUGCAAAUCAUAUACGUAUUUAACGAUACACUCUGUUUGAAUUAUCAUAUGACAUCUCCGAUACUCUUACAGAUAUUAAAAUUUCAUAAUAGCAUAUGACCAAAUUUCAUGUUUUAUAGUAUAUCUAUUAAGAUACAGACUUUUUCUAUUCAUUGUUUUUCGAGUUUCUCAUUACACACCUGAUUCGAUUGUGACGUGAAUGUAACUACGAGAUAGAAAUACCUAAAAACAACAAUUAAUCGCUCAAAAUUAGUCACAACUUCCCAAAAUUUUCCAAAUAACUUACUCGACCAUAACUCACAAUUACACAAUUCCAACACCAGGAUUAACUCAUCAAUGUUCGAACACUUACCCACCGUCCGUAGCAAUUCCUAACGCAAUUAAGUAGUUAGAGAACAAUCUCGAGCCUAUUGAUUUUCCCCUAUUCCCACAUUAAGAUGAAUAACACCAUCAAUAAAUUUUCUAUUACAAUAAUAACGAAACCCCAAAAUCAUGCAAUUAAAGAACUGCCCAACACACUUAUCUAUCCAGAACAAAACAAAGAAGCCAAAUAGACUGCACCCACAGCCACAAAAAUGAUGGACAAAAAUCAAAUAAAAUCAAAAAAGAGAAAGGUCAAAAUUUCAAGUCCCCUACUGGCAGUGGUGUAAAGAAAACUAAAUAAAAAGAAAAGAAUAGAAUAGAAAAUAGCAAAAGAUGGAAAGUGAAAUUGAUUAGAGAUAGGAGAUAUUUUUGGAACUAAUUUUAAAAAAUUUAAACUAACUUGUCCCCCUCUAACCCAAUGUCAUCCAACCACUCCUUCCAACUUAAAAGUUAGUUUUUAAUUCAAACUCUACACCUGAAACAACAACAACAAGAAAGAAAGACUAAUAAAACCACCCUCACUAAGACUUGAACUUGAAACCCACACCACACACCCAACACUUACAACCAUGAACCAGGCACUUAACUUAUGAUUGUAUUUAACAAAUCCAAACUUAAGAUUGUUAUGGCAUUACAGGAGAAGAAUGGCAAACAAUGAAGGAAGUUGCUCAUGAAUUAGCGAGACUGCAAGCAAUGCGUAAGCAUCUAUAUAGUAAAAUUAAUUUACGAGGAAAAGAGUCUAAAUACUUACUUGGUGACAUGUGCAGCACUUAUGCUGAUGGUGCAAUGAACAACUCGAUAGGGGUAUGAUAGCAUUAAUAACAAAAUAAUAUUUGAACUUGAAGCUGCACACUGAUUAUGUAAUCAUAUUUUAAAUUUUACAAAAUACCCAAUAUGAUUUUAAGUAGUUUGCUUUUUUUUGCAAGCAUAAAUUACGUUUUAAAACAUUAAACUGCAACGGAAAAGAUUGAACAUAAAUACCUCCGGUCAUUACUUGAACCAAAUGUAAAAACCCAGGCGUUGUAACACCACAGAUCGAGCUCACCAAACAACCAACGAGGAUGUCGUAUUUAGCUAUGCAAAAACAUGAAAAUUUAGAAAACACAAAAAUCUCCAAAGUCUUGUAAGCACUCGAAAAUCUCACUAGAUGGAAUUGCUUCCCCAUCAAUAACCACCAAUCACGUACUGACUAUCACACAAACAAUAUAGAAGUGGAGGGCAAUAAAAUGAGAAACAUGGGAAUAACCCCACGAACCAAUAACUGCAGUUCAGCAGUUCCAACAUUCUCCCACUUGGUUCGUAUUGCACAUGAGUACGUAAAGUCGAAACAUAAUGCACGAAUCAUAGCGAUAUUUUCCCUUAGAAUUUGAGUAGUAUCUUCCAUGUAUCACAAUAUAUCAUGUCGCAAUGCUUUAGCCUAAAUUCAAUGUUUAUUUUAGGUCCAAACUUUAGUGACAUUCUCGAAUCAAUAAACUUAAUGCGCACACAAAAUAUGAGAAACAUCAAACUUAACAGAGUUUCUUUAUAAUCUUUAUUAUAAUAAAAAUUUACAAGGUGGGAACAAGUCCCAUAGUGACAACAUCGUCCUUAAAUUUGUGUGGUGGCAGCUAACAUCUUCUCGGCGUUAAUGUGCUCAAUAACCACUUUCUUUUCUUUAACAUAUUCCCUUAUGGCUAAAUAUUUAAUGUCGAUAUGUUUACUUCAACUUCCACUUUUGUUGUUCUUAGCCAUAAAGAUAGUAGUUGAAUUGUCACAAUAUAUUAUCAACGACCUAGAAAUUGAAUCCACAAGUCUAAGCCCAGAUAUGAAACUCUUCAACCAUACUCCAUGUGAGGUGGCAUUAAAACAUGAAAUGAACUCAGCCUCCAUAGUGAAAGUAGCAAUUAAAGUCUGCUUGAUGCUGCUCCAACAUAUAAUUCCGCCAGCAAACAUAAAUAUGUAACUAGAUGUUGAUUUAAGUGAAUCAACACAUUCGAAAAAGUCUAAAUCAGAGUAGCUAAUCAAUUUCAAAUUAUUUGAUCGUUUGUACGUAAGCAUGUAGUCUUUUGUUCCUUUAAGAUAUCUCAAAACUUUCUUUGUAGCUCUUUAGUGGUUAAUAUUUGGAUUACUCUGAUAUCUUCCCAACAUUCCAAUUGCAAAUUUAAUGUCAGGUCUUGUGUAGAUUUGAGCAUACAUCAGGCUUUCAAUAAUAGAAACAUAUACAAUGUUUUUCAUUUGCUCCCUCUUAAAUUCAUUCUUCUGGCACUGGUUCAAAUUGAACUUAUCACCCUUCACGAUAGGAGCAACACUUGGUGAAUAGUAUUUCAUCUAAAAUCUUUCUAAAACUUUGUUAAUAUAGGUUUCUUGAGAUAGAGCUAAGAUACCACGAUGUCUACCACGAUGAAUCUUAAUGCCAAUAACAUAAGACACAUCACCCAUAUCUUUCAUAUCAAAAUUCUUAGAAAGAAAUUGCUUCACCUCAUGUAGAUACCCUUGUCAUUUGAUGCAAGUAAAAUUUCGUCCAUAUAUAGAAUAAGGAAACAAAUUUUACUCCCACUGACCUUCUAGUAUAUGCAUUGAUCCAUGAUAUUCUCAACAAAACCAAACGAAAAGAUAACCUAAUGAAAUUUUAAAAACCAUUGUCGAGAGGCUUGUUACAAUCCAUAUAUAGAUUUCUUUCAUGCAUACUAAGUGAUCAUGAUCACUAGAGGUGAAUCUUUUAGGUUGUUUCAUAUAUACCUCUCUCUAGGUCACUAUUGAGAAAGGCAGUUUUCACAUCCAUUUGUUGCAACUUAAGGUCAAAAUGUGCUACUAAUUCUAACACAAUAUGUAAGGAAUCUUCUUAGAUACAGGAUUGAAAGUCUCAGUAUAAUCGAUUCCUUCUUGUUGAGUAAAUUCCUUCGCAACGACUCUAGCUUUAUGUUUUUCUAUGUUGCCCAUUGAAUCUCUUUUUGUUUUGAAGACCCAUUACAUCUAAUGGAUUUUACGCUUUUAGGAAAUGACAAAAGAUCCCAAACAUCAUAAUUUUUCAUGGAAUUCAUAUAUUCUUUCAUAGCUUUGUACCACUAUUUUGACUCUUUGCAACUCAUGGCUUGUGAAAAUGACUCAGGAUCAUUUCCAGCUCUAAUAUUAUAGUCAAACUCUUGCAAAUACGCAAUAUAGUCACUAGAAAUUUUUUAUUUCCUUUCUCUAGUAGAUCUCCUCAAUGUUGAACCAACAUUUUCUUGUGGGUCAUGCUGUUCAAUUGAUUGUUCAAUGAUUUCCAUAUUUUCUUGAAUAGCUUGAUCUACUAGAAUGUUUUCAACAACUUGUGGAUUUUCAUUGAUUGGUUGUUCAACACCCAAUUGAGCUUGAGGGGUGUUUUGUAUGAUAACCAAUCUUCAACCUGAGGUGGAAGGUUGACUUAUGAGAAUCAUGUCUCGAGAUAGACCGUUCCCACUGGUUAUGUCAUUCUCAAGAAAAUUUGCAAUUUUUGAUUCCAUAAUUCUAGUGCUAUGAGAUGGACAAUAGAAACAAUAUCAUUUAAACCUUUCAACAUAUCCAAUGAAAUAUCCACUAAUGGUACUUGGGUCUAGUUUCUCUCCCUAUGGGUUACAAAAUCUUACUAAAGACGUGCAUCUCCAUACGCGUAUAUGUCACAAACUUGGUUUCCAACCUUUGAACAAUUCAAAAAGGUGUCUUUGGGACAGCUUUAGGUGGAACUUGGUUUAAUAUAUACACAACCUUUUUGAGAGCUUCAAACCAUAAAGACUUAGGAAACUUAAAGCUACUAAGCAUACUUCGCACCAUGUCCAUUAAAAUUUAGUUUCUUCUUUCUGCAACACCAAUUUGAUCAGGUGAGCCUGACAUGGCGUAUUGGCCAACUAUACCAUUAUCUUGAAAAACUUCGUAAGUGGACCAGAUGCUUGUCCAUCCUCAGUGUAUCUACCAUAAUACUUACCAUCUCUAUUGAUUCUCAUAAUCUUGAUUUGCUUAUCGUGUUGUUUCUCUACUUUAGCCUUGAAAACUUUAAAGGCUUAUAAUGCUUCACUCUUAUGAUGAAGCAUGUAGAGAUACAUGUAUCGUGAGUAAUUGUCUUUGAAAGUGAUGAAGUAUUUCUGACAUUGCACAUCCAUAUUUAGGCAAUAUAUAUUAUAAUGGAUGAUUUCCAAUAUGGUUAAACUCCUCUUAGCACCUUUCUUUGACUUGUUAGUCUACUUGCCCUUAAUGUAGUCUAUACAAGCAUUGAAAUCAAUAAAAUCUAAAGUGAGUACCCAAUCAUUUACUAAUCUCUUAAUCCUUUCAAUAGAGAUGUGUCCUAAUCUCUGGUGCCAUAAAAUAGAGGAAUAUUCAUUUAUAACACAAUGUUUAGUAACAUUUUGAAUGUGCAUAACAUUAUGAGUGGAAUUAUUUUGAAAAUUAAGAGAAUAAAUACCAUCAGAUAAAAGAUCAUUUGCAACAAGUUCAGAUUUAUAAAAUAAACUGAAACCGGUGUUUGAAAAACUAAAACAAUAUCCAAAUGGUGCAAGUCUUGAAAUAAAAACUAAAUUUCGAAAAAAAAUUGGGAAUAUAAAAAGUCUUUUCUAAAUUUAAACAAAGUCUGUCCUAAGCACUAAUUUGCAUGUUCCAAUUGCUUCCACAUGCGACUGCAUCUUAUUCCUGAAUAGAUGUGCCGCUUAGCUCCCACUGGUUUCUUUAGUUUUCUUAGUCCCUAUAAAGAAUUUGAGAUAUGGAUGUAGAACUAGAAUAAAUCCACCAUGAGUUAUAACUAACAUCAAUCGUAUUGGACUCAAAGAAAAAAAAUGAGAUUGAUUUACCUUUCUUUUCAAGCUAGCUUUUAAACUUGACAUAGUUCUUCUUUAAGUGUCCUAUCUUUUCACAAAAGAAACACUCAGACUUUUUCUUUAUGUCAACUUGGAGUUGUAUUUUAGCCUUCCCUUCUUUUUUGGCUUGGACCAUCUUCUUUCCUUGAGUAACCGUUAGUGCACUCUCUCCCAUCUCCAGUAUGAGUCUAAACUCUUCUUGAUCACACAUGGUCAAAAGCCCAUUGAUAGACCACAUAUCCUUAUGUACGUUAUAGAAUAUCUUAAAAGGCCCAUACUGAGGUGGAAGAUUGUUCAAUAUAAAGUGCACUGGGAAAGAUUUAGACAUUUAAACCUCAAGUGCUUUUAAUCGAGCUACUAAAUCUCUCAUCUUUUUGAUGAGAUCACGUAUACCUUUCACGGUAAUGAGCUUCAUUAAUGUGAACUUCGUGAUUAGGGUGCUGGCUAAUGACUUUUAAGAUGUUUUAAAUUGUUUUUCAAUAGCCGUUAAUAAUUCUUGGACAUUCUCAUAAUGCUCAAUUGAGCCAUGAACAUCAACAGGAACCUUACUCUUUAUGAACAUGAUACUUAAGCGAUUAGAUCGCUCCCAUUUUCCACACACAGCAAGAUCAAUCUAAGUGUUGGUUUCAAUAAUGUGUGGCUCAUAUUUCCUUAUGGCAUAGUCAUUAUCCAAACACCCCAAUUAGAGAAGAAUACUCUCCUUCUAGAACUUAAAGUUAUCACUAGUUAAUUCAGGGAUAUCUGCUUUAUUAUCAAACUUAUUCAUGGUUGUAAAACUGCAAAAUAAAUGAACAUACAUGCUUAACAAAAUUUGAGCCAAACAUAAAUCAUAAUUAAGGGUGUAAAUGAAUAGAACGUUCAAUGAACUAUUCGUGAAUCGCUCAUAUAACAUUAGUUUAUGUUCAUUUAUUAAGCUAAAUAAACGAGUAUGAAAAAAAUUCUUAUGUUCGUUUACUAAACGAACGAACAUGAAUAGAGGUGUGUUCAAUUCGUCUAUGUUCACAAACAAGCUUGUUUAUUGGCUCGCUUAUAAGUUUGUUUGUUGACUCGUUUAUGACUUGUUUAUUUAUUAAUGAUAUUUUCUUAUAAAAAUUUUAUUAGUAUAUAUUAAUUAAAUUAUCUUAAAACUCGUUUAUUGUUCCAUUAGUAUAUAUUAAUAAAAUUAUCUUGGUUUGUAUUUUUUCAUUUAUAAUAUAAUUAUUAAUAUUUAAAUUUGACUAUUUUAUAUCUAAAUAAUAUAUGUGUGUAUGUAUUUAUUGUUGGUUUAUUAUUUAUUAUCAUUGUUCGUAAACAUGUUCAAUUAAGUUAAAUGAACAUGUUCGUGAGCAUUAAACAAACGAACAUAAACAAAAUUUGAAAUUCUUAACGAACAUAAAUUGAAUACGAACAAGCUUACAAAUAAAUAAGUGAACAUGAACAGAGGUUUGUUCGUUCAAGCUCAGUUCAUUUACAACCCUAAUCAUAAUUUACCAAUGCAAAUUCUGUUAAUAAUGAAUCUAGUGACAUAAAAAUUGCCUGUGGACUAAAUUUUUAAUUCAAUUAGAUCCAUUUUAUGAUAGAAUUAUUUACUAUCAUUUUGAUAAAAAUUCUUAAAUUCAUUUUCAUAAUUCAUAUGGAUAACUAUGAAAAAUCAUUUAAUAAUUUUAUGUUAAUAAAUUUUGCAAUAGGAUUUAAUACUUAUGGUUUCCAUAUGUGAUUUUUAACUUUAAUAAUUUUAUUUAACUAAAGAUGUUGUGGCUAGUCUUUAACUAAAUAAAAUUACGAAAAUCACUUACCUAGAUAUUAAUCCUUAAAUUUAUUCAAGAUUGUUGCUAAGUCAUUAUGUAACAUCUAAUGUCUAUAAACCUUAUAAGAUCCUCACUACAAUAAAUAAUUUCAUUUAAUUAAAGUUGUUGUGGCUACUUCUCUAAUUAAAUAAAACCAUUUGGAUCCCUAGAUAUAUAUUCGAAAGUUUUAUUGCUAAAUAUCUUAUGCAAUAAGUCUAAAAUUUUUAUGUACCUAAAAGUGUAUGUCACUAAUAACUAGAUAAUUCAAAUACAACAAUUUUACUUCAGGCACAUAAAAUAUAUUCAAAGAACAAAUUUUUAAAAAGAUUUUACUAAAUUAUUUAUAGCAUAAUUAAUUUUAGAAAUUUCACUUUAAUAAAAUCUCACGAUUUUACACAAAAGUUUACAAUAAAAUUCUUAAAAAACAUUUAAAAAUAAUUAAAGAAACAUGGAAUCGUUAUUUUGAGAAAUUGACAAAAUUUUAAAACUAGAAAAGACAGAGAUUAACCUGGCUCAGAUACCAAAUGUAAGCAUAAAUUAUGGUUUAAAACGUGAAAGUGUAGCGGAAAAGAUCGAAUAUAAAUACCUCCGACCAUUAUCUAAACCAAAUGUCAAAAUCCAGAUGUUGUAACACCAUUGAUCGAGCAUGCCAAACAACCGAUGAGGAUGUUGUAUUUAGCUAUACAAAAAUACGAAAAAUCAAAAAAUACAAAAAUCGCCAAAAUUUUUAAACACUCGAAAACCUCAUUAGAUAAAAUUGUUUUAGAAUUUGUUUUUAGCGCUUAAGGGUAUUAUACUUGAAGGUAUUUAUGGUGGUGGUUUCCCAUCAAAAACCACUAAUCACAUCCCCACUAUCACACAAACAAUAUGGAAGUGGAGGGAAACAAAAUGAGAAACAUGGGAAUAACCCCACGAACCAAUAACUCAUUUCCAACAUUUUCAGCAUUAGAUGGAGCUUAAUCUGUAUGCAUUGUUUAGAUUCUUUUUUUAAAAUAAUGAUCAAUGCCUGCAACAACUUUGUCUUGACUUAUUUUUUUCUUUAAAGUCUGCGUAAAAAAAAGUCCCACACAUGAUCAAGUCAGGUCUCUACAUGUUAUAAAUAGAACGUUGGUAAUGACAAUGUAUCGCAAAGAAAAAGAGAGAGAAAAAUAAAGAACACACAGAUUUUUCGUGGAAAAAAGUAGUUUUUACAUCUAAUUGCUCAAACUCUAAAUCAUGCAUGGCCACAAUAUCAAGCAAAGCUCGAAUAGAACUAUGCUUCACAACUGGGGAGCACACAUCUGUAAAGUCCACUCUUUGAAUUUGACUGUAACCCUUUGCAACAAGCCUUGCUUUAUAUCUGGGUUCUUCAACUCCUAGAGUCCCCUCUUUCUUUUUAAACACCCAUUUACAACGAACAACCUUUUUACCUUUAGGAAGUUUCACAAUACCCCAUGUUUUUUUUGUGGAGUGACUCCAUCUCUUUUUGCAUAGCAAACAUCCACUUUUCUGAGUCUUCACAACUAACCGCCUCAGAAUAAUUAGAUGACUCUUGGUUUGCAUCUAAAUCUUGAGCCACAGUUAAAGUAUAAGCAACUAGAUUAGCCUCAGCAUACUUUUUUGGAGGUUUAAUUUCUCUUCUAGUUCUGUUUUUGGUGAUAGAGUAUUGUGGUGAAUAAGCAACUCUAUUUUGAAUUUUUGUACUGGCUUGAGGAGUCAAAUCUGUUGUAGAUUCUGGAUUAACAUAAUGUUCCACCUUUUCUUGAUUUUCUUUAUUGGAAGAGCCUUUAAGAGGUAAGUUAGAUAGCAUAGUAGUUUCAUCAAAAACAUCUCUGCUAAUCAAAACUUUUCUAUUUUCAGGACACCAUAACUUAUACCCUUUUACACCAGCUUUAUAACCAAGAAAAACACGUUUAAUGGAUCUCGGUUCCAAUUUUCCAUUAUCAACAUAAGCACACGCAGGACACCCAAAGAUCUUUAAAUCAGAAUAGUCAGUAGGAUUACCAGACCAUACCUCUUGUGGAGUCUUUUUCUCAAUGGCAACUGAUGGAGAUCGGUUGAUUAAAAAACAUGCAGUGGAGGCUACUUCGCCCCAAAAUGAAUUUGAUAAGUUGGCAUUUGACAACAUAUAUCGAACCUUCUCCAUGAUCAUUCUGUUCAUUCGUUCUGCAACACCGUUUUGCUGUGGAGUAUAACGAACUGUCAAGUGUCUCACGAUCCCUUCUGACUUGCACAGUUUAUUAAACUUAUCAGCACAGAACUCUAAGCCUUUGUUUAUACGGAGGUAUUUUAUUUGUUUUCCCGUUUAUUUUUCAAUCAUAGUUUUCCAAGACUUAAAUGUGGAAAACACAUCAAUUUUUUACUUUAAGAAGAAUGCCCAAACUUUCCUGGAAAAAUCAUCAAUAAAAGUUAGCAUAUAAUUAGCUCCACCUCUCGAAGGCACUCUGGAUGGCCCCCAUAGAUCGAAUGAAUAUACUCCAACGUUCCCUUCGUGUUAUGGAUUCCUCUGAUGAAUUAAGGGAACCUUUGGAAAUCUUUAAAACCCCACUUUCAGUUGUGUAUUUGUACCCUUUUGAAUUAAGAGUACUUAACGAAAUUAAAUUUCUCUUCAAUUCUGGAACAUGUCGUAUGUCACUAAGUGUUCUGACAACUCCAUCAAACAUCUUAACUUUAAUUGUUCCAACACCUGCAAUUCUACAUGAAGUAUUAUUUCCCAUCAAAACAACACCUUCUGAUACUAUUUUGUAAGUUGUAAACCAAUCUCGAUCGGGACUCAUAUGGAAGGUACAGCCUGAAUCAAGGAUCCACUCCUCGCUUACUUUAGAAUUGUUGGCAAAAGCGACUAGAAGUUCACCAUCACUGUAGUCUUCUACAACAUCAGCUUUACCAAAAUUUUCUGGUUGUUUUCCAUUUUGAUUCGCAGCCUCCCUUUUGAUCUUAUUCUGUAGCUUAUAACACUCAGAUUUAAUGUACCCUUUCUACUUGCAGAAGUUACAAGUUUUACCUAUUUUUGAAGACUUCGAUCUACCCUUAGAUUUACCGUGAUGAUUUCGUUCCUGUGUCCUUCCACUAUCAUCAUCAGCAUUUCGAUCUUAUCUCUCACGAACAAUGAGACCCUCUCCCUAAGAGCCGAUUUUAACCACAAGAUGCUUCAUCUUAUCAUAUGAAGUUAAAGAAUCAUAAACCUCAUCAACUGUGAGAGACUCGCGGCUAUAUAAAAUCGUAUGUCCAAAGGUUGAAUAAGACGGGGGCAACGAACAAAGUAGAAUUAACCCUAGAUCUUCCUUAUCAUACUGAACCUCCAUGGCCUCCAAGUUUAAGAGAAUUUCUUUAAACACUGUUAAGUGUUCGUGCAUAAACACACCUUCCUCCAAACGAUGAGCAUAAAAACGCUACUUCAUAUGCAGCUUGCUAGUUAGAGUUUUCGACAUACAUAUUUGUUCCAACCUCUUCCAUAAUCCAGGGGUGGCCUUCUCCUUCAUCACAUCCUGUAAAAUUUCGUUAGAAAAAUGCAGAUGUAACUAUGUUGAUGCAUUUCGAUCCUUGUGCUUCUUCUCUUCCUCUAUCAAUGUUGAAGGCAACUUAUCUACCCCUGGUAGGGCUUCCUUUAAGUCCAUCUAUGCAAGAACUGCCUGCAUCCUUAUUUGCCACAACGUGAAUCUGGUGUUGCGUUCCAAUAGUGAAAUUUCAUACUUCAAAGACGUCAUUACCAUGAUUGCGAUGAAGAACCUGAAAGCUCUGAUACCAAUUUGUUAAAAAUAGAACAUAGGUAAUGAAAAUGUAUCACAAAAAAAAAGAGAGAAAAAAAUAAAGAACAUACAGAUUUUACGUGAAAACCCUUUUGAGAAAAAAACCAUGGGCAGAGGAAAAGAUAAUUCACUAUGUCGAAUCCAAAUAAUUACAAGAGAAGUAGACUAUGUCAAUUUAUAGGCUUUUAAAACCAUAUUCUAAUAGGAGUGUAGUAAGAUUGAAACACCUUAUUCUAAUCAAUGUCAAAUUGAUAGAGUUUAAAAAGUUUUAAAAAACCUUAUUCUAAAAUAAAUAAAAGAAGUAUACUUCUAAAGGGAUUUUACUUUGUUUUAUUUUACCACUGUAUUUUAUUUAAAUAAGGAUUUGAGUCACUUAAUUCUAACACUACAUAUGCAACAGAGUGUUAAAAAAAACCAGUUGUUCUUUUAGUGCAUUUGUUACGAAAUCUUUAGAUCAUGAACACUUUCAUUUUGUUAGUCGGAGUUAAGGUGAGUGUACUCAUUUCUUCAUAUAUGUGAAGAAUCAUAAUCUCGUCAUUAUGUCAGUAUAUACAUGUUUAACAUAGGUAUUUUUGGGAAAAUAAUAUCACAAAGAAAAUGGAGGUUACAACCAAAGCUAUGACAAACAAGUUAGGAUAGUUUAUAAGUUUAUAUAUCCUUUCAUAAAGAUGAGAAGCCAUUAAAGGGAACCCUGUUAGUGAAGAAGAACAGACAAACAUUUGCAACAUUGUUAUCGACCUUGCAAUAUAAUUUGUUGUCUGCCGCUGUCAUAGUCUGACGGAAUGCCGUCAUUACCUUGAGCAUUCGCACCUGAGGGUUCACUGAGCAAAUACUCGGUCUCCUUCGAUUCAUCUUUCACCCAUGGAUGCUUUGGAUUUGAUCUUAGACCCUCUAAUUCCAUUGCAACUUCCUUCAUUGAGGGCCUCUCUUCUCCUCUAACUCUUAAGCACUUGUUUGCCAACAUAGCAACUUCUUUUAUCUGUGUAGUGUUUCCCUCAACAAGCACUUAAUGAUCAAUAAUUUUGAAUAAUUGGUCCUUCUUCAACGCGGAAACGAAAUGCAUUGCUAGAUUCCGUUCUUCUUCCGGCAUUUGAAAACAAAGUGCCUUUCUCUUGGUCAGUAACUCCGCAAGGACUACUCCGAAGCUGUACACGUCGCUCUUUUCAGUUAACUGGCUUGAUUGAAAGUACUCUGGAUCUAAGUAACCAAGUGUCCCUUGUACCAAUGUGGUUAACUGUGUUUGAUCCAAAGGAACUAACCUCGAAGCUCCGAAAUCUGACACUUUUGCAGUGUAAUGUUCAUCUAAGAGAAUGUUGGUAGACUUAACAUCUCUAUGAAUAAUGGGAGGAUAAGCAGCUGAGUGCAGAUAUGAGAGUGCUCCAGCAGUUUCAGCUGCAAUUCUCAACCUACAUUCCCAAGACAAAUACCCUUUGCCCGAACAAUGUAGGCUUUGAUGAAGGGUACCAUUGCAUAUAAAUUCGUAAACCAACAAAGGGACUUCGGUCUCUAAACAACAUCCCAAGAGCUUCACAACAUUUCUAUGGUUAACCUGAGAAAGAACAAUGACUUCAUUAAUGAACUGUUCAACUUGACUGUGAUCUGCAAUCAUGGAUUUUUUAAUGGCGACAACCCUGUUGUCUUGCAAUAUUCCUUUAUAAACUGUCCCAUGGCCUCCUUUUCCGAGAAUUCUAGUUUCAUGGAAGUUGUUUGUUGCCUUUUUCAGCUCUUCUGAAGUGAAUAUUUUAGCUGAAAUAGACCCUUUAAGCUUUGAAAAUUCUUGUUGUAAGAUAAUUCCACCAUUUUGUAGGAAGAAAUUUUCUCUUUGCCUGAUAAGCUUUCUUUGCCAAAGUCCCCAAUAUAUCCAGGAAAUGCUCAAUACGAACACUAAAAGGCUCAUACUCACACCUAGUUUAGCAUGAAACAGGGUAACAAAUUGAACUAUUUUUAUUGAAUCUUUAGAACCCAGAAAUAUUUUUACAAUAAAAUUUUAAUAGUAUAAAUUGAUGUUUUUACCUAGACCAAUGUGAACAAAAGGAAAGCCGUCAGGUGCAUCCACAGGACUGCAACCAGUUCCAUUUCUUUUGCCAUCACCUUCAUGCCCACCUUUACAAAUGCAUUUGAAACUUCCUGGUAAAUUGCUGCAUAUGGCAUUUUUAUGGCAGGGACUCCAAAUCUUGCACUCAUCGAUAUCUACAAAAUGAAAAAUCAAUUAACAAGCAAAAGACCGAGUUGCAGACUUGCAGUAUCUAUUUAAAUCCGAUCUUGAUUGACAGCAGAUGUUAAAAGACAUACCUAGGCAACCUUCUGGGAGGUAUGGAUUCCCAUAGAAACCGUCUGGACACUUGCAAAGAUAGCCUGAACCAGUGUCAGGUUCGUGACACUCGCUCCGAUGACAUGCGUAAUUUGACAGAUUCUUAGCAGCUUCGACACACGUCUCGUUGCUCACAACCCAAUCAAGGGACACCGGAAACUUGUAAUCCUCAGAUAUAUACUGAACAUAACCCGAAGAGAACCGAAAUCGACUUUCUUCAACAAUAAAAGCAUAGCUGCAAGGAUUAAAAUCCGACACAUUGACAUGGCGGUUAAAGCUAUAAGCUACCACAUCAAUGGUUUUCAACCCAUCAGGAAUCUGUAUCUGGCAACAUCCGAAUCCCGAACAAGAUCCAUCAACCAAGUCUUCGAACCGAUUGCAUAAGGACAUACACCCGGCUCUAUAACUUUUGUUUCCGACAAAUCCAUAAAGGUAAGCGUAAGUGUCGCAUCCAAUUGCAGUAAACUUGUUUCGGGUAUUUGAGACAUUGUAAAUCGGAAAGGGAGACAAGGAUAUUAUCUGCCGGAUCGUCAUCACAGGGAGCCGUGGAGCACUAUAACAAUCUCGGGCAACUGUGGUUAAGAUUUGCAACUGACCUUCCAUGGUGAUAUCGGUGACAAUGAAAUCAGUGUAUGCUAAGUAGGCUUUGAAGGAGUCGGCAGUUUCAGUGCACUUGAUAUAAAAGUUCUUGUUUAGAUAACAGCCUUCCAUUGUGCCAAAUGGGUAUGGGAUAGUUAAAUCUCCACAAUGAGUAGGACAGCCAUUUUUGGCGAACACUUGAGCUCUUGUCACUGGUAUAAAAGUUACCGCCAUUACCAACAGUACGAGGAUGUUUGGAGAUAAUCUCGUAUGUGAAUCCAUUACUGUCUCUCUUUCCUAAACCUGACACCGAAAGUUAGAUUAAAAGAGGAAGAAUAUAUAUUAAUUCUUUGGAGAAUACGUAUGAAUCCCGGCUUUGUAUCAUCUGGGUUACCUCUAGUUGAGGUUGUCUAUUGGUUUUGAAGCAUGGGAUUAUGUCUGAGUCCAGAAAAAGGUCUAAAACAAACACAAAUGAAUAAACAAGCAAAUGAAGCAAACAUCAGCUGGUAAAAAUGGAAGACUCAUUUCACGAACCAUGGUGAUUUUCCUUUUGUUUUUGUUAUAGUUUUCCACUUUUCUUUGGUUACUUCACCUUUGUGAUGAAUAAACAAGCAAAUGAAGCAAACAUCAGCUGGUAAAAAUGGAAGACUCAUUUCACGAACCAUGGUGAUUUUCCUUUUGUUUUUGUUAUAGUUUUCCACUUUUCUUUGGUUACUUCACCUUUGUGAUGAAUAAACAAGCAAAUGAAGCAAACAUCAGCUGGUAAAAAUGGAAGACUCAUUUCACGAACCAUGGUGAUUUUCCUUUUGUUUUUGUUAUAGUUUUCCACUUUUCUUUGGUUACUUCACCUUUGUGUUUGAUGUGUCUGUUUUUGUUUGAUUGUUUCUGGCUGCUGCCGGAUUUACAACAAAGCUAUUAAUGCGUGUUAAUUAAUAAAUUAACCAGAAAUCCCACAAUUGGUGGGCUACUAAUCAAAUUAAAAUAGUUUUAGUAAUUCAACUAAUUUGAAUGUAGUGAUUACGUAUUUAAAGGUUUGUUCUACAGUUAAAUUCACUUUUAAACUUUAAUUUAUAUAUUUAAAUAAAUUCUAAUUAAAUAAUUUUUUUAUUUAGUAGAAUUGUAAUUCAAAUUCAAAUUAUUUUUGAGAAAAAUAUCACCAAAAAGUGAAAUACAUCAUUUAGAUACAAAUAUAAAAAAGAAUGAUAUUUGAUGCUUUAGUACAGAAGGCUCAUGCACCAUUAAUGUAUAAUAAAAUGAUACAUAGUCAUUAAAUUAAAUAAAAAAAUACUAAUAAUUUUAUUUAAGCAUAAUUAAAUAUUAAUCAUAAUAAUUAUAAAUAAAUAUUAAUAAUUCUGGAAUUUAGACCUUGGGAAAAUAUAAAAAAAAUUAUGGAAUUUGUGAUUAUUUUAAUUAAUGAUACAAACUAUAGGGAUAAAAGUUCAAGAAAAAUUCCCUAUCCCAAAAGUGACCAAAGAUCGGUGCAGAUUAGUUGCUCUAAAUGCAGACAAACAACGAAUUAAGUAACUAUAAACAGGUCCAAAACCAAAAUCAAGACUAGAAAAGAUAACAAAAACACAGUUUAUUGUCUGGUGUUCUGCUAAAAAACCAUUUAUGUACUUGUAUAAAUAGAAAAAAUAGGUGUUUCCUCUUGAUUUACUUUAACUUCAGCCCAUGGAUGUCUGUUCCUCACUCUUAAACCCUCCAGCUCUAUUGCAACUUCCUUCAUGUCGGUCUUUUUCUACUUUAGUUGGGUUCUUGUUGUGUUGUAAUACUUUUUAGAAGCACAUUUGACAUGAAAAUUACUUUUGAAAUAAAAGGAAUGCUAAACAAGUUAUUUUGACUGAAAUUUUUAGUUUUUUAAAAGCAUUUUUUAAUAUAAAAAUUAAAACUUUUUAGUUUUUCUUCUUUCAAAAGCACUUUUAAUACUUAAUUAUUUUUUCAUCUCUCCAAUAACAUAGUAUUUUCGCUUUUCUUUUUCUCUAGUGUUUAAUUACAAAUGUGUUAAAAUCAUUAAUUUAAAAUAGAAAAGAAUUUUUUUAAUAAAAAAUAUUUUUUAGAAUAAUACAAAUGUGUUAAUAUAUAAUUACAAAUAUUUAAUUGUUAUAUUUAAAUAUUUAAAAUAUAAUUUAUAUAUUCUAAUUAAAUUUUAUAAAUAAUUAAUAUUUAUUACUUAAAAAUAUUUAAAAUUUAUAUUUCAUAUAUAAAAAUAUUAACAACAAGUUAUAAUAAAUUAUUUUUUAUAUUCUUACUAAAACAUAAUAAUAUUAACUAAUUUGAACAUGAUUUAAAUGCAUAUUUGUUACUUUAUAAUACCAUGUCUUAAAUGGACAUUUUAUUUCUCAAAAACAAUUUUUGGCAACAAUACUAAAGACUCAAAUAUUAAACUAAACUUUUUAAAAGUACUCCUCAAAAUCACUUUUCCACACCACUUUUUAAAAGUAAUGUUAAUCUAGCCCUAAGAAAGAAAAGAUGGACAAAUCAAAUUUUAGCUUCAUUGAUGUGAACUUCAUGAUUAAGGUGCUGGCUAAUGACUUUUAAGAUGUUUUAAACUGUUUUUGAAUAACCGUUAAUAAUUCUUGGACAUUCUCAUAAUGCUCAAUUGAGCCAUGAACAUCAACAGGAACUUUACUCUUUAUGAAUAUGAUACUUAAGUGAUUAGAUCGCUCCCAUUUUCCACACAUAGCAAGAUCAUUCUAAGUGUUGGUUUCAAUAAUGUGUGGCUCAUAUUUCCUUAUGGCAUAGUCAAUAUCCAAACACCCCAAUUGGAGAAGAAUACUCUCCUUCUAGAACUUAAAGUUCUCACUAGUUAAUUCAGGGAUAUCUACUUUAUUAUCAAACAUAUUCACAGGUUGUAAAACUGUAAAAUAAAUGAACAUACAUGCUUAAAAAAAUUUUGAGCCAAACAUAAAUCAUAAUUAGGGGUGUAAAUGAAUAGAACGUUCAAUGAACUAUUUGUGAACCGUUCGUAUAACAUUAAUUUAUGUUCAUUUAUUAAGCUAACUAAACGAGUAUGAAAAAAUUCUUAUGUUCGUUUAAUAAACGAACGAACACGAACAGAGGUGUGUUCGGUUCGUUUAUGUUCACAAACAAGCUCGUUUAUUGGCUCGUUUAUAAGUUUGUUUAUUGACUCGUUUAUUUAUUAAUGGUAUUUUCUUAUAAAAAUUUUAUUAGUAUAUAUUAAUAAAAUUAUCUUAAAACUCAUUUAUUGUUCCAUUAGUAUAUAUUAAUAAAAUUAUCUUGGUUUGUAUUUUUUUCAUUUAUAAUAUAAUUAUUAAUAUUUAAAUUUGACUAUUUUAUAUCUAAAUAAUAUAUGUGUGUAUGUAUUUAUUGUUCGAUUAUUAUUUAUUAACAUUGUUCGUGAGCAUGUUCAAUUAAGUUAAAUGAACAUGUUCGUGAACAUUAAACAAACGAACAUGAACAAAAUUUGAAAUUCUUAACAAACAUAAAUUGAACACGAACAAGCUUAAAAAUAAACAAAUGAACGUGAACAAAGGUUUGUUCGUUCAAGCUUAGUUCAUUUACAACACUAAUCAUAAUUUACCAAUGCAAAUUAUGUAAAAAAUGAAUUUAGUGACAUAAAAAUUGCCUGUGGACUAAAUUUUUAAUUCAAUUAGAUCUAUUUUAUGAUAGAAAUAUUUACUAUCAUUUUGAUAAAAAUUCUUAAAUUCAUUUUCAUAAUUCCUAUGGAUAACUAUGAAAAAUCAUUUAAUAAUUUUAUAUUAAUAAAUUUUGCAAUAGGAUUUAAUACAUAUGGUUUCCAUAUGUGAUUUUUAACUUUAAGAAUUUUAUUUAACUAAAGAUGUUGUGGCUAGUCUUUAACUAAAUAAAAUUACGAAAAUUACUUACCUAGAUAUUAAUCCUUAAACUUUAUUCAAGAUUGUUGCUAAGUCAUUAUGUAACAUCUAAUGUCUAUAAACCUUAUAAAAUCCUCACUACAAUAAAUAAUUUCAUUUAAUUAAAGUUGUUGUGACUAAUUCUCUAAUUAAAUAAAACCAUUUGGAUCCCUAGAUAUAUAUUCUAAAGUUUUAUUGCUAAAUAUCUUAUGCAAUAAGUCUAAAAUUUUUAUGUACCUAAAAGUGUAUGUCACUAAUAACUAGAUAAUUCACAUACAACAAUUUUACUUCAGGCACAUAAAAUAUAUUCAAAGAACAAAUUUUUGAAAAGAUUUUACUAAAUUAUUUAUAACAUAAUUAAUUUUUGAAAUUUCACUUUAAUAAAAUCUCACGAUUUUACACAAAAGUUUGCAAUAAAAUUCUUAAAAAAUAUUUAAAAAUAAUUAAAGAAAUAUGGAAUUGUUAUUUUGAGAAAUUGACAAAUUUUUAAAACUGGAAAAGACAGAGAUUAACCUGGCUCAGAUUCCAAAUGUAAGCAUAAAUUAUGGUUUAAAACGUGAAAGUAUAGCGGAAAAGAUUGAAUAUAAAUACCCCCGACCAUUACUUGAACCAAAUGUCAAAAUCCAGAUGUUGUAACACCAUUGAUCGAGCACGCCAAACAACCAAUGAGGACGUCGUAUUUAGCUAUACAAAAAUACGAAAAAUCAAAAAAUAAAAAAAUCGCCAAAAUUUUUAAACAGUCGAAAACCUCAUUAGAUAAAAUUGUUUCAGAAUUUGUUUUUAGCGCUUAAGGACUUUAUACUCGAAGGUAUUUAUGGUGGUGGCUUCCCAUCAAAAACCACUAAUCACAUCCCCACUAUCACACAAACAAUAUGGAAGUGGAGGGCAACAAAAUGAGAAACAUGGGAAUAACCCCAUGGAAAAUAACAAAUGCACAGAUUUUACGUGGAAACCCUUUCGGAAAAAAAACCACAGGUAAAGGAGAAGAUAAUUCACUAUGUCGAAUUUGAAUAAUUACAAGAGGAGUAGACUAUGUCUAUUUAUAGGCUUUAAAACCAUAUUCUAAUAGGAGUGUAGUAAGAUUGAAACACCUUAUUCUAAUCAAUAUCAAAUUGAUAGAGUUUAAUAAGGUUUAAAAAACCUUAUUCUAAAAUAAAAUAAAAUAAAAGAAAUAUAGUUCUAUAGAGAUUUUACUUUGUUUUAUUUUACCACUGUAUUUUAUUUAAAUAAGAAUUUGGGUCACUUAAUUCUAACACUACAUAUGCAACUGUUAAAAAAAACCAGUUGUUCUUUUAGUGCAUUUGUUACAAAAUCUUUAGAUCAUGAACACUGUCAUUUUGUUAGUCGGAGUUGAGGUGAGCGUACUCAUUUCUUCAUAUAUGUGAAGAAUCAUAAUCUCGUCAUUAUGUCAGUAUAUACAUGUUUAACAUAGGUAUUUUUGGGAAAAUAAUAUCACAAAUAAAAUGGAGGUUACAACCAAAGCUAUGACAAACAAGUUAGGAUCGUUUAUAAGUUUAUAUAUCCUUUCAUAAAGAUGAGAAGCCGUUAAAGGAAACCCUGUUAGUGAAGAAGAGCAGACAAACAUUUGCAACAUUGUUAUCGACCUUGCAAUAUAAUUUGUUGUCUACCGUUGUCAUAGUCUGACGGACUGCUGUCUUUACCUUGAGCAUUCGCACCUGAGGGUUCACUAAGCAAAUACUCGGUCUCCUUCGAUUCAUCUUUCACCCAUGGAUGCUUUGGAUUUGAUCUUAGACCCUCCAAUUCCAUUGCAACUUCCUUCAUUGAAGGCCUCUCUUCUCCUCUAACCCUUAAGCACUUGUUUGCCAACAUAGCAACUUCCUUUAUCAGUGUAGUGUUUCCCUCAACAAGCACUUGAUGAUCAAUAAUUCCAAAUAAUUGGUCCUUCUUCAACGCGGAAACGAAAUGCAUUGCUAGAUUCCGUUCUUCUUCCGGUAUUUGAAAACAAAGUGCCUUUCUCUUGGUCAGUAACUCCGCAAGGACUACUCCGAAGCUGUACACGUCGCUCUUUUCAGUUAACUGGCUUGAUUGAAAGUACUCUGGAUCUAAGUAACCAAGUGUCCCUUGUACCAAUGUGGUUAACUGUGUUUGAUCCAAAGGAACUAACCUCGAAGCUCCGAAAUCUGACACUUUUGCAGUGUAAUGUUCAUCUAAGAGAAUGUUGGUAGACUUAACAUCUCUAUGAAUAAUGGGGGGAUAAGCAGCUAAGUGCAGAUACGAGAGUGCUCCAGCAGUUUCAGCUGCAAUUCUCAACCUACAUUCCCAAGACAAAUACCCUUUGCCCGAACAAUGUAGGCUUUGAUGAAGGGUACCAUUGGAUAUAAAUUCGUAAACCAACAAAGGAACUUCGGUCUCUAAACAACAUCCCAAGAGCUUCACAACAUUUCUAUGGUUAACCUGAGAAAGAACAAUGACUUCAUUAACGAACUGUUCAACUUGACUGUGAUCUGCAAUCAUUGAUUUUUUUAGUGGCAACAGCCAUGUUGUCUUGCAAUAUUCCUUUAUAAACUGUCCCUUGGCCUCCUUUUCCGAGAAUUCUAGUUUCAUGGAAGUUGUUUGUUGCCUUUUUCAGCUCUUCUGAAGUGAAUAUUUUAGCUGAAACAGACCCUUUAAGCUUUGAAAAUUCUUGUUGUAAGAUAAUUCCACCAUUUUGUAGGAAGAAAUUUUCUCUUUGCCUGAUAAGCUUUCUUUGCCAAAGUCCCCAAUAUAUCCAGGAAAUGCUCAAUACGAACACUAAAAGGCUUAUCCUCACACCUAGUUUAACAUGAAACAGGGUAACAAAUUGAACUAUUUUUAUUGAAUCAUUAGAACCCAGAAAUAUUUUUACAAUAAAAAUAUAGUAGUAUAAAUUGAUGUUUUUACCUAGACCAAUGUGAACAAAAGAAAAGCCGUCAGGUGCAUCCACAGGACUGCAACCAGUUCCAUUUCUUUUGCCAUCACCUUCAUAACCACCUUUACAAAUGCAUUUGAAACUUCCUGGUAAAUUGCUGCAUAUGGCAUUUUUAUGGCAGGGACUCCAAAUCUUGCACUCAUCGAUAUCUACAAAAUGAAAAAUCAAUUAACAAGCAAAAAACCGAGUUGCAGACUUGCAGUAUCUAUUUAAAUCCGAUCUUGAGUGACAGCAGAUGUUAAAAAACAUACCUAGGCAACCUUCUGGGAGGUAUGGAUUCCCAUAGAAACCGUCUGGACACUUGCAAAGAUAGCCCGAACCAGUGUCAGGUUCGUGACACUCGCUCCGAUAACAUGCGUAAUUUGACGGAUUCUUAGCAGCUUCGACACACGUCUCGUUGCUUACAACCCAAUCAAGGGACACCGGAAACUUGUAAUCCUCAGAUAUAUACUGAACAUAACCCGAAGAGAACCGAAAUCGACUUUCUUCAACAAUAAAAGCAUAGCUGCAAGGAUUAAAAUCCGACACAUUGACAUGGCGGUUAAAGCUAUAAGCUACCACAUCAAUGGUUUUCAACCCAUCAGGAAUCUGUAUCUGGCAACAUCCGAAUCCCGAACAAGAUCCAUCAACCAAGUCUUCGAACCGAUUACAUAAGGACAUACACCCGGCUCUAUAACUUUUGUUUCCAACAAAUCCAUAAAGGUAAGCGUAAGUGUCGCAUCCAAUUGCAGUAAACUUGUUUCGGGUAUUUGAGACAUUGUAAAUCGAAAAGGAAGACAAGGAUAUUAUCUACCGGAUCGUCAUCACAGGGAUCCGUGGAGCACUAUAACAAUCUCGAGCAACUGUGGUUAAGAUUUGCAACUGACUUUCCAUGGUGAUAUCGGUGACAAUGAAAUCAGUGUAUGCUAAGUAGGCUUUGAAGGAGUCGGCUGUUUCAGUGCACUUGAUAUAAAAGUUCUUGUUUAGAUAACAGCCUUCCAUUGUGCCAAAUGGGUAUGGGAUAGUUAAAUCUCCACAAUGAGUAGGACAGCCAUUUUUGGCGAACACUUGAGCUCUUGUCACUGGUAUAAAAGUUACCGCCAUUACCAACAGUACGAGGAUGUUUGGAGAUAAUCUCGUAUGUGAAUCCAUUACCGUCUCUCUUUCCUAAACCUGACACCGAAAGUUAGAUUAAAAGAGGAAAAAUAUAUAUUAAUUCUUUGGAGAAUACGUAUGAAUCCCGGCUUUGUAUCAUCUGGGUUACCUCUCGUUGAGGUUGUCUAUUGGUUUUGAAGCAUGGGAUUAUGUCUGAGUCCAGAAAAAGGCCUAAAACAAACACAAAUGAAUAAACAAGCAGAUGAAGCAAACACUAGUUGGUAAAAAUGGAAGACUCAUUUCACGAACCAUGGCGAUUUUCCAUUUUGUUUUUGUUUUAGUUUUCCACUUUUCUUUGGUUACUUCACCUUUGUGUUUGAUGUGUCUGUUUUUGUUUGAUUGUUUCUGGCUGCUACCGGCUUUACAACAAAGCUAUUAAUGCGAUUUAAUUAAUAAAUUAACCAGAAAUCCCACAAUUGGUGGGCUACUAAUCAAAUUAAAAUAGUUUUAGUAAUUCAACUAAUUUGAAUGUGGUGAUUAUGUAUUUAAAGGUUUGUUUUACAGUUAAAUUCACUUUUAAACUUUAAUUUAUAUAUUUAAAUAAAUUCCAAUUAAAUAAAUUUUUUAUUUAGUACAAUUGUAAUUUAAAUUCAAAUUAUUUUUGAGAAAAAUAGCACCAAAAAGUGAAAUACAUCAUUUGGAUACAAAUAUAAAAAUGAAUGAUAUUUGAUGCUUCAUUGCAUAAGUCUCAUGCACCAUUAAUGUAUAAUAAAAUAAUACAUCAUCAUUAAAUUAAAUAAAAAUACUAAUAAUUUUAUUUAAGCAUAAUUAAAUAAUCAUAAUUAUUAUAAAUAAAUAUUAAUAAUUCUGGGAUUUAGACCUUGGGAAAAUAUAAAAAAUUUAUGGAAUUUGUGAUUAUUUUAAUUAAUGAUAUAAACUAUAGGGAUAAAAUUUCGAGAAAAAUUCCCUAUCCCAAGAUCGGUGCAGAUUAGUUGCUCUAAAUGCAGACAAACAACGAAUUAAGUAACUAUAAACAGGUCCAAAACCAAAAUCAAGACUAGAAAAGAUAACAAAAACACAGUUUAUUUUCUGGUGUUCUGCUAAACAACCAUUUAUGUACUUGUAUAAAUAGAAAAAAAUAGGUGUUUCCUCUUGAUUAACUUUAACUUCAGCCCAUGGAUGUCUGUUCCUCACUCUUAAACCCUCCAGCUCUAUUGCAACUUCCUUCAUUGUCGGUCUUUUUCUACUUUAGUUGGGUUCUUGUUGUGUAGUAAUACUUUUUAGAAGCACAUUUUACAUGAAAAAUACUUUUGAAAUAAAAGGAAUGCUAAACAAGUUAUUUUGAUUGAAAUUUUUAACUUUUUAAAAGUAUUUUUAAAUAUAAAAAACUAAAAUUUUUAAUUUUUCUUUUUCCAAAAGUACUUUUAAUGCUUAAUUACUUUUUCAUCUCUCCAACAACAUAGUAUUUUCCUUUUUCUUUUUUUCUGGUGUUUAAUUACAAAUGUGUUAAAAUUAUUAAUUAAAAAUAGUAAAGAAUUUUUUUGAAUAAAAAAUAUUUUUUAGAAUAAUACAAAUGUGUUAAUAUAUAAUUAAAAAUAUUUAAUUGUUAUAUUUAAAUAUUUAAAAUAUAAUUUAUAUAUUCUAAUUAGAUUUUAUAAAUAAUUAAUAUUUAUUACUUAAAAAUAUUUAAAAUUUAUAUUUCAUAUAUAAAAAUAUUAACAACAAGUUAUAAUAAAUUAUGUUUUAUAUUCUUACUAAAAUAUAAUAAUAUUAACUAAUUUGAACAUGAUUUAAAUGCAUAUUUGUUACUUUAUAAUACCAUGUCUUAAAUGGACAUUUUAUUUCUCAAAAAUAAUUUUUGACAAUAAUACUAAAUACUCAAAUAUUAAACUAAACUUUUUAAAAGUACUUCUCAAAAUCACUUUUCCACACAACUUUUUAAAAGUAAUGUUAAACUAACCCUAAGAAAGAAAAAAUGGACAAAUCAAAUUUUAGCAAUCAAAAGUGACUUGCUAUAUUUCCAUUUUUUGAAUACAUACUUUACAUGCAAAAUACAACUUUAAAUAGGAAACACCAACUACAAGCUGACAAGUUGGCAGAUCUAAAUACAUGGAAUCUGCUCAUUGGUUGAUUUCUAUCUAAUCAACAUCACUUACAUUAAACUAUCACAUUAAAAAAAGAAAAUAAUCUAACAACUUUACAAAACAAGUUGACAACUUGUUAGCUUGUAACAAAAGCUUCAGGGUAGUUGGUUAGACUGUCUGCCAUUCUGUCUUACACUUAGACUGUCCGUCACAUUGGCUUGUCUGCCACUCUUGGACUGUCUGACAUAUUUGGAUUGUCCGUCACUCUUAGACUUUCCACCACACUGUUCACCAAAGUCUGUCUGCUCUAUAGUCCACCAUCUAAUAGUUUGCCAUUCUCCUGGUGUUUAACUUGUUCGCCAGAUAUGUGACUUGUUGCAUGAAUGACCAUCUCACAACAACCUUUCACUCUUAAACACCUCUUUGCUAAUUCAUAAACCUCUUUAAUCUGCUCAAUAUCUCUUUCUUUAACCACUUUAUCAUCUAGAAUCUUAACAAUCGAUCAUCUCUCAAUGAUUUAAGAAAAUAGUUGACUAAAUUUCUUUCUUCUUCAGGACGUCAAAGGAAAGUGCUUUUUUGUCGAUUAAUAGCUUGACAAGGACGACACCAAAGCUAUAGACGUCACUUUUCUCAUUUAUUUGGCUUGUUUGCAAGUAUUUGGGGUUUAAAUAUUUGUUGGAGUUUUUAAGCCAAGAAGAACAUUAAACAAAAACAGAUAACAAAGCUAUAAGAAGCAUGAAACAAUAUACUUGCUCACAAACGUGCAACAAGGAAUGAAAAACAGAUUUUCAUUACAAACAACAAAGCAUCACAUGUUUUUUUUAUAGUCAAUCAACUUAUCAAACACAACUAACCCCACUAACCAACCUAGUAACUUGUGAAACAUUUCUUGUACACUAAAACAAGCCAACUAACAAAUCCUUCAUUACCUAAACACAUAAAGCUAUCAUCAAGCUUGUUCAUUUUCAACUAAGCAAAAUUACAUUGCAACCAAAACAAAAAAACUUGUUAAUGCAGCAUGCACAUGAGCUGCAGCAUGCAUACAAGUAUGCACUACAAAAAAAUCAUUUUAGUAGCAUGGUUGGCCAUUUUUCAACACUCCUCUUUGGCCUCCAUGCUGCAAACACCAAUCGUUUUUCUCAAUAAUUCAAACCAAGCAUCAAAUGGAGUUUUCUUCUCCUGCACAACCUUGGCAAGCAUUCAAACCAAGCUUCAAAUAGAGUCUUCUCCUCCUUCACAACCUUGGUUGGCAAUUAGAUCAACAAAUACACUGAGGUAUUCACAGUCUUAGCCAAGAAAUUGUUUGGCAGCUUGCCAUCAAAUAAUGAGCAUCUUGUUCAUUAUAGUCCUAUUUCUUCUUACACAUACUCUGUUCUGCUAUGAAAUGUAAAUGUUGGUGAGCUACUGAGGACGGACUAAAGUAAUUUAUGUCUUCUUAACAAGCAGCCCUAAAAUUGACAGGCUCUAGUAGCUUCUGUCUUUCUUAACAAGCAGUAGAAAGAAAAUCAAUGGCCCUCAAUUAUGACAAGCUCUUGAUACCAAUUUUUUGAGGUUUUAAGCCAAGAAGAACAAAGAACAAAAAUAGAGGACAAAGCAACAAGAAACAUGAAACAAUUUACUUGCUCACAAACAUGCAACAAUGAGUGAAAAAUAGAUUUUCAUUGCAAUCAACAAAGCAUUACAUGUUUUUUUAUAGUCAAUCAACUUAGCAAACACAACUAACCCCACUAAUCAACCCUGCAACUUGUGUGUUGAGUAUGACUCCUAUUUCAGUCAAAUUUGAGAAAUAAUCUUCUAGUUAAACUCUGUUUAUUUGUUUCAAUCAAACUCUGAUUAGCCUAGAUUAUUUUAUUAUUUGACCUAUGAAUUUAGCCUAUAAAUAGGCUCUUUUACAACCUUAGAAAAUACACUUAACACUUUUGGAGAAUUUUGUGUUUAUGUUGUGAGGGUUCUUUGUUUUCGGGUUUUAAGGUUUAAUUUUUAUCUCCAUCUUUGUACAUUUUUUUUAUUUUGCCAUUAUAGUAAAAUUAUCUUUGCCUAUGGUUUUUUUAUCCUAUUUGGAGGGGUUUUUCCAAGUUAAAUUUGUAUGUUCAAUUUUUCAAUUUCUUCCUCUUUUUUUUACUUGUUCGUUGCUUAAUCGGGUCGAUCCCCAACAUUGUGAAACAUUACUUGUACAUUAAGACAAGCCAACUAAACAAGUUAUUCAUUCCCUAAACACAUCAACCUAUCAUCAAGCUUGUUCAUUUUCAACUAAGCAAAAUCACAUUGCAACUAAAACAUAAUACUUGUUAAUGCAGUAUGCACACGAGCUACAGCAUGCAUACAAACUGUAUGCACUCAAAAAAAUCAUUUUAGCAAUAUUGUUGGCCAUUUUUCAAUAAUAUCUCAAUGUUCCUUACACCAGUGUUGUUAGUUGAGUUUGAUGUAGUGGCACUCAUCGAGAUGCUCCGAAAUCUGAAACUUUUGUAGUAUAAUUAUCUUCCGGAAGGAUGUUUGUAGGCUUCAUAUCUCUAUGAAUUAUUGGUGUCAAAGCUGCAUAGUGUAAAUAUGAAAGCACUCAUGCUGAUUAUGUAGCUACCCUUAACUGAAUUUCCCAAGAAAUCGAAUAAGCUUUGUCUUCACAGUGGAUGUGUUCGUACACUGUGCCAUUAGAAACAAAUUCAUAAACCAAAAAGGGGACCUCAAUCUCCAAGAAACAACCUAAAAGUUUGACCACAUUUCUAUGGUUUAUUUGGGAUAGAAUGAUAACCUCAUUGAUGAACUGAUUAAUUUGGCUUUGAUCAACAAUUUUAGAUUUCUUGAUGGCUACCUUUGUGUCAUUCUCCAAAUACCUUUGUAAACUGUGUCGAAGCCUCCCUUCCCAAUAAUGUGGCUCUCAUCAUAGUUUUUGGUUGUGUUUUUAAGCUCUUUUACACUGAAAAUCAUGAUGGUUUCGGUUGAUACUUGUUGUUCAUUUAGCUCUUGCUGUAACAGUAAACCACCAUUUCUCUGAAAGAAUUUCUUUUUCAUGUUGAAUAGCUUUCUUUUCUUGCAUAUGAAGAACAACCAUGAAGAGCCCACAAUAGCAACCAAUACACUUAAGUCGGUAGUUACCAUUAAACAACAGCUAAAACAUUACACAUGAUAUUAACACUAUAUGCUGGAGAACACAGUUUCGUUGUCAAUAUUUAUGUAUAAAAGCUAAAAUUAGAAACGAACACCUACCAAUUGAGAUUCGUAUGAUAUUUACUACAUUUGGUAUGCAGCCAGUUCCAUCUUUUCUGCCAUCCCCAUGACCUGAUAAGUUAUAAAAUUCACAUAUUUUAAUCUCAUUCUUAAUGCGUUUUUGGAUGAUUAAUUGUACAAAUUAGUGAAUUUGAUGUUCCUAAUCCUUUAAAUUCAUGUUUUUAUACUUAGGAGAGAAUUUGGGAACAAAAGGAGAGAAAAAUGAGCCAAAAUCAGACAAACAGAGUUUUUUUUCAAGAUCCACAUGGCCUAGGCAUUUCCACACAGCUUGGCAACACACCCGUGUGAGCCACACACCCAAGUGCCAGCCCGUGUCGAUUUUGCACCCUGCUUCCCAUAUACAUGGAAAAACUCAAUUUUUAGGCUUUUUGAGCAUUGUAAACUCUAUAAAUACCAAUUAGAAGAAGACCUAAGGGGCACUCAAAGAAGAUUGAAGAAAACACUCGAAAAACGCCAUUAGAAUCAACUCAGAAGUGGAUCUCCCUCAAGAUCGAAGAUCUCCCUUUAAUUUCUUUCGAAGUUUUUUUGAGUUUCUUUAUGUCUUGUGGUUAUCCUAACUUUGAUAUGCUUCUAUUCAGGAUUAUGAACUUAAUUCCCUAGAUACCUAGGGAUGAUGAAACCUACGAUGAAUAAUAUUAUUUAAUUUCUGAUUUACAUGAUAAAUAUUUUAUUCUUGUUCUCAAUUAUGAAUGAUUAAUUCUUGUUUUAAUAUUUUCGCAAUAUUAAUUUAUGUUAAAUGUGCUUAUUUUAGUGGAGCAAAAAUCCCUGUUUAAAAGUAGAUCUAGCAUAAUUGAGUGGAGUUGCAUGCAAUCCUAGAAAUAGGACGACAUUAAUCUACCCGAUUAAAGUCAAAUCUAAUAAGGGAAUCCAUAGAUCGAGUUAAUGCGACAAUAGGGCUUUUAAUUAGAAAAAGGUUUCAAUUAAUCAACCUAGAGUCAGUUGUUCUUACUCUCGAAAGAGAAAUUAACAUAAUUUAAGGAUUUCUAAGGAUCAAGACACAAGUGAAUAAAUCGUUUAAUUUAGAUUCAUAAUAAUAGGUGAAGUCUAAGUGGAUUCUUUCCUGGGUAUUGUCUAUCUCAUUGGUUAUCUUCAAUUAUGUUCCUAUUUCAUUCUUUGUUGCGUUCUUAGUUAGAUUCGUUUAGUAAUUUUAGGUUAAAAACAAUUACUCCAAUUUGUCGGCUAAAUAAUAGAAAAACGGUAUUUGUUAGUACUUUUAGUUCUGGUGGAUACGAUAUUCCCUACUCACCAUAACUAUUCUAUUGUUCGAUAGGUGCACUUGCCUUAGUCGUAUUUAUAGUUAGUUCAGUGACCAUCAAAACCUUUCCAGAUGAACAAGUAUAAUUUCCCAACGUAUUAAUGCAAUUCUUUUCAGAAACACAAUUGUGGAAGCUUGAAUUUUUGCACUCAUCAAUAUUUGAAAAUCAUUAAAAGAAACUGGUAAUCCUAAAAUAGCAAAACAAGAAUAGAUAAAGCCAUGUCGAAAAUGGUAAUGUGAGCAUAAGAUUAGGGGUGAGCAAAAUUCGAUUCGACUCGAAAAAAUCGAAAAAAAUUCGAAUUUCGAGUUAAACGAAUCGAGUUAUUCGAAUCAACUCAAUUUUUUUUUCGAAUUUCGAGUUCAAAUCGAGUUGAGUUUUCGAAUUCGAAUAACUCGAAUAAUUCGAAUAAUUCGAAUAUCAAACUAUAAUAUUUUACAUUUUUACCCUAAACUCCCAAACCUUUUUACCUUUCCCUCAAAACUUUUACUCCUUCCCAUUUUCCCCCAAAACUUUUACUCCCCCCCUUCCAACCCCCCAAUCUACCCAAAAUCUAUUUCCCACCAAAAUUUUACUCUUCCAUUUAUUUUUUCUCAAAAUUUUACUCCCAAAAACCCUCAAAACCUUUUAUUUUCCUCCAAAAUUUUUACUCUCUUCCACUUUUCCUCUAAAACUUUUAUUCUCUUCCCAUCCCACCUCCCACCUUCCAUCUACCCCAAACCCUCCCCCCUCCAAUUUUUUUUUAAAUAUUUUCCACCCAAAAUUUUACAACCCCUAUUUACUUUCCCUCAAACUUUUAUUCCCCAAAAUUUUUUAUUUUCCCCCUAAACUUUUACUUCUCACCCUUUACUCUCAAAUAAAAAAUCAAAAUUAUCCAAAAAAAAUCACUAAACAUAAAUAGUAAUAAUUUUAUUUAUAUCUACUAUUUAUAUUAUUAAAUUAAAUUUCAUAUUUUAUAUUAUUUAUAUUAUUGGAUUGUUUAGUCAUAUUAAAUAUUUAUAUUAAAAUUGAAUUAUUAAUUAUGCCAUAAAAUAUUCGUGUUAAAAUUUUAUAUUGGUAUCAAUUUCACAUUUUAUUUUUAAAAUAAAUUUUAUUAAAAAAUCAUAUUUUUACAUUUAAUAUAUUUUUUAAUUCCAAAAUACAUAGUGACAAGAAUCUGAAGAUAAUUGAAACAACUAAGCAAAUAAAGAAGCUGACCAGUAUAUAAAAAAUUAAUAAACAAAUUAUGAGGUGAUGAAAGUUAAUAAAAAAAUUGAUUAAGGUAGACAAAUUUUAUUACGAUGGGUGACAAUGGUUACAAGGACCCAAAAUUAUUUUUUUUAAAUUUAACUCGAACAAGUAUAUUCGAUUCGAUUCGAUUCGAUUCGAUUCGAAUUUCAUCUCACUUGACUCGUUUCGAGAAAACUUCAAAUAAAGUUAGGAUGAUAAAAUGAGAUUCGAAAACUCGAUUAACUCGAAAAUUUUCGAUUCGAUUCGAUCGAAUGCUCACCCCUACAUAAGAUAGAUAUACCUUAGCAACCAUUGAGUACAUAAGGGUUUCCACAGUAGCCAUCCUUGCACUUGCAGAUAUGACCAAACAUAUUUUUAGGAUCAUAGCAUAUGUUAUUUUGUUUACAAGUAUAUUCAGGUUUAUGCUCAGUUGCAUUGCAACGUUCAGUUCCAAUCGCCCAAUCAAGCAACAAAGGAAUAGAUUCUGCGUUCACCAACUCAUCAAAACUUUUAUAGCUGAAACUGAACUCUCAUCAACAACAAAGGCGUAGCUACAAGGAUUGAAGUCCCACACAUUUGUAUGAUUCUUGAAGCUUGUUACUGAUACGUUAAGAUUCUUGAGUCCACUAGGAAUGAAGAUCUGGUAGCGUCCUAUACCGGAGCAAGAACUAUCAAGGGGAUGUGUCUUUUUUGUCGUAAUAUGACAUGCAGCCCGUAUAAUAUUUAGUAUCAAUACCCUCACAUUCAGCCAUGAUAGUGGCGCAAGUGUCGCGGCCAACAGUAGUGAACUUGUUUUUAGGCUUUGAGAUAGUGAACAUGGAAGCCCACAGCCAAGAGUAUUACCGUUCCACAUUUCUGCGAAAGGCGUCAUAACAAUCCUUAGCUAUAUAUGCAAGAAUUCUAGCUGACCUUCAAGCGUUAUGUCGGUGAUAAACAAGUUACCAUGUAGUUUUUGUGGUCUAAGGGCCUGAAAGACUGGUUGCAAUAGAUUGAAAAAUUCUGGUUCAAGUAACAGCAUUGGUUCAUGCUGAAAUGAUAUAAUGCUCACAUUUCUACACUUCACCAAUCAACUUGGUAAGGCUUGAGAAUGAGAAGCUACUGAUGCUGAUGCGGCUACAAGAAACCAGGCCCAGCUAAACAAGACAACUGAAGAAUUCCACCCUUCAUAGCCAUUGCCAAAGGUAACAAUAGUGAUUAUACGCACUUGAUAUAUAGUCGAAUGCUUGAAACUUUUAAUGGUUUUUUCCAUCUUCAGUUUCACCUUAAGAGAACGAUCAAGAUUCAAGAAUAUAAUGAUUAAACUUUCUAAAAGCCAAUUAAAGUUCAUUGAAUAUGAUCCAAAGUUGUCGCUUAUGAUAUGUUAGAUACUAUGCAAAAAUGUAUGAAUAGAAAGAUAAACUGUAACACCCCUUAACCCCAAUCCAUCACCGAAACAGGGUUACGAGGCAUUACCGGACAUUUCGAACAAUCUACAAAAUUUUUUUUAAACAAAUAACAAACAUAUAUAAAAGAAUCAUAAAUUCAUAUAAAUUUUACUAAUUGACUUCAUUCAUUAUUAUUAUUAUAUAUAUAUAUUUAAAAUUUUCGGCAGUACUUCUGCUUAUUUUUACAUAAAACCUCCUGCAAAUUAAAACCAUACCAUUUCCAAAUAUAACCAAAUCAACCAAUUCAUUUCACAUUCACAUUUUCUAUUCUAAAUACUUCUAAUCAAACUCAAUCUACAUAAUAUCAAUUUAAAUUUAACAAGGUAAUAAAUAAAUCAAAAUAGAUAAACUUCUUUCAUUAUAAAUCUUAAACUUAUAAUACUAACAUUUUUAACCAUUUAUAUUAAAACAUAAUAAACUUUAUACACAUUCUAUGUACAUGCCACAUUACCAAAAGAAAAUAUACAUCACCAAAAUUAUGCUGAAGCCGGGAUUAAUCUGGAUGCUGAACCGGGACCUUUGACUUCUAUCGACCUGCGCACGGAAACAACCGUACGCUGAGUAUUUCAUACUCAGUGGUAUUACCAUAAUUCAAAUCAUAAUAAUAAUAAUAAACAUAUAAUGCAUAAUUGUAUAUACAAAUUUAAAUUCAAUAUCUCAACAGUAGCAAUCCAUCAAUCAAUAUCAUAUAUCCACAAUUUGAAUUUGAACAUAUCAUGAACCUUAGGUUCAUUUCUCAAUCUCAUUUCACAUUUCAAUUCACAAUUCAACUUUUUCAUUUCAUUUCAAUAGCUCGUUUGACCAACUCGUUCGGUUUAUCAUUUCAUCAUUUACCCUAUUAAAAAAACUCAAACUUUGGCGGAUACGUGGAUCCAACCAAACACACUAGAAUGGCACCCAGUGCCUCAUCGGAUAGUUCGAAGCAAAGUUGACACCCAGUGUCUCAUCGACAAAGCCGAAGAAAGUUGGUACCCAGUACCUCAUCGAAUCUAUCCGAAGAAAUAUAGUGACACCCAGUGUCUCAUCGACUCGAGGUCGAAGUAUCCCUGAACUCUUCCAAUCCUAUGGCAUGCCAACUAUAUCUGACUCAGCCUGACUAGUUAAUAGGGUAUUUAAAUCACAUAUAACCUCAAUUCAAUCACAAUUUCUCACAUUUUCAAUUCAAUCAUUUUUCCACCUUUCAAUCAAUAAUUAGUCCACAAAUUCACACAUUUUCACAACUCAAUACAUUUCCAUACAAUUUAAUACCAUUCACAAUUCAAUUCAAAUUCACUUUCCGCUUUCAAUCAACAAACAAUUCAAAUAUUAAUCCAUAUCAACUAUUCAAUUUAAUUCCCACUAAUAAUAAUAAUAAUAUUAUUAUUAUUAUUAUUAUUAUUAUUAAUACUUACCUCACAUUUCAUUUACUAAACACAUAAAUUUAAAUUUAACAUUUAAUAAUAAAUAACUUGAAUUAUAGUAAUACAAACUGUAAAUCUCCCGUUUUAGUCAUCGAUAGCUUUCUCCUUUCCUUUUGAUGCCGAUGCCUCGGGUUCUUUGUUAGCUACGAAAAUAAUAAUAAUAAUAAUUUAUACUAUUAAUUACAGCACUAAUUAUAGUAAAUAAUUAAAUUUCUAAUCAAUUCCUACCUUGUUCUCAAUUUAAUCCUAACUAAGUUCACUUACUUUUCUAAUUUAAUUCACACUCUAUUUCUAUUCAAAUUUCAUCCAAACUCAAAUUUAACUAUCAAAAUUUCAACAUAUUUUCCUAAUUUCGAAUUUCUCUAAAUUUAAUCCCUAAAACAUAAAACUUAUAGUUUCUUUUACAAUUUAAUCCCUUUAGCAAUUCUAACUUAAAAUUCAUUCAAUUAAAUCCCGAAUUCAACAAUUUAUUCAACAUGAACCAUACUUAAAAACCUAUGAACUUACAAAAUAUCAACUCAAUUCCAUCAAAACUUUGUUUUAAAGUUUCUAAAUCAUCAAAACUAAAUAAAAAAGGCUUAAUUGACUUACCAAAUUAACUCCAAGCUUUAAAAAUCUAUUUUCCCCUUUUUCUUUCUUUUUUCUUCUUUCUUUCCCCUGUUUCGUUUGCUUCUCUGUUUCUUUGUUCUUUCUAUUCUAUUUCUUUUCUUUUGCUUUGUUUUUAUUUCCUUUUUUGUUUAAUUAAUUAUUAUUUAUAAAAUAUCUAUUUUAAUAACAAAUAUAAUUAAUACAUUUGUACCAUAUCAUAACCUUACAAUUGUCACUACUUAAUUUGUUUAUCAAUAAAAAAAAUCUCAUUAAUUAUUUAGUUAAUUAAUAUCUUUUACUUAAAUUUUAAGUAAAUAAAUAAAUGUAAUACACUUAUAUUUUAUUUUUACCACACACUUGGCAAAAUCAUAAUUUAUUAUUACCAAAAAUCUUAUACUAAUUAUUUAAUUAUUAAAUAUCUUUUAAUUUAAUAAUAACUAAUAACUAAUAAUAAAUAAUAAAUAUCUUAUACUUAAUUAAUAAGCAAAUUAAAUCUACAAACUACAAAUAUAUACAUAUUUUAAUUACACAUGUAUUAUUUUAUCACCAUCCAUUUGUCUACUAUUUACUUUAUUUAAUAAAAAUAAUAUAAAACCAUAAUAAUGUUUAAUAAUUAUACUAAUUAUAUACAUAUAAUAUUUAUAUAUAACCUAAAUAAAUCUUGGAUUUUAAUGCAGAUAUGCCGCCUCAUUUCAUAUAAAUGGCUUAAUUGCCAUUUUAGCCCUUUUAUUUUCUUUUAAUCUAUAAUUAGACUUUCACUCUUUAUUCAAUUUGAUCCUUUUUCCUAAUUAUUCUUAAUUAGACUAAAUUCACCUAUCUAAAACUUAAUUAAACACACAACUAGUCUAGUAAAUAUUUCUAAUAAUUAUUUUCGAACUCAAUUUACUAAGACGGAGGCCCGAUAUUAUACUUUUCUGAUGCCCGUGAAUUUUGGGUUAUUACAUAAACUAUAAAUUAAUUCUUUAAUCAAUAUUCCUUACCUGUUGAAUGAACACAUUGAUGAAGUUUAUAUACUCAUAUGAGAAUAACUGCUCCUAACCAACUAAUUAACAUAUUUGAUAAUAGACUAACAAUCUUAACAAUCUUUAUACUAUUAUUUAACACUUAUUCAGCUUCUCAAUGGGUUAGACCUGAAGUAAACUUCGAAAUCGAACAAACAAAGAGACAGACAAUGGUUUAGUGAGAAUAUCAACAAAUUGAUCAUAGGCUGGCACUUCACCGAAAACAAUGGGCCCAUUAGCCACCUUUUCGUGGAAAAAAAGUCAAGUUCAACAUGUUUGAACUUGGAGUGUAAGACUGGAUUAGCUGUAACAGCUACCGCACUUUUAUCACACCAAACUGUAGGAGGAUCAGUAGAACUAAUUUGUAACUCUAUUAACAGAGACUCUAACCAUACAAUAUCACUAGAAGCUGCAGCUAGACUUCGAUAUUUAGCCUCUACCGUGGACUGAGACACAACUUGUUAUUUCUUAGAACACCAUGAAAUAGGUGUAUGACCGAAGUAGAAACAAAACCCCGUAGUAGACUGGAGUUCAUCAAAAUCAUAUCCUCAGCUGGCAUCAGCAUAUCUAACCAAAGAUAGUCUGUCGAAUCGUCGAAAAACCAGCCCAUGAGUGAUAGUACCAUGUAAAUAUCCCAGGAUACGUUUUAAGGCUAUCAAAUAAACCAUAGUAGGUGUAUGCAUGAAUUGACAAGCACGAUUUACAAUAUAGGUAAUAUCUGGUCGAGUUAGAACCACAUAUUGAAUAGCACUAGCUAGACUUUUGUAUUCAGUAGGAUCAGCAAGUCGAUCACCUUCAUCUUUAAACAAAGUCGAUGAAUUAACCAUUAGCGUAUGAACACUUUUUGCAUUAGCCAGAGAACUCCUGUCAAGAAGGUCUCGAAUGUAUUUGCGCUGGCAUAUGUGAAGACUACCAGUGGAGGACCUACUGACCUCAAUCCCUAAAAAAUAAUGAAACUCAUCCAUAUCCUUUAAAGAGAAUUUGUUAUGUAGUUGUUGAACAAAACAGUUUAUUUCAUCAGUCGAACUGCCAAUAAUAAUAAUAUCAUCUACAUAGACUAAGAUAUAAACAGUGGACGUGGUUGAAACUUUAACAAACAAGGAAGUAUCAGCUACAAAACCACUAGAGAUAAGAAAAUAUUUCAAAUUUUCAAACCAGACACGGGAAGCUUGCCAUAAUCAGUACGAAGCCUUCGUCAGACGGCACACCAAUGGCUCACCAUUUGGUCCAUAUUGAACAUAUCCUGGAGGCUACUACAUGAACACUUUAUCAGUCAAGCCUCUAUUUAAAAAAGCAUUGUUUACAUCGACUUGAUGAAGUUUCCAAUCAUUAGAUACAGUAACAGAUAAAAUGGUUCAGAUAGUAGCAGGUUUGAUCACUGGGCUAUCUGAUGGGGUUUCCACUGUAAAAAAUCUACCUUAUCUCCUUUUUAAACUGUUAGUUUCAGUUGAGGAGUCGUGCGAACAGUCGCAUGGGUUCUUACCUUGCACCAUUUUAUUGAUAAUCUCAUCAACAAAAAAAAGAAUCUACUAAAAAGAAGAAUAAGAAGAAGCAGUGGAGAGGAUAGGAGAAUUUUUUUUUUUAGAAACAAAAAAACCCCAACAAUAUUACUUUAAAAAUGACUCCCAAACAUUUCCUAUUCCUUUUUUUCUUCAUCUUUUGUUUCUCAUCGUUUCCAUCUCAUGCUCUCUUGAUCACCGCCCAUCUCAUCCAUCCCCAUCCACUGUAAAAAAAAUCCACCUUACCUCCUCCUUAAAUUACCGGUUUCGAUUGAGGAGUCGUGCGAACAGACGUAUGGGUUCUUACUCUGCAACAUUUAGUUAAUAAUCUCAUCAACAAGAAGAAUCUGCUAAAAAGAAGAAUAAGAAGAAAUAGAGGAGAGAAGAGAUGAGAUGAGUUUUUUAUUUUUAUUUUUUUGAGAGACACAAACCCUCAACAAUAUUCCCAUGGACUUGACUCCGAUGACAACGACAGCCGCUGUAUCUGGAGUUGUUAACGACAAAGAGUUAGUCGUCGAUCCUUUCUUGGUUAAGGCUUUUCAAAAUCCUCAUCAUCAUCUCACCAGUUAUAUAUUUUUUCCCCUUUUUGUGUUAAUUAUCCCAAUUUUGCAUCUUCAAUCGACAAAGACUUAUGACUCCUUUUUGAAUUAUAAGGGAAAGAGAGGAAAUUGAAUAAAUAUGCCCAUAAGCUUCAUGCUAGGGUUCCUUAGGAAUCAUAGCUAAGGUUUAGUCUUUGUUUUUUAUCCAAUGACUAGGCUGCACAAGUUUCACUUAUAUAUUAAUUAGUAUUAAAAUUAAUUGAAAGAGAUUAAAACGAAAGAGAUAGAAGUGAGGCAGAAGACGAUGGUGAAAAGAAAAUGAAAGGAAAAAAUAAUUAAAGAAGGUCUGGUUUGUAGUCAAAUAGGAUGACAUGUAGCGGCGUGUGGAUGGUCAGUGCUACCACGUCAGCAAAAAAAAAAAUAACGGCGUUAGGCUUGGGUACCAAUAUAAUGGACAGAAAAAAGUUCGGGUACCAAUCUAGGAAAAAAAUCAUAAGUAACAAUUUGGGAGAAGUGAAAAAAUUCAGGUACCAAUUUUAAUAUUUAACCCAAAUUGUAAUUUUCAUCAAACUUUACAUUUAUGAUAUAUAUGAAUAAAAUAUGAAAUAUGACAGUUAGAUUGUUAAAAUAUUAAUCACAAAUGAAAGGUUUAAAAUUAACUAGUGUAAAUAAAAACUUACCCAAAUUAAUUAAAAUAUAGAAAAAAUAAUAUCAAUUGUAAAAAUUAAUAUAUUUAUAUAUAUGAAACUUUUUUAAAUGAUUGCGAUUGUAAAAAAAUAUUGCAUGGACUUUUACUUCAAUUUGUUAUAAAAUAAAAAGACAGAGAGUAAAGAACAAAGAGAGUGCAUAUUUUAUUGAUCAAUCGGAAUAUUUACAAAGCUUUUCCAAAGUCUCUAUUUAUAGGCAUAAGAAGUAUAAAUGAAGGAGAGACCUACUUCUAAUUACUAUUAGAAUUUAAAGUACAUCAAAACUUAUCUUGAUCAUGAUGGACAUCUACUUAAUAAGAUAUUCAUAACAGUCCCCCUUAGAUGUCCAUUUGUAGAUAAUGUGACUCGUUAAAACCUUUAUUAGGAAAAACUCUGUGGGAUAAAAACCUAAUGAAUGAAAAAGAAUAUACAAUCUUCUAUUACAAGCUGCCUCGUUAAAAACUUUUACCAGGAAAACCCAAUGGCACAAAACCUUGGUUAAGGAAAAAAGAGUACAGCACGUAUUUACUUCCCAUCAUGAAAACAUCACAUAAUAUCUCAUAUUCUACGUAUUCAAUCUUGAAUAUUAACUUUUCAAAUGAUCAUUUAUAUCAUCAUUCUUUUCAAAGUCAUGAGUGAGGGAAAAUGUUGGGGAAUAUAUUUUGAUCUCUUCAGGAGUUUCAACAAUAAUCAUAGCAAACUUUAAUCAUAAUUCUUAUAUAAAAAUAUAAAUAUGUAUUUUGGAUCAUUUCAUAAUCCUCCUUCAACUACUAUUCACUCAGUCAAAUUUACCACAUAUAUUCAAAUUAUUUUAAUUCAUAUAAAUGAACAAUUUUCUGAGAAAUUCAAUAUGAUUUUAGUAUAAACUUUACCAUAUAGUGAUUCAUAAAAGGUUAUAACAACAACCAUUAGACGCAAGUUAGAUCUUUUAUGAACUGUCAAAAUAAUAUAUCUAAAAGUUAUUUCAUCCAUCACAAAAGAAUAUUAUAUCUUUUCAUAAUCAAUGCUAGGACUUAGCGAAAAACUUCAUAUUUUUAUUCUGUUUUUGCAAAACUACUUCAUUUGUACUCUCACUGGCUUUAUACCUUUAGAUAUUUGGACUACUUGUCCAAAAACUCCACAGAUUUAAUUUUACUUGAGUUGCGUCUUUCUAUUUUGACCAAUUUAUUCCAUAUCUAUAUUUCUCAAUAGAUUUAUUCAACAUCCUCCUUUUAUUUCAUUGUUUCAACAAUAAUAUUGAAUGUAAAACCAUUGCCAACCAGUUUUAUUAUCGGUUCUACAUUUUUUUGAAUUGUAACAUAUCGAGAUUUCUUUAUUUUCACUAUUUUAAUCUUCAAAUUUAGGUACCUGAAUCUCUUCUACAGUUUUACUUAUUAGCUAUGUCUUGGGUCUCUUCUGGAGCACCCGCCUUCACUAUAUGACCGUCUAGAUUUAUUAUUUUCUUUUAUGAUAAUUUUUCAUAUUUAGAACUUGUCAUGAGUUAUUAUUGUUGAAGUUCUGGUUCAAAUUACUCUCCCCUUAACAUAUUACAAGUUAUUAUUUCUCUCCCCCUAAUGUCGGGAAAACUAUCGAAUCAAAAUAGUAAUCACAAAUCAUGUCAUAGUUGAAUCUCCAAUACUUUCAAAACAUCUAAUAAUACGAGGAGACUUAUAAUUAAUAUAUAUUCCCAACAUUCUUUGAGGAUUCACUCAUCUUUGUGCGUAGUAGUGGAGCAAUUGGAACAUAUAUGCACAUACAAAAAUUCAAAGAUGAGAAAUAUUUAGCUCUUAACUAAAAAUCAAUUGUAAUGGGGAGUAUUAUAACUUAUUGGCUUGAUGCGUACAACAUGUAAAUCAACAUAAUCUCAUGUUGAAAUAAGAAGUUUAGUUCUUAUAAGAAAUUAUUUAGAUAUUAAUCAGAGACGUUCAACCAAUAAUUUCUCUAAACCAUUAUGUGCAUAAAAAACAAACUUUUACAAAAAAAAUUCAAACUCAAUCAAUAAAAUACUAAGAUAUAAACUCAUUAUUAUUAGCAAGAUGAAUUGUCUUAAUUGCAUAAUCUGAAAUUAAUUAUUUAAACAAGUAAUCUUGCAAACGAUAGGUUGCAAGUUGAUAACACAUUUGUGAUUAUUUUGUAGAUGCAUCUACCAAAAUCAUAUAAUAUCAAAAUCAUCCACAUAGUGGUUGAAUGAUCCCACAUUAAUUUUAGAAAUGUAAGACAUUAAAUCUCAACAUUAGCUAGUAAGUUUUUACAAAGCAAUUUUCAUUGAGAACAAGCAACAAAUGAGAAUUCUUUAAAUUAAAGAAUCUUUUGGUUCUAUAAUGAAUGUCCAUAUGAAUUCUCAAUUAAUUUUUGCAUCAUAUAUGAUCCAGAAUGGUCUAACUGGCCAUGCCAAGUAGUAAAUGCAUUUGUAUCAGUAAAUUUUUUGUAUACUUUAACAUGCAUUUCAAUUGUUCUAAUAAUGUCAAUAUAAAUUGUGACAAAUUGAGAAUUUUACCAUCAUUCCUUUUACUUUGUAUCCAUAUAUAAGUACUAUUGUAACAUUUACGACUUGAAAUGUCUAAAUCAAUGUGAAGUCUAAAUCACUAAUUUCCAGGUGUAUAAUGGGUACAUAACCAAUGACUUUUCAUACAUAAGUUUUCUCUCUUACAAGUUCUCAUUAGUAAUAUUUUUCCACGUAAUUUUAAUUGAGAACUUAUUCUGAAUUCUGUAGAGUUAUACUCACAAUUUUUAAAAAUAAAUUUGCAACUUCAGGUGCAUCCAACCAUAAUGAGCUUUAGAUAGAAUUAUCGUAUUCUGUUGCUCAUAAGUAGAUUUUUCGCAAUCAAAUAUUUUGCUUUCAAUCCCUUAAUUGGGAUGAUGACAAAAGAAAAUCACAAAGAUAGUCAAAGUCAAUUCAAUUUAAUAACAAGAGUAAUCAAUAACUCAAUCCUCCCUUUUUUUCUUCAUCCUUUCAAAUUAGAUAUUUAUAGCAAUAACGAUUUAUAUGCAAUAUAAUCUUUUCUUCAUUCACAAUCUCAAUAUAAGAUCCAUUAUAAAUAUCUUUUAAAGCCAAUGGAUUAAUCAUCACAAGAUAUUAAUAUAUUAGCUCUUUUGGAGCUUUUGACUAAUUUUGUACUACCACAUAUUUGAAUAAUACCGGUUUUUAUUUUCUUUUACACUUGCGUUCACUUCCGGGAAUGCAAUAGAUUUAUUAGGACGAACUUAUAAAUGUCCUAAUAGAUUCUUUAUUUCAUAAUCACCAUCGUAAACAUACGUGGAUUUAAAAUAAAAAUCUAUUUAUUCAUGUUCUCAUGAUUAGUCUCCAAUUAUAAUAAACUUGAUAUAAUAAAUCAUAAUAAAAUACAUCUGAAGAUCUUUAACAUCAUCUUCAUCACCCACGUAAGGAUUAUAUAAAUUUCUUUGGAUAAUGAUUACUCAUAGUGCGCAGGCCCCAAUCAAAGACUGAAAUUACAAUAGCUCUAAAAGGCAAUCGACAACCACUUGAGCAACAUAUUUGGAGUGACCGUAUUAUAAAAUAAAAGAGAAUCGUGUUGAUAACGUGUUAUAAAAUAAAAAAACAAAUAGUAAAGAACAAAGAGAAUGAGAUAGCAAAGAGAUAACGUAUUUUAUUGAUCAAUCGGAAUAUUUACAAAGCUUCUCCAAAAUCUUUAUUUAUAAGUAUAAUAAGUAUAAAUGAAGUGAAGAUCUACUUCUAAUGACUAUUAGAACUUAAAGUACAUCAAAACUUAUCUUGAUCUUGAUGGACAUCUACUUAAUAAGAUAUUCAUAACACAAUUAUAAUUAUUUUAACUAAAAUUUUUAAGUAAUAAAUGUAAAUUAUAAUUAUAAUUAUUUUUAAAUAUAUAAUUAUCACAACUUCUAUUCACUACACCAAAAUAUGUUUUUAGCGCCGCGCAUUAGCGGCAUUAACCAAAAACGCCGCAAUAAAUGAUAAUUAGCGGCGCUUUAAAAAAAACGUCGUAAUAGUUAGAGAAUUAGCGGUGUUCCCUGAAAAACACCACCAAAUAUAGAGCAAAACGACUUCGAGGUUUAUUGGCUUUAGUGGCACUUUGUAGAAAACGCCGCAAUAUAUCGAGCAUUAGUGGCGCUAAUUUAGAAACGCCGCAACAGAUAAAGCUCUAGCGGUGAAGUCUGAAAAAUGCCGCUAUAGAUCAAGAAAUAGCGGCAUUUUUUGUAAAACGCUGCAAAAAGUUUGAGCAAAACGGCUUCGUUUUUUUUAGCUUUCAUUGGCUUCAGUGGCGCUUCUUUAAAAAACUCCGCAAUAGAUCGAGCUUUAGCGGCGCUUUAUUAGAAAAGCCACUAUAGAUCAGGAAUUAGCGGCGCUUAUUGUAAAACGCCGCAAAAAGUUGUGCAAUACAACUUUGAAUUUUGUUGACCUUUAGUGGAAAUAGAGACGCUUUUCUAGAAACGCCGCAAAAAGUUUGAUAAAACGACGUCGUUUUUUCAUGAGCUUUAACAAAAAAUAAAUUUAUUUUAUUGUUUAGGGAUUAGCAUUUAAGGUUUAUUGUAUAUGGUUUAGGGUUUUAGGGUUCAUGAUAUAAUGUUUAUUAUUUUUGGAUUAGAGUUUUGAGUUUAGGGUUUAGGGUGUAGGCUUAGGGUUUGGGGUUUAGGGGUCAUGAUUUAGUGUUAAGAGGUUAGUGUUACGGCUUAUAAGAUAUAGAAGUUUAGGGUUUAGGGUUUGAUGUUUAUGGUUUAGUGUUUAGUGUUUAUGAUUUAAGGUUUACAAUGUAUGGUUUAGGGUUUAUGAUUUACGAGUUUAGGGUUAAUGAUUUAGGAUUUUAAGGUUUUAGGGUUUAAUUACUUUUGUGAUACCAAAUUCAAAAAAAUUACAAAUACUUUUUGUCUUUUACUUCUUAUUAUGUUAUUAGGGUUCUAAGUGACAUGAAUGCUUAGUGUAUUGACUCGUGGCAUAUAUGUUAUGAUGACAUUUGAUAAUUGUGUUAUUUACAUUCGUUUAUUCACUUAAAAAUAAAGUAUAAUUUUAAAAUUAUAAUACAUUAUUUGAAUAAUAUAAAUAAUUUAUAAAUUUGAAUAUUUAUAAUAUUUAAAUUAUACACUCUCUAAGAUUUAUAAAAUUUAUAAAAUUUUAACAAUUAAAAAUAAUAUCAUAUUAAUGUAUCAAAUUUUUAAAUAAUAUUAUUUAAAUAAUAUUAAUAAUGUCAUAUUAAUGUAUCAAUUAAAAAUAAUAUCAUAUUAAUGUAUCAAAUUUAUAAAUCUAUUAAAAAUUUGAAAAUUUAUAAAUAAUAUUAUUUCAGACACGUACAUAUUUAAAAAGUGAAACAUUAGCGGCGUUUGGUCUAAAAACGCCCGCAAAAAUGUAUUAAAAAUUGAACAAAACAGCGUCGUUUCGAUUCAGGAAUUUAAUUGGCAGUGGCAUUUUUGUUGAAAAUGCUGCAAAAGUUGUAAAAUUAGUGGCGUUUUUUGUAAGCGCCGCAAAUGUUGCAAUACUAAACGGUGUCAUUUUCUUCCACAAGUUAGGUUUCUAUUACAUCCCCGCUCCCAGCCCCAAAUUCCCCAUCCAAAUCCCUAAUCAGUCACAGAGACUUGUUUCGGUUCUUUGAUUUUUGUUUCAACUUUCUUCAAUUGGUUUUUUUACUUAAAAAGAAAAGAUUUGUUUCGAUUUCUUGUAAACUUUCAUACGAAGACAGAGAAGACGAAGAAGGUGGCCGAACAUUCAAUUUUAAGUCAUAAAACAUUUUGAAAACAACAAAGUACAAAAAAUCAUUUGAACACAAAAUUAAGGUAAGGUAGUAAUACCUAAUUCUCUCCUAAGUGUCUCAAAUCUUUCUUUAUCUAAUGGCUUAGUAAAAAUGUCAGCUAAUUGGUGCAAAGUGUCAACAAAUUCUAGAACUACAUCUCCUCUUUAGACAUGGUCUCUAAUGAAAUGAUGUUUAACUUUAAUGAGCUUAGUUCUAAAGUUUUGGAUGAGAUUUUUAGUGAGACAAAUAGCACUAGUAUUUGUCACACUUUAUAGGAAUGGUAUCUACAUCAAUUCCAUGGUCCAUAAGUUGUUGUUUCAUCCAUAAAACUUGAGCACAAUAACUACCAGUAGAAAUGUAUUUUACUUCGGUGGUGGACAAUGCAACACUAUUUUGUUUCUUUAAAAACCAUAAUACAAGCGUGUUGCCAAGGAAUUGACAAGUACCGGAGGUGUUUCUACUAUCUAGUUUGUAACCUCCAAAAUCCGCAUCCGAGAAAGCAUGCAAGCUAAAAGAUGAGUCUCUAGGAUACCAAAGACCUAAGUUAGGAGUAUCUUUAAGGAAUUUAAAGAUUUUCUUAAGGGUUUGUAAAUGUGUUUCCUUAAGACAUGAUUGAUAUCUAGAACACAACCAAACACUAAACAAAAUAUCAAGUCUACUUGCUGUAAGAUAAAGCAAAGAGCCAAUCAUAGACCUAUAUAACUUUAAAUCUACACAUUUAACUUCAUCAUCUUUGUCAAGCCCUGUAGAAGGGUUCAUGGGUGUAGCUUGUGGUUUGAGAGUGUCCAUCCCAAGUUUAUUGAGCAUUUCCUUUGUAUACUUAGCUUGAUUGAUGAAGAUUUCAUCCUUCCUUUACUUCAUUUGGAGUCCCAAAAAGAAAUUUAGUUCUCCCAUUAUGCUCAUCUCAAAUUCACCUUACAUUAUCUUGGAAAGUUCUUGACAAUUAAGAUUAUUAGUAGCUCUAAAAAUAAUAUCAUCAACAUAUAUUUGAAAUACUAACAAAUCCUUGUCCUUUCUUUUGAAAAAAAGUGUUGGGUCAACCUUGUCUUCAAAAAACCUUUUUCAAUAAGAAAAUUUGAUAAUCUUUCAUACCAAGCUCUAAGAGCUUGUUUUAAACUAUAUAAAGUUUUUAAAAGCUUGAAAACAUAAUUUAGAAAUUUUGAAUCUUCAAAACCGGGUGGUUGUUUAACAUACACUUAUUCAUUUACAAAAUCAUUUAGAAAAUCACUUUUAUCAUCCAUUUGAUGCAAUUUAAAAUCAUUAAAGCAUGCAAAAGCUAAAAACAUCCUAAAGGCUUCCAUCCUAGCUAUAGGAGCAUAAGUUUCAUCAUAAUCUAUUCAUUCCUCUUGAGUGUAACCUUUAGCAACGAGUCUAACCUUGGCCCUCACUGUGUUACCACUCUCAUCUAGUUUGUUUUUAAAUGUAACAUCCCAAACCUGACCUAGACGUUAUGGACAAAUCUGGAGAUAUUACGUAAAACGGUCGAAAAUCCAAUUUUUGUAAAUUUCAAAAAGAGUCGUAAAGUUUUAUUACUUAAAAAUCCUGAUUUAAUAUAAAACAUAUCUAACUUUACUUUUUAGUUGAAAACAAUGUUUGCUUACAUUUUCUAAAACGAAUACUUUGCAGUGGAAAUUCUUAGAUUGUCAUAUUUAGGAAAAACUGAGUUUCUUUUCUAGAAAUCAAUUGUUUUGCAAGAAACAGACAUUUUUGAUAAAACAUUUUCAAUAGUAUCAUGCAAAAAUUGAAAAUAAAAUUCCAAAAACCAAAAUAGUCCAAAUAUUACAAAACACUUAAAUCCCAAAAUUUAAAUAAAUUCAAAUAAAGCAAAUUUAUUGUAACCAAGCUUUCGUGGCACCGACUCGUCGAAGUCUAAGGAUUACCUGAAAAUAUCAGUCAAUAGAAUACGAGUUUUCAAAACUCAAUGUGUAACAAAUAACUUAAAUAACUAAUUUACAUCAGAUAGGUUUAGCAGAAACAGAAUCAUAUCAGAGCAGUAUAGUUAUAGACAUAUAAUCCUACCCCCAUCCGCUACACACCAAUUUCGACCAUCCCAACACAUCAUAUGGGGUAUGAAACACCCAUCCAACCCUACCCACCACUUAGUGUCGGUAUGACCCUUUACAGAAUAUUUGUAGUUAAGCUGCCGGAUAAAUAGGCAAAUUAUCGCCUUUUACAGAAACACUUUCUCCACAUAGCAAAACCUACCCCAAAUUUAAAUACAGAACGUAACAGAAAUCAGACAUAUUUACAGUAUAUACGUAUAACAUAACAAAUACAACAUUUUUUGGUUUACUGAUAACCUAUUAUGCAUUUUAUAUGACAUUUCAUAUAUAUCUGAAUGACGUGUAUGACCCUGGGGAAAAAUUCAGAAUUUUGGGCCCACACGGCCUCACACAAGCCUAUGUGGCCUACAUGGGCCAAAUAGCCCAGAUCGUGUGUCACACAAAGUCUAGCACACGACUGUUGUCACAGACCCCUUACCACGCAGCCUGGCACACAGUCGUGUGGCAUCGACAGUUCAAUUUUUUUUGAUUUUUUUCGUUCACUAUUUUUUGGGUUUCUCGUUACACAUUUGGAUAAUUUUUGAAAAGAAAUUGACCAGGAGACUCAAGAACCUAAAUUUAGUAAUUAAACAAUUAAAUAAUUCUUAAUAUCGAUACACCAAUUUCCAAAAAAAAAACUCACUCAAUCCAAUAGGAAACACUAAAUUUAUCAAGCCUAAAUUAAGUUUCCUAACGUUCAAAAACUUACCCAAACAAAUACCAUAGAUUCCCCGAACUUUUAAAUCAUCGAGGGGAAAUCAUGCGCUUCACCACUUUCGCCUAAAUCAAUAAUUUUAGACUGGUCAGAAUUUCAUCGCAAAAAGAAAAUAACAAAAUAACCACACUAUGACUACCCAAAGGAAAUAAUUCAUGAAUCUUACCCCCACUACCCAAUUCGAUCAAAAACAGAGAUAUCACUAACCUUCAUCCAUAGAAACCGAAGUUUUGAUUAUGCACAAUGGAACACAGUUACUAUCAGUAAAAAGUGUUGAAGUCAAAAUUGCAAAAUAAAGAUUUCAAGAAAAGAAUUCUGGAAGACAAAUUGACUGACGGUAGUGGAAUUGGAAAAGAGAGAGAAAAGGAAGAACAAACGUGAUAAACAAUAGGAGGAAAAAUAGCAGAACGUGCACAACCAAUUCUUGAAAAGAAAGAAAAACCCCCCAAAAAGAAAAAUAAUAAAAUAUAGAUAAUACUAAUAAAAUAAAUUAAAAGAAUUUGAUAGACAUCAUGACACAAAAAUAUCAACUAGCCACAUGAUUUCCUAGUAACCACCACUAUCUAGAGUUUGAAAUUAAGCCAAACACCAGUUUAUGGACGGAACACCAAGAAAUUGCAAAAAUUAAUACCAUUCCACUCUCGCAGGGGUUCAAACACACGACUAAAGAGCAAACAAAUGCUUAACCACUAAACCAGAAAGCUUAUUAUGCCAUAAAUUUACCAAAAAUAAUACUUAAGUCAAAUAAAUAGAAUUAGGCUUAAGAACAAAAAUAACAGAAUUUUCCAUAAAGCAAGAUUCGAACCCAAGUCCCCUAAUACAUAAUCAAGGCACUUAACCACUAAAGCAGAUAUUGAUUAUGACCAAAUUAACAAAACAUGAAUUUUAAGAUUUUUGGGACAUUACACUAAAACUCAUUUAGUACCUAUGGUAGAUUUAUCACAAGGUCUUUCAACUAGGGUCCAUACUUCUUUUAAAUUGAUUUAACUCUUCUUGCAUUGCUAAUAUCCAAUAUUCCUCAUUUAAUUUUUUUUGAUAUUUUUAGGCACAAUGCAUGAGAUAAAUGCAACAUAAUUCCAAGUAUUGCUAAGGUAAGAUCUAAUAGUUACCCUUUUUGAUGGAUCUCCCAAAAUCUUACCAUCCUUCACAUAAUUGUACUCUCUUGGAUGAUGAACUUCCCUUUCCUCUAGGUUGAGCUCCUUUAGAGCAUAUUGUGUUUGUUCUUGGAUUCUUUCAUUUGAUAAUUGAUCAAUUUUUCAUCAUUGUUUCAUAUUCCUACACGAUUAUCAUCAUCAUCAACAUCAUCACAAGAAUCCUUUCUAGGAAGGAAGUUAGAAUCAUCGAAAACAACAUGUAUGGACUCUUCUACUACAAAAGUUCUUUUAUUAAAAACUCGAUAAGCUUUAGAAUUUAAGGAAUAACCAAGAAAAAUUCUUUCAUCACUUUUUGCAUCAAUUUUUCCAAGAUUGUCUUUUCCAUUAUUUAAAACAAAACACUUGCAUCCAAAAGGAUGAAAAUAACUAAUGUUAGGGUUUUUUUAUUUUUGAAAAGUCCAUAUGGAGUUUUCUUCAAAAUAGGUCUAAUCAUUAUUCGAUUAAUAACAUAACAAGCAGUGUUUGUGGCUUCUACCCAAAAAUAUUUUGCCAAAUUAUUUUCACAAAGCAUAGUUCUAGUCAUUUAUUCUAAAGUUCUAUUUUUCCUUUCAACAAUUCUAUUUUGUUAAGGGAUUCUAGGUGCAGAAAAAUUAUGACUAAUACCAUUUGAGUUGCAAAAAUUAUCAAAACCAAGAUUUUUAAAUUCGGUUCCAUGGUCACUUCUAACAAUAUCGAUAGAGUUACCUUUUUCAUUUUGUUAGUUUUUGAAAUAUGAUGAAUUUUUCUAAAAAACCCAAGUAAAUCUAGAAUAGUCAUCAACAAGUACAAAAGCAUAUUGUUUUCCACCCAAGCUAGUAGUCCUAAUUGGUCAAAAAAGAUUAAUGUGAAUUAAUUGAAGAACUCCACUAGAAGAUACAUCAUUUAUAGGUUUAAAAGAAACUCUCUUAUGUUUGCCUUUAGUACAUGCAUCACAAACUUUAUAUAAGUUAAAAUCAUGUCUAAAUUUCCUAUGCCACAACAAAGAAGUAUUUUCAUUUUUAAUCAUGAGGCAAAGGUUUAAAUCAUGAAAGUUGUCUAAAUGUACCAUACAAGUAUUUCCUAUUCUCAAUGACCAACAAGAAUAAUCUUAUUAGACACAAUGUCAAUGCCUUUACAUCCAUUAGACUCAAAUAUGACAUUGAGACCUUUAUCACAUAAUUGUUUAACACUUAAAAGAUUAUACUUAAGACAUUGACAUAUAAAACAUUUUCAACAAAAAUUAAAGAGUUUUUACCAAUAGAGCCAAUUCCUUUAAUGAGUCAUUUGGAGUUGCCACCAGAUGUAACUUAUCCUCUACUUUUGGGCUUUAGAUUGAUAAAAUGGCCCUUGUCAUCGGUCUUGUGUCUUGAGCAUCCACUAUCAAGGUACCAUGAGUUUUUGCUUGAGUUGUUCACCUUGAAGCAAUGCUCUUUUUCCUACAAACAUAGAAUUUUUUUUUUUGGUACCCAAAUUCUUUUGGGUCCAUAAGCAUUAGUUUCCAAAAGUUUAGUCCCUUUAGGAUCCAUUUAGAAAGGAUAUCCUUAUCUUAAGUAGUUAUGAAUCCUUUAAGGACUCAUACACUUCUAACUAAUUUUCCUUUAUAAGUUUUAAAAGGAAAUCUAUGUUUAUAGUACUUAAAACUAUUUUUAACAAAGUUUUGUUUUAAAUUUUCUCCUCUUUCAAAAACUUUUUCAAAAUUUUGUUAGAGUGAGCUUUUUCAUUCUUAAGCAAUUUAAGUUGCUUUUCAUGGUCAUCGUGAACUUCAGAAAGUAAAUUGUGCAAGUCACAAUUCUUUUUCUCAAUCAUUUAUAAUAGCUUGCAUAUAAUUUAUUUCACUCCCAAGUUCAUGCUUGACUUUAGAGAGUGAAUUAUUUUCAUCUUUUAGUUUUGAAAUAGUUUUUCUAUAUUUUAAAACCAUUAAUUCAAACUCCAAGCCUAUUUCAUCAUAAGCAUCUUGCAACUCAUCAAAAGAAUAAGAAGUUGAAAUAGAUGAGUUAGAAGUACCUUAGACUCUUCAUGGUCAUAAGACAAAAGUAGGCUUCUUCUUACUUAUCAUGAGUGACCUUAAGCUUGUCCCAUAUCUUCUUGGCAUUAGAAUAAGAUGGCACCCUGUUGAACUCAUCCGGACCAAGUGUACAAAAUAGAAUGUGCAUGGCUUUAGCAUUAAGCUGUACAUUCCUUUUAUCUUCUUCAUUCCAUUUUCUCUUACUCUUUGACACUAACUGCUCUCCUCAUUUUUUAGAAAUGGAGGGACCAUCCGUGAUGAUAUCCCAAACCGCAAGAGCAUUUGCUUGAAUGAAGAGCAUCAUUCUUGUCUUCCAAUAAGAGUAAUUUACUCUAUUGAAGUAUGUAGGCUUUGAGAUGGACUAAGAUUCUUCAUAGAAAUUUGACCCGAAAAUAGACGUCAUUUUUGUAGAAUGUGUUGAUGAUCAUUUGAGUUUUUUUGAGAAUCUUUUAUUGCAUGUUAAAUUUUCUUUAAAGCCUAGCUCUAACACCAAUUGUUAGCUCGAUUGAUCACCAAAAAUAGCCAAGAGGUGGGUGAAUUGACCUUUUAAAAAUUUGUGGAAGCAAAGAGAAUAAAUAGAGACAAUAAACACGGCGAUAUAUAGUGGUUUGACCUCAAUUGCCUACUCCACUACCUUAGUUUUCCACAACUAAGGAUUUUUCGAAAUUCACUAAUUUGACAACCUUUAAGGAUAAGGUUUAAUCUUAAAACUUCCUUAAGUGUUUUAUCCAAAUCUUAAGAUUGCAACUCUCUUAAGGUUUCUACCCAAACCUUAAGACUCAACCCUCUUAAAAAGAAUAACAAAUAAGCAAACUAAGAAAUAAUCCUCACAUGAUUAGGAUGUUUGUCAAUUAAGCACAAAUACAAAAGAAAUAAUCCUCACAUGAUUAGGAUGUUUGUCAAUUAAGCACAAAUACAAAGAAUAACACUUGAGUUGAAUGAAUACAAUGAAAGCUCACAAGUGUUUAUAAGAAGAAGAUAAAGAAUCGAAGCAAAAGGCGAUUGGUAGUGGAUUUUUUAUGUAUCUUGAAACACUUGAUCUAUUGUAAUCUCACUUGUUGUUGUAGGACCUUUGGAAGUUGGUAUUUAUACCCUCAAAUUGAUUUCCAACCAUUGUGGUUGUUGAGGAAUUGAAUAAAGUUAUUAGGUAUGAAAAUAUCAGUUCAUUUAAUUCACUUGCAACCACGAGUAUCGAUACUUGCUAACCAAGUAUCGAUAUCUUUAGCAUUUAAUGCAAAAUUCAACGACCAUUGGAGCUAGAAAUAUUGAUACCAGUAAAAUUUUAUUGAUACCACAUGAAAAGUAUCGAUAUUAGAUCUAUACUUGGCUAAAAUGUUUAAGAAUCAGAAUGUCAAUUUGGUAUCGAUUUUUGGAGAGGUAUCGAUAUUUAGAUACUUUUUUGCCUAGAGCAAUAUUGACUUGUCUUAUAACAGUUUUAACUUUGAUUGAAAAUGUUUAACUUGAUUAAAAGUUUAUUCAAAAAGUUUUCUAAGAUUUCAAAAUAGUAGGUCCAAAAUUAUUUCUCUUAGACUUCAUUUAAAAUCUAAUUUUCUCAAUUUUGUUCAACUUUAACUUUUAUUCAAAAACAUUUUAAUUUGUUAUAUCAAAAUAAAUUUCCAAAUAAAUCUUGGUUUAACAAAGAGCGACUAGAAAUAUUAUCAUCAAACAAUCAUAUGUGAAGCUAAAAUUUCUUCGAUAUAAAAUCCUCAAAAUCUUAAUAAAAAUAUCAUUUUCUUUGAAACACUUAUAGCAAACUCUUUUAAACCCAAAAUCAAUAGAUCAUAACAUGAAUUAACUAAAUGAAAAAGUAACAUCAUUUUAUAUACAUAACUUUCAAUUAUGUUGGAAGUGGAUUAUUAUUUUAAAUUUGUGUUAGAUUUAACUAAAAAAUUUCAUAUUUUAUUAAGUAAGAAAAGUUUGAACAUGUAUUACAGUUAGUAGUGUUAAUUGAAAGUAGAAUAUUUUUUAAAGAUAAUAUCAUUAAUUGUAAUAUCAUUACAAAGAAAGGGAUAUCCCAGACAUAUUGGAAACUUGAAUAUUACAACCAAAGACACAAUAUGCACACUUGACAUAAAGUCAAGCCAUACCAGAUAAAGUAAAGUACACUUGUAAUAGGCCUCCAUCACCUGAGGGAGAGCAAAGCAAGACUCAAACCAGUCCUCAGACGAAUCUAAUACGUCAGAACAAAGGCUGCCAACAAACAAAGUGAACACAUCACUUUGAAUUGUUAAACCCUUUUCCAGAUCCUUAUUCCGGUGGCGAUAGGCACAACAUAACGAACCUGAAAAUAACAUAUAUAUUGAAAAAUCCUCAACAAAAAAUUAAAGGUAAAACAAAAACUAAACUGAUGAAAAUAGAAAUCUUGAUUCAUUUCUUUACUGUGUAAAACUACAAAUAUUUAUAAGUGUUGUAUGAGUUAACUGCAGCUAACAACCUCACUAACUAUGUAACAUACUAACAACCAAGCUACAGCCUUCCUUAUACUCCUAACAUUCUUCCAACUUCUCCAUAAGUAAAACUUGAAGAAAAUUGCGAAAACGUGCAAAGGAUGAAGCAGAUAGAGGUUUGGUGAGAAUGUCAGCCACCUAAUCACAAGCCGGAACUUCACCAACAGCAAGCGACCCAUUCGCAACUUUCUCACGAACAAAAAAUAAAUCGAGCUCUACAUGUUUGAACUUAGAGUGAAGAACAGGAUUGACUGCAAUAGCAACUGCACUUGAAUUGUCACAUCAAAUAACAGGUAGAUCAGCAGAACUCAAUUGUAGUUCUUGUAAUAACGAGACUAACCAAGUAACAUCACUGAUAGCUGCAGCCAAGCUUCGAUAUUCAGCCUCAGCUAUGGAUCGAGAUACUACUUGUUGCUUCCUUGAUGACCAUGAGACUGAUGUAUGCCCAAAAUACACACAAUAGCCUGUUGUUGACUGACGAUCGUCAAAAUCUAACCCCUAAUUGGCAUCGACAUACCCUACUAAGGACAACCUUUCAGAAAGACGAAAAAUUAUCCCAAAAUUAAUAGUGCCAUGUAAAUAACGUAAAAUUCAUUUUAACGCAACCAUAUGCACGGUAGUCGACGCAUGCAUGAAUUGACAAACUCGAUUCACGGUAUAGGCAAUAUCAGGUCGAGUUAAAACUAUGUAUUGUAAAGCACCAGCAGGACUUCUAUAUUCACUGGGAUCAUUUAGACGAUCUUCUUCUUCCUUUGACAAAACUGAAGAACUGGCCAUAGGUGUGGGAGCACUUUUUGCAUUAACUAAGCCACUUUUGUCAAGAAUAUCUUGAAUGUACUUGCGCUGACAUAAAUGAAGACAUCCAGUGGAAGACUAAACAGCUUCAAUGCCGAGAAAAUAAUGGAGAUCCCUCAUGUCUUUGAGUGAAAACUCACCAUGUAAUUGUUGAAUAAAGCCAUCAAUAUUAUCUGACAGACUUCUAGUAAUAAUAAUAUCAUCCACAUAAACCAAGACAUAUAAGGUAGAAGUGGAUGUAACACGAACAAAUAAAGAAGCAUCGGAUUUAGAUAAGACAAAACCAACGGAAAGGAGAAAACAUUUCAAUUUAUCGAACAAGGCACGAAGAGCUUGACGAAAACCAUAUAAAGCUUUAGUUAAACGACACACCAAGUGCUCACCAUUAGGACCAUAUUGAACAUAUCCAGGAGGCUAUUACAUAAACACCUCAUCAGUGAGAUCUCCAUUUAAAAAAGCAUUAUUAACAUCAACUUAACGAAGUACCAGCCUUUAGACACAGCAACAGCUAAUAUAGUUCGAAUAUUAGCAGGUUUGACCACAAGACUAAAAGCCUCCUUAAAAUCAUAGCCAGGAACCUGAGAGCAGCCUUUUGCUACCAAUCAAGCCUUUCGACGAGUAACAAUCCUGUCAAGAUUUUUCUUAACCUUAAAUAUCCACUUACAACCAAUAACCUUCCUACCAUGUGGCAACGAAAUGAGCUCCCAAGUAGAAUUUUGAAUAAGAGCAUCAUAUUCAGCUUGAGCAGCCUGAUGCCAUUCCAUACUAGCAAAAGCCUCAUCAAUGGUAUGAGGUUCAGAAGUAGAAGCUUCAACAGAGAACGCUUUAGGUUUGAAAAUCCUAGCUUUCGAAUGAGUAACCAUAGAAUGUGUGUUGCUCAAAUGUGGAGGAGCAGACGGAGAGGUAGAGGAGACAUUGAAUGGCUAAAGAGUGGUGCUCGGAGGUAAGGACCCUGAAUUAUCUGAAGAAUGAGCGAUGCUCAGAGGUAAGGACCCUGAAUUAUCUAAAGAAUUAACUAAAACAAACGGAGUUGUAGAUGUAGCCAAAACAGGUGACAAGCUUGACUCUUGUUGUAAAGAACCAGUAAAUCGAUUGUUAACAAUAGGCACAUAAGUAGAGAUACGUGAACUUGACAAGGAGACAUCAGCAACAUUCUUAGAAAACAGGAAACGACUUUCAUCAAACACAACAUGGCGAGAUAAAAUAACUUUCCUAUCGGAAGUGAGACAUUGAUAUCCCUUAUGUUGAGAGUUGUACCCCAAAAAAGUGCAGGGAUGAGAUCUAAAAUCCAAUUUAUGAGACUAAAACGGCCGCAGAUACGGAAAAUAAUUGCAUCCAAAUACUCGUAAAUGAUCAUACGUGGGAUAUUUGCCAUGAAGAAUAAAAAAAAAGAGACUGCAACUUUAGAACAGAGGUGGGAAGAAGAUUAAUAAGAUGAACUGCACAACAAAAUGCAUAACCUCACAAACUCUUAGAAAGAUUCGAUUGAGCCAACAACGUAAGCCCCAUAUCAAUAAUGUGUCGAUGUUUGCGUUCUGCCACACCAUUCUGUUCGGACGUAUACAAACAAGAAAGCCGAUGAAUGAUGCCAUGUUCUGUCAGACCAGAUUUGAAAGCACGAUACUCUCCACCCCAAUCACUCUGGAAUUGUUUAAUAUCUCACCCAAACUGAUUUUUCACUAAUCGCUGAAACUGAACAAAGCAAUCCACAGCUUAAGACUUACGCCGAAUAAGAUAGAGCCAAGUAUAGCAAGCGCACAUAUCAAUAAAUGAUACAUAAUACCAGUGAGUACUAGAAGCAACAGAUGCAGGUCCCCAUAAAUUGGAGACAACCAAAACAAACGAUUCAUUAUAUUCAGUAGUAGGAGAAAAAGGCAAUUUAUGAAAUUUCCCUUUCUGACAAGCGAUACACAAAUUUGUAAUACUAGAAUUUUUUAAUACAAUCUGACAUUUUUCUAAAAUAGACUUAACCACAAGAGUAGAGGGAUGACCAAGUCUUUGGUGCCAUAACGUAAAAGUAUUACAGUUAUUAGAAUGAGACAAAGGUGUAGUAUUAGAGACAGGAGAAGCCAUUGCAGCAUGAACAGAAGCAGACGGUGAGAACUGAUAGAGACCACCACAAAUGUGGCCCCGUAGAAAAAUUUCCUAAGUCUUGAUGUCCUUAACACAGUAAGACGGAUGAAAUUCAAAAAAUACGUUAUUUUUAAUAGCAUAUUGAGAAAUAGACUGAAGAUUCUUUUAUAUAGUCGGCACACAAAGAACAUUAGACAAGUGAAGUAAUUUAUUCUUUGUAAUCAAAACAAAAUGACCAACACUUGAAAUCUUUGUGGGAGUCCCAUCACCCAUAAAGAGGAGAUAUAUUUGAAUACGGAGUGGAUUCAUUCAAAGCAGAAGCCUCUCGACAAACAUGAUGGGUAGCCCCUGAAUCUGGAUACCAGGAUGUCGUCUCUACAGGAAUAGGAAUAUAGGAAUCACCAUUAGAAUUAGACCCAAAAUUAGUUGCAUUAACAUUAGAGCCAUUGGAAUUCGAAACAUCAGAUGUGUUAAAAUCAGGAAUACAAGGCAACCAGACUCCUGGUGGCACUAAAGUAGGAAAAACACGAGCACGUAAUUUUGUCCUCCAUGAAACUUGAGACUAUCAUUACCAAAAAAUCGAAAACCCGAAUUAUGUCCAACAGUCCCGGCAAACUGAACACAAUUCGAAAUUGGUGGAUGGGAACCAACACUAUUAAAAUGGCCCCCAGAACCAUGACCCACGGAAGUUGAACCAAAUUGAUGACAGGCCAAAUUUAAUUAUGCCCAAGAACACAGCCCACCAGGCGUUGAAGGAUUAACAGAAUUAUAAAGCCCAACUAACGGCCUAGGUCUAGUACCAGAACCUGCCAAAUGUCCAGCACUAAAGCCUACUCUACGACCUGCCACAUGUCCAGCGCCAAGGCCCGCCAAAUGUCCAGCACCAAGGCCUGCUCUAAUGCCUGCCAAAUGUCCAAAUAUCCUAGCAUCAGAUGACCCAACAGAUGGCCCAAAGGCAACACCAGUCCUAUCACAAAAAUCAUCAAAAUAUUGAUGAACCCUAAUCUGUGAAUAAGGCGCCGCAGCAGAGAGAGCCACCCCACCAUGGAUUCGACUGUGGCACCAUCGUAAAUAAACCAUCACCAGAACCUGUCAUCGAACCAAGCAUAACAGCAUACUGUGCACCAGAACCAUCCAUUACCGACGCAACCGAACCACGAUCGACAGACGAAUCUCUCACCCCCGACGCUGGACCACCAUACUCGCAAUUGAAACGGUAGUAACACCGUUGAGCCAAGUGUCCAAAUCGGCCACAGAUUUGGCACUGAACGCGAGACUGAAAGCCUCUUCGAUGACUAACAGGUGGUCGUCCGCCGCGCCCAGAACCAACCACCACUAGUGCCUCCAUCAAAUGUGCAUGCAUCGGUGUCUCUUAAACCGCACAAAUAUGCCUGCCUUUAAACUCCAAUAGGACAUCAAUCAAACGUUGCAACAGUAGAGGCUCAGAAGAAAAUGACGCAAGGGUGAGAAUAGCGUCAAACUCCGACAGCAGUCUGGCUAGUAUGAUUUCAACCUUCUCUGUUUCAGAGAUCGGAGAACCAACUGCAUCUAUCAAGACGCAAAUGUUCUGAAUCUUCGCAACGUACUCCUUAACCGACAUCGCACCCUUCUUGAUCGAAUAAAGUUCAUGACGGAUGCAAAAGAGCUUCGCACCAGAGACGGCAGCAAAAAGUCGCGUAGCGAUGGUCCAGACAUCAUUCGCUGUUUUUGCAUCUACAAAACUAGAUAAAACAGAGGAAGUAAUAGUAGAAAGAAGCCAAAAGGUAAGCAACUUAUCCUGUUGAACAUAAGCCAAAGCAUCUGGAUUUGCCACCAAAGAACCAUCUAACGACUGCAAGAACCUCGAUGGAGCAGAAAUCGUGCCGUUGAGAAAGUUAGUCAGAUUAUAACCAUCUGUGAUUAACCGAAUGUGCCGUCGCCAUUGCAGAAAACUAUUAUCAUCAAGCUUCACAGUUUCGUGUCGAGGAAACGACUGAACCGAGUGUUGGUGAAUGUCGAGUAGCAAGAAAGUACAGCGGUGGAAUCUGUGGAAGUAUUGGUAGUACUAUAGAAUAGGUCUCCAAGGAUUAGGCGACUGAUACCAUGACAAAUACACAGCAAAAACUUAAAGGUAAAAUAGAAAUUAAACUGAUGAAAAUGGAAAUCUUGAUUCAUUUCUUUACUGUGUAAAACUAUAAAUAUUUAUAAGUGUUGUAUGAGUUAACUGUUGCUAACAACCUCACUAACUGUGUAAUAGACUAACAACCAAGCUAUAGCCUACUCUUAACAUAUAUAACUUCUAAAAAGCAAAAAUAAUCAAAACAAGCCAUAAAGAGUUUAAGAAACCGAAACACAUCAAACUCGAACAACACAAGCCUCUAAGGCUUGAAAAAUUGCAACUAAUUACCAUCGAGUUGAAUAGCGAAAUUUCAAAAAGGAAAGACUUGGUAAAGUCACAGGGAUAUUGGUGCUGAGACUAAGUCUAUCGCACGUUCCUUUACGAUUAGUCUACUUAUCAAACAAAGCCACCCUAUAUGCCUAUGAAUCUUACUAAAUGAGUGGUGGUGGAAGUGUAAAUUGAAGCAUGGAUCUAUCGAAUUAGUAGUCACCCAGCGAAACAAGCUUUUAGCGGCGUUUUUUUAGACUAGCGCCGCUAAAACUAUUUGCGGCGCUUGUGAAAGCACCGUAAAAACAUCGCUAAAUUUUGCGACGUUUAUGUAAAAAAAACCACUAUAGAACAUGACCUUUAGCAGCGCUUUUAUCACAAACGCCGCUAAUGAACAUAACCUUUAGCGGCGCUUUUUCCACAAACGUCGCUAAUGAACAUGACAUUUAGCGGCACUUUACCCACAAAUAUCACUAAUGAACAUGACUUUUAGCGGCGCUUUUAUCACAAACGCCGCUAAAGAAUACGACUUUUAGCGACGCUUUAAUCAUAAACGCCGCUAAAGAACAUGACAUUUAGCAUCACUUUUAUCACCAACGCAAUAAAUAAAUAAAUAAGGCUGAUAUGCAUUAUACAAAGGCCAGAACGGCUAAAUUCAUUAAGGGAAAAUAAAAAGGUUCAGCAGUGACUUCCUUCAUGGGACAACACUAAAGUAGUCAAUGAAAAUCUCACAUAAAACUAGGAUAGACUAGUCCCUUGGAGAGGUCGAGAUGAACUUCCAUGUUGUGGUGCAAGUCCAGUGGCCGAACAGUCUCUAAAUCUCGAGGAUCUGCAACAAACACCAUUAAUUUUAAAUUUCAGCUAACCCGCAAAAUAAACAUUACCAUGGGAUGAAUAUGUACAAUAGUCACAAGGAAAAGAGUGCUUAUUUUGAUUUUAGUAUGUAUUGCUAUACCAUUCAGAUAAUCCUCGAAGCCAAAAUCAUCUAAAGUUCCUGUCAUCACUUCCAACCCUAGCAUCUAAUAUGGUAGCAAUGGCCUCUGAAACCUGCAUAAUUUUCAAAGAAUAUACAUAAAAGAUGUUAUUCAGCAGUGAAUUCUAAAUCUGAUAAUUGCCACUAAAGAUGUCAUACACUAUAUACAUCUUGUUAGUCUUUGUUCACUAUAGGGAUAAUUAGGCUUUUCUAAUCUGUCUGGUCCAAAUCUAUGCCCUCUCUAAAACCAGUAAAGGAAAUUUUUAAUUACCAUUUAGAUAUAUGCAUGUCCCCUAACAUAAAAGAGACGCUAACACAACACACAACACAAAACACAAAUGAGUCAAAUCUAUAGAACAUGGAUCAUUAAUGCGUCCAGAUCAAAAUUUUUAUAAAUAUAUAACAUCUUAAACAUGAUUAUAACAUGGAAAAUAGAUGCAAACACUAAGUAAAAUAACAAAAAAAAAAAAUAAAGUACUCCUGUAUGAGCAGAGUUGUUGACAUUUCUUCCUAUUUCAAAUAGAUGCACAGAUCUUUAAGAAUAAAAACCAUAAUACUAGCACAUUUUAUACACACCAUGGUGGAAAGAAAAAUCUUCAUAAAAGAACUUUCCGGCAACCUACAAUCAUUAAUAAUGAAAAAGAAAAUGAUAAGGUCCACCCGUUUCUUAAUUUGGAUAUGACAAGAAGAUGAGUGUUUCCAUCCAUGGGACAGUGGGGAAGAUAGUAAGAAUCAUUUGCUUCCUAUUUAUAUAUACCAUAAUUUGUACAAAUUGGUGGUGAUAAACAAGAAGAUUAAAUAAUUUAUUCCAUGAAAAAUCUUGGAGAGAUCACCAACCAUACAUAAUAAUCAUAAACAAUUUAUAGACAAUUUAUAGUCUGUCACUAUCUAAUAGUUGGAUAUUCUAAUAUGUUGUUUUGCAUUUGGUUUUACAUGCAUGGUUACUAGUCUCCAUGCAGUUGACAAGAAAUCUAGUAUAACAUCCUCAUAUUGAUUGGUUGCAAUUAUUAAAAUAAUGGUAAUUAAUGCUGCGAACCUUCGGUUGGGGACGUUGGGGGUGAAAGGUUUUUAAAAACGAUUCUUACAAGGAUGACGGCCAUUAUAGGAAAAAAAAAUAUAUCAGAGCACGCAUUUAAGUAAUAGAUAGUAUAUACCAGAUACAGCACAUGCCCGCUAACUGUGUCAGUGAACAUUAUGCAUGCUGCAUGCAUCUGCAUUGCAUGACUUCAUUGGAUGUCAGCAUGCAUGCAUGCUGAUUAGAAGUGAAAUUAUAUAGAAAAUAUCAGAUACAAUUUAGGAAAUCAAGUCGAGACAGUAGUUCAGGAAAAAUGACAGAGAGUAACAUUGGAGUUGAUUCCAAGAUAAUUAAAGAAAUGAAGUAUUGAAGCAAUAACUUCGUAUUUAUCAAAAGUUCAAACUUUAAAGACAACAUUAUUAUGAAUAUGAAUCGUAUAUAUCUACUUACUAUCCAGUUCUUUUAACUCAUUUUGUGUGCACAAAUGAAAUUGUACAUACCCUCGAAGACUCCACAAUCAAAGUUCCUGCAAUAUUAUCUUAAUCACAAUCUAUUUUAGCCAGCAAACAUGUUAUUAGUGUAUUCCUUAAUUCCAAUGCAAUAUUAUCUCAUCAUUCAUGGUUGAAAUGUUUUUUUCUUUAAAAUUGCAGAAGGAUUACUCGAAUCCAAUUCUUUCAAACAAUAAAUCGAUUUUAAACAGUUGUUUUUAAAAAAAAUUAAAAGAAAACAGUGAACAGCUAUAAGAGUUGCUGCCAACCAACAAAGUUCAAUGUUAAUUUUCUUCCCUUUUUCCGCAAUUUGUACCUUACAGGCAAUAAACAUCAUCUAUUUUAGAUAUAUUUUCUUAAUUAUAAGAUCUCAUUCCAUUGUACAAAACUGCCUCAUUGAAAAACAGUUACAAAUUCUGGGUUUAGUUUCUGUUUGUUUCCCCGGAAAAAAAUACCUGAAUUUUCAAGGUUGAUCAUAGUUGGAAUCAUUCAAAGCCAAAACCCAGAUUGAUCAGGUCUGUUUUACUAUUGUUUUACUUAUGAAUUUGGAAACUGAAAAGAAGGUAAAUUAUAAGAGUCAGAACAUGCAUGCAUGCAACUGUUUAUUUACUUACUUACUGAAGAAUUUUUAAUCAAAUAUUAUCUCUAUAUAUAUAUUUAAAGGUUAAGAAUAAGAACAAAAUCGAGAUCGUAAAAGGAUUCAAUUCUGAUUUUAUUUGGACUGAUAAUUUUUGGUUAAAUGACAGAAAACUCUGCAAAAACCAGCAAUGUCACGUUCAUGCUAUAUUAUCCGAACAUUUAUGAUGUUACAAUCAUUCAAAUAUAUGAAAAAACUGACGUAUACGUAUAUUUAAUAUUCCCCUUCGAACUCGAAUAAACAUAGGGUUUGAUAAGCUUGCAUGCCUACGCAAAUUGAAGCAGAUAUUGACAACAAGUUCAUAAAUCUAGCAUAAUGAAUCAAAGAAUCAGGCAUAUCUUGAUUAGAACAUGAAGCAAAUUGAUGUAAGAAUUGUUUGAAAACCAACCAUCAGUUUAUGUGUUUUUUCUUUUUUUUUUAAUUUAUUUCCAAUGCUUGGUAUUAAAUCACUUGUCAUGAGUUAUUCGAAACAAAAGAAUUUUCAUAAAGAAUAUGGGAAAUUAUUCUUUGAUUUUUUUUAAAAAACAUUCAUGAAGGAAUCAACAGAAUUUAACAUGGAAUUUUUUUAAUCAAGAACAUGAUACUGACAACAACAUGGCAACAGUAAUGGAGAUUAAAAGAACAAUGCACAUCAUCACUUUUUUCCUCAAAAGAACAAAACAGAUAAAAACUCAAAAGAAUAGCAGAACAGGAAGCUAACCUGGUCCAAUGUCUGGUAGUUAUCAUCUAUCCUUGAGUAUUUCCUCUCCAUAUUAACCAAUACAAAAGAACAAAACAGAUAAAAACUCAAAAGAAUAGCAGAACAGGAAGCUAACCUGGUCCAAUGUCUGGUAGUUAUCAUCUAUCCUUGAGUAUUUCCUCUCCAUAGUCCUAUGUAACACCUAGGCGUUUGCGGUACAUAAUUAUAUGACGGCGAUGGUGCAUAACUAGGGUGUUGCGGCGUGUAGUAAUAAUUUUGUUGAGGAUAUGCAGAUUGUGGUGGCGUGGGGUAUCCGUAAGGACUCCAUGAACCUGUACCACCUGACCUGCUAGUUCGAGACCUCCUUCUGCUACAACCCUUUGAGGAGAUGCAGAGGGCUGCCGAUUUGGGGAAAUUGGGGAAAAAAAUAAAGGGAAUUGGGGUAAGGGAGAAAUGGUUUGGGAAAAAUAAAAUAGGUAAAAAAGAAGAAGAGAUUUCAGGUGGGAUUUCUGGGGGUGGGGGAAUCGAUUUUGGGUAAAAGAACGAAAAAAAAAAAAAAAAAAAGAGAUUUUAUUUGAAAUUUUGGGAUAAAAAAAUAUAAAUACAAAACCACGUCGUUUUGUAAAAAAAUUUGUGGAAUUUGGUGAAAAAAUGCUACUAUUACUUACGUUUUUUACAUAAACGCCACUAACGCUUGACUUUUUUACAAUUUUUAUAUUAAAUUAUUGUAUUUUUCAUAUAAAUUUUAAAUAAAUAAUUUUUUUUUAUUUUAAGUAAUAUUUAAAAUAAUUAGAUAAAAUUAUAAUUUUUAGUUUUUAUAUUUCUUUUUAUAUUUUUGUAUUUUAUUUUUAUUUGUUAUAAUUUGGUCCUAUUCAAAAUAGAUAGUUAUUUAUCCAUAUCAAUCUGUUACUUUUUUUAUUUAUUUAUCAUUUUUUUAAAUCUAAUAUUUAAAUAUAUCAAAUGGUUUAGAUUAAAUAUUUUUAAAUAUAAAAGCAUUAAUUAAUUGUAUAAAAUUUCAUCAUUUAACAAAUCUCAAGUAAAUCUUAAAUCCUAAACCAUUUAAUAUAUAUAAAUUUUAUACAUUAUCUCUUAAAUAAUUUAAACUAUAAUCAUAAUUUUAAUAUAUUAAAAUUAAUAUUAUCUCUUUUACAAUAUAUAAGAAAUUAUUUAAUAUAUAAAUUAAAAAAUACUAAUUAAUCUAAACCCUAAAGCCCUAACUCAUAUCCCUUAAACCCUGAAUCAUAAAAUAUAAAUCCUAAACCUUAAACCCCUGACCUUUAACCCCUAACCCCUAAACAUUAAACCCUAACCCUUAAACCUAGAGGUGAUCAUGGGUCGGGUCAGACCGGGUUUGGGCUGUGCCCAGAAAAAAAUUACGGCCCACGUCCUAGGCCUGGGCCUGGCCCGAAAUAUAGGCCUAAAUUUUUGUCCAGGCUCGGCCCGAUAAAAAAUUCCUAAGCCCGAGCCCGGCCCGGCCCGGCCUGGCCCAUUUUUUUAAUAAACACCAAAAAUUUAUUUUAAAAAUUUAAAAAAAGUAUUUUAAAAAUAUUUUAAAAUAAAAAAAAUAUAUAUUUAUUAUAUAUUCGGGCCGGCCCCAGGCCAAAAAAGUGGUGCCCGAGGCUCAGCCCAUUUUUUAAACGGGCCUCAUUUUUUUUCCCAAACCCAUAUUUCGGGCCUAUAUUUUUACCCGAACCUUACCAUAUUUCUGGCCGGGCCGGGCCACCCGGCCCAUGAUCACCUCUACUUAAACCAUAAACCAUAAUUCCUAAACUUGGCCAUAAUCCAUAAUCCAUAAACCUUAAAAUAGUAACUCCUAAACCUUAAACCCUAAACCAUAUACUCUAAACCCUAAACUAUAAUGAUAAUUAAUUCAAUAUUUUAAAAUUAAUACUAUCUCUUUCACGAUUAUAUAAGAAAUUAUUUAAUAUAUAAAUUAAAAACAAUCAGUCAUGUACCCAAAAAACUUUAAAAUUAUUUUAAAUAAUAGUAUUUUAAUUUUUUUCAUUUUUAACAAAUAUUUUUCUAUGUUUUUACUUUUAAAUUAUUUCUACGUGUUAUUAUUUUUUUCUGAAGAAUUUAAAUAUUUAAUUAAAAAUAAAUUAUAUUUUAAUUAAUAUAAAUAAACAAGUUAAAUAAUAAAUAGACAUAUAAAAUAUUUUUUGCGGUGUUUUUGACAAAGCGCCGCUAAUGCUCCUAUAGCUCGUCUUAAUUUUUUUGCGCCGUUUUUCAAAAAGCGCCGCUAAUACUCGAUCUAUAGCGGCGCUUUUCAGAUAGCGCCUAUAAUGCUCAAUUUAUAGCUGCGUUUUUCAAAAAGCGCCGUUUAAGAACCUGUUUUGUUGUAGUGCCUCUUGGUUGUGGUCCUGGUCUUGGCCUUGGCUUUGGCUUUGGGCCACCACAAGUAGACGUUGCUUCCUCUCUCAUUCUUUAAAAUUCAAUCCACAUUCAAGGCAUCGGAAAUGACGUGAUCAAAGGGUGAAUGCAUAUCACUUUUUAAGUGUAUUAGCAUUCUGUUCACAUUCAAAAAAUAUAUAUUUUUUUUAACUUCAUAGUGCUUUUAAAAAGUACUAUGGAAAAGUAUUUUUGAGAAGUGCUUUUGAAAAAUUUGAGUGUUUGGUAUUGCUGUCAAAAAGUGCUUUUGAAGAAUAAAAUGUCCAUUUUAGACAUGAUAUUAUAAAGUAACAAAUAUGUAUUUCAAUAAUUUUUAAAUUAGUUAAUAUUAUGAUAUUUUAGCAAAAAUAUAAAAAUAAUUUAUUAUAACUUAUUGUUAAUAUUUUAAUAUAUAAUAUUAAUUUUAAAUAUUUCUAAGUAAUUAAUAUUAAUUAUUUAUUAAAUUUAAUUAGAAUAUAUAAACUAUAUUUAAAUAUUUGAAUAUAAUAAUUAAAUUUUUGUAAUUAGAUAUUGACACAAUUGUAUUAUUAUAAAAAUUAUAUUUUAUUUUUAAUUAAUGCUUUUAACACAUUUGUAUUAUUUUAUUUUAAAAUAUAUUUGAAUAUAUAACUCAUAUUAGAUAUUAACAUAACAUUGAAAACAUAAAACUAAUAAAUUAAAAUAUUACAUAUAUUUGGAUUAAAGUUUUAAAAAGGGAUAAUAUUUAUAUACCAAAUAUAAAUACUAAAAAUUUUACAAUAGCAUUUACAAUUUAAAGUGAAUUCAUUAAAUUAGAAGCUAUAGCAUCUCUUAUUAAUUCCAUUUCAAAACCACUUGAAUUGUUUGAUUCACCGUCAUCAUCACUAUCAUCAUCGUCGUCGUCAUCAUCAUCACUUUCUCGACCAUGCGCAUUUUCUGAAUCAAUAAUAUUCUCAUAUGCCCAGUUAAUAUCUUCGUAUUCCAUAAAAUCUGCAUCAUUUCGACCAAAAUAUUUUCGGAUAAAAUUGUGUAUCGUCAUUGUAGCAACAACGAUCAUCGUUUGCUUUUCAAAACUAUAACUUGGUAUAUCCCUUAAAAUGGCCCAUUUUUUUUUCAAAACACCAAAAGUUCAUUCAAUCACGCUACAUAAUGAUGAAUGUGAAUGAUUGAAUAUCUCUUCUAUACCGAAUAUCGGUCUACCUCUAUGAAAAUCAAAUAAAUGAUAUCGCUGUUAUUUUAGUAUGGAUUUUGCUUUAGAUUGCGGCACUCUUUAAUAUGUACCAUUUGCAAUACAUUUAAGUAAAAAUAUUAUUAUAUAUAAAGUCGUAAGGCAGUCAUUAAGAAAACCCAUGUAGUUACUUCAAACAUGUGGUAUUAUUGAUUAUCAAAGUAAUGGCAUUAGGCAUGACUUCCCCACGGUCCAGCUGCAACUGCAUUAAUGGAGUAAAAAAGACACAUACCUAACUACAAAACUCAAUUAUGGCUUGUUUCCAAACCUUACCAAACCAUGAACUCAACAUGAUACUUCAAACAAUAGAAUCACCAAACUAAAAGAGAAAAAAAGAAUUUCAAAAACUAGAAUAAAUUGCUUGGAUGUUUAAGUUCAAAGCUGGGAAUAUAUAUAUAGAAAGGCAAAAGCUGAACCAAAAAGAAAAGAAAAAAGCCAGUGUAACCUCCAGAGAGAAGCUCAAAAGAAUGGAAAUGCUAGCAUUUACCAAUCAGAAUUAAUAUAUAGUAAAGUAAUUAAGUUGAAAAAAAGAGCUUUGCAAAUGAAGAAGAGACAGAAAACAACACACAUAAAAAAUAGACAAAGACUGAUGAUGUUUUGAAACCAUCCAGAAAAUAGAAUAAGAAGAGAACAAAUCCAUCAACCACCUCUCUGAAAAAUAUCCAUUUGCCAGCUGAGGAACAAAGAAAGAGAUGAGAGCAAAGAACCAUUGUUGUGUGUGCGGCUAAAAAAGUAAAAGAACAGCCCAAAAACACUUUUUGGUUGAAAAAGCUAAAAAAUUAUACUUUUUCAUCUACUCAAAAGCAAGCACUUCAAAUAAGUUGGAAAUUUGCUACCAAAUGAAGUCUGUUCUGCAUUAAUUUUCAAAGAAAAGCACUUUUCCUUAUAAAAAUUCAUCUCUAAAGCAAUAAAGAACACAACCUUAAUGUUAUAUUAGACUUUUAAUAAAAAGAGAUAUAUGACUUUUUGUUAAUUUUUCUCGUGGAAUUAAAACAACUUUAUAAUAAAGUGAAUAAAAUAAUAAUUAUAAGAUGCAUUGCCAAUGAAGAUGUAAAUUUGCAUAAGUUGAAAAAUUAUCUAUUUUUUUAUUAAAUUUUACUUGAAAUAGUGAUUAAAAUUUUUAUUCGGUAUUUAAAUGAUAUGGGUUGAAACAAUAUUUUUAAUUUUCCUUUUCUCAAUAUUUUAAUAAUAAAAAACUCUAAAUUCUUAAAUUGGAGAAAAAUAUAGUAAUAAUCUCAAAUAAACUUAAGGCCGAAUCAAUCAGGGGUAGAAUUUUUUAACCCCUCUUACACUAAACAUAAUAAUACUGUUUAUAUAAAUAUCGUUGAUUUUAUCAACCAUGUCGUCCUUGUCCUUGAGCCACAAAUUUAGCUGCUUGCUUUUGAUUCUUCAAAGUCUUCGCAUCGAAAGGGAAAAAAAACUCGUUGGGCCUCCCCUCAUUUAUUCAUUUAUUUAAAAAAAACAGUCUAAUAGUUGCAGUUUUUGUAUUUAGCAGUGAUUAAUUUAAAUGGUAAUUUACUCAAAAUGAAUAAUUUUUACUCAUUAAAAAGAGGGGAAAAAAGGGUUAGAAUAUUGUAUGAAACCAUGUCAUCGUAUCAGCAUAUUUCAUUUAAUUAUUAAAUUGUGUUAUAAAUAGUUGAUUAUUUCUAAAAAUACUAAAUGAAAUUUAUAUAUGUUAAAUAAGUAAAAAAUCGUUGUCCUUAAGUUUCAGAGAAUACAAAGGAAUCUGUCUUUAGUAGUUGACCUCAAGUGAAGACUAAUAAAUCCUUGACAAACAGCUGUAAGGACACGAAUCUGUGGAAUGAGGAUUCACUUGGGUUUUAAAUCAUUCAGUUUAACCAAUGGGAAGAAGGUGAUCUUGGACUUGGCUUUUAAAUUAUUAACUUGUAGAAAGGGGGUUGGGGUCGUGGACUUGGUUUUAUAGCAAGUCAAUCAUCGUACAGAGAGGGUUGCCUUGUUAAUCAGUAUAAAGAAGGCUUAGAUGAUCACCAAAAAUUGAGAAAUCAACUAAACCAAAUUUAUUAAAUAGAGUGACUGAGGGAGUGUGGAAAUAUUGUGUGCCAAGUGCCAAUCCUCAUAUGGCAACGCUGGCUCUGGUUAGAAUUUUACAAUUUAUACUUUUCAGCUGUUUGCUUGCAGCAGGAGAGUCGGUGGCUUCUCAAGCCUUUCCAGGUUGCAAAGAUAAGUGUGGAAACCUGAGCAUUCCAUAUCCUUUCGGCAUGACUUCGGGGUGUUACUUGAACAAGAACUUUCUAAUCACUUGCGACACGUCUGUCAGCCCCCAUCGACCACAAUUGAUUCGUGGUAACUUAGAAGUCACUAGCAUAACACUUGAAGGUCAGGUGGAAAUCUUGCAUCGUGUAGCUAAGGAUUGUUACAACCGCAACGGAACAACUGCGGACCGGAAUUUCCCUCAGCUUUGGGCGGCCAUGUUUACCAUCUCAAAUGAUAGAAACAAGUUCAUUGCUGUUGGUUGCGACACAAAUGCGCAAAUUUGGGCUGAACGUGAGCAUAGCAACAGUACAUAUUUUACCGGCUGCAAGGCAUAUUGCGAGAAAGCGGACGCUCUCCACCUUAAUGGUUCUUGCUCAGGUGUAGGAUGUUGCCAAGUCUCCAUUCCUAGUGGACUUAAGAAUCUUAACAUGUCAGUAAGAAGCUACUACAAACAUACAAGAGUAUGGGACUUCAAUCCUUGUAGCUACGCCUUUCUUGUAGACGAGAGCAAGUUCAGUUUCAGCGAUCAAAGUUUUGGUGAGUUAGCGCAUAAAGAAUUUCUUCCCAUGGUGCUUGAUUGGGCGAUUGGAAAUGAACCUUGCAAUGUAUCUGAGCAUAAUGCUUGCAAACAAAAUAGCAUCUGCUACAACCCUGAAAACAGGUCCGGUUAUCUCUGCAAGUGCAAGGAUGGAUACAAUGGAAACCCAUAUCAUCCCGAUGGUUGCCAAGGUAUCUAUAUAAUAUGCUCAUAUUACCAUUUCUUUUUCAUUGUUCUGCUCCUUUUUUGCCACUUUAGGAGUGAUCUGUUUUAUUUUAAUGAUUUCCAGAGAUUGAUGAGUGCAAAAAUUCGAGCCUACACAAUUGUAUUUCUGAAAGGAAUUGUUUUAAUACGCCUGGAAGUUAUAAAUGUUUUUGCACAAAAGGCUUUUAUGGGGAUGGCGAAAAAGAUCGAAGGGGCUGUAUGCGAAAUCAAGCAAAUGUCAUAAAAAUCUCCAUUGGUAGGUGUUUCAAUGAAUGCGUUUUUUAUCGUAUUGGAUCGAUUCUUACUUUAGCUUUUAUAUAACGCAUACUGCUUAAAUCAUUUCCAACAUUUUAGCUGGUGUUUUAUGGCAGUUAUUGGCUUAUGUGUGCUGGUUGUUAUUGUGGGUUCUUCAUGGUUGUUCUUCAUAAACAAGAAAAGAAAGCUACUCAACAUGAAAAAGAAGUUCUUUAAGCAAAAUGGUGGCUUACUGUUACAGCAAGAGCUACAUGAACAACGAGUAUCAACUGAAACCGUUAAGAUUUUCACUGCAGAAGCGCUUAAGAAUGCAACCAAAAACUAUGAUGAGAGCCAAAUUAUUGGAAAGGGAGGGUUCGGCACUGUUUACAAAGGUAUCCUGAAGAAUGGCACUGAGGUAGCUAUCAAGAAAUCCAAAGUUGUUGAUCAAAGCCAAAUUAAGCAGUUCAUCAAUGAGGUUAUUAUUCUCACCCAAAUAAACCAUAGAAAUGUGGUCAAGCUUUUAGGUUGUUGCUUGGAGACUGAGGUCCCCUUGUUGGUUUAUGAAUUUGUUUCCAAUGGCACCUUAUCCGAGCACAUCCACUGUGAAGACAAAGCUUCUUCGAUUUCUUGGGGAAUUCGGUUAAGGAUAGCUACGGAAUCAGCUCAAGUGUUGUCAUAUUUGCACUCUGCAGCUUCUAUACCAAUCAUUCAUAGAGAUGUGAAGCCUACAAACAUCCUCCUGGACGACAAUUAUACUGCAAAGGUUUCGGACUUCGGAGCUUCACGGUUAGUUCCGAUGGAUCAAACUCAGUUAUCAACGAUGGUGCAAGGAACUCUUGGAUAUUUAGACCCUGAAUACUUGUGUACAGCGCAACUGACAGAAAAAAGCGAUGUCUACAGCUUUGGUGUAGUCCUAGUUGAGCUGCUAACGGGCAAAACUGUGCAUUCUUUUGAAGGGCCUGAAGAAGAAAGAAACUUAGCGAACCAUUUUGUUCUAUGGUUGAAAAAUGAUCGAUUGUUUGAGAUUCUAGAUGAUAAAGUGGCGAAAGAAGGAGCGGUUGAGGAGAUUAAAGAAGUAGCUAAACUAGCAAAGAAGUGUUUAAACGUAAAAGGUGAAGAGAGGCCUUCAAUGAAGGAAGUUGCACAAGUGCUUGAGGAUGUAAGAAGACUCAGGUGCGAACAUCCAUGGGCUGAAGUUGCUGUUAAUUUGGAGGAAACAGAGUUUCUGCUUGGAGAAACAUAGAUGUUUCUACUAAAAACAGCAGCCAAGGCUUCACAACAAUGGCGGUGUAGUUGUUUAGCAAGAAACCAGAUAAUUAUAUAUAUAUGUAUACAUAUAUUUGUGAUCUUUGUUGAUCUUAAAUUUGUUUUGGGACAUUUUAGGUGUUCAUAUUUUGAUGCUUAUAUGUAAGAUUCAGUAGUAAAUAAAACAGCCCUCGAGGUGUUUCAUCUUCAGUAGUAAAAUUAGAGAGGUGCAACCACUCUCUAAAACCCACCUGGAAGGACAUAUUGUGGAGGGCAUUGGUGAGGUUAAGGAGGUUGGCGGCAUUGGAGAAUGAUGCAGCCGACUUGGCGAGGGCUUCAAGGUACUUGGUGGCUACCAAGGUAAGGCUGUCCAGUGCUGAGACUCACCUGCACCUGAACCCAACUGAUUUGCAAAUCUAAGACACUGCUACUUUGGUUAUAUUGAAAACAACUCCACGAGAUGUGCUGUUUCUUGGUGUGGUUAUUUGAUUUGAUAUUCUCUUAGAUUUGGGCUAUUUCUUGGCACUUGAAAUUGGUCGUCUUCUAAUUGCUAAAAUCCUAGGGUUCGUUUGAUAUAUUGGAACCAAUCUUUUGUGAAUAGUACUAUAAAUGAAAUUUAGUUUUUGUUAAUAUAUAUUUGUUUAUUAAGCUAAAUAAAAUAAUAUGAACAAGAUUUUAAUGAUCCAAACACAUACAAAGCUUGUUCAAUUAAUUUAUAUUCAUGAACCAGCUCAUUUAUGUUUAUUUAAAGAUUGCUUAAUAAAUCAUAUAAAACUCAUUUCUUGUUCUAUAUCUAUACUAUUUAUUAUGCAAAUUAUCGACUUAGUGUCACACAUCAAUUGGGUCUGAAUUCAAUUAUACAAUUACCAAAAAAACCUUAUUAUAUGCAAAGUAAGUUAUAUGUGAUUGUUUUUAUUUAUUUAUAUUUUUAUAAAUCAAUAAAAAUUUAUCCAUAAUAAGAUUUGAACCAAAAACAUCAUGCAUAUAAAACUUUUUCAUUUAUCAUUUAAACUAAAGCAACUUUUUAUUUCUAUAUGAAACCUUAAUAACUAUAUUUGUUAUAUAAUUUUUUAUAUAUUUGUGUAUAUAUACUUACUAAUAAUAAAAUCUCUUACUAAGUUUGUGUCACGAAUCAAUCAUGUACCAAUUAGAUUAGCGAAAUUACGAAAAUAUCAUUUCGUAUUUUAAAAAAUUAUAUUAUUUGAGGAUAUUUUAAUCUGUUUUAUAUAAAAAAACUUAAUAAAAAAUUUGCAUAUGGUUAGACUUGAAUCUAUGCUAUUAACAUUAAUAAAACAUUAACUUUACCACUAAAUCAAAUAUUUAUUUUAAUAUAAUAUUUACAUUUUAACUGUAUUGUGCAUACUAAAUCAAAUUUGGCAUGCAUGAUCUACAUAAAUAAAUCAUGAAAUAUAACGGUUUGAUCAUUAAAAUAUUAACCAUAUAAAUAGUUAUGGAAAUGUGUAAAACUACUUUAGCUUUUAAAUUAUAUAAAUAGACCCCUAUAUAUAUAUAUUGUUUGUUUGUUUGUUUGUUUGUUAUUGAUGAUCAUUAUGGAAGCACAAAUCAUAGUUUAAACAAAAUGUAAGCAGCGGAAAGAUUGAACAAAAAUACCUCUAGCCAUUGUCUGAACCAAAUGCCAAAAUCUAGACGUUGUAACACCACUUUUCGAGCGCGUCAAUCAACUGAUGAAGACAUAGUAUUUAACUUUAUGAAAACUCAAAAUUUGAAAAAUACAAAAUCGUUAAAGCCUUCUAAGCACUUGAAAACCUCACUAGAUGGAAUUGUUUUCAAAAAAAGUUUUUAGUGUUUAGGGACCUUAUACUUGGGGUAUUUAUAGUGGUGGUUCCCUGUCAAAAACCACCAAUCACAUGCCUCACUAUCACACAAAAACCCACUAUCGCACGUGUAAGAUGUGGAAGUUGGGAACAAAAGUGGAAAUGGGCAGCAAAUGUGGGUGGAAAUGGGCAGCAAACGUGGGUUAUACCCACGAACCAAAAUUGGCUCCAACAUUCUCCCACUUGGUUCGUAUUACCCUUGAAAACUUAAAGUCGAAACAUAAUGCAUGAAUCAUGGCGAUAUUUUCUCUUAGAAUUUGAGUAGUAUCUUCCAUAUAUCACUAUACAUCAUGCCUCAACACUUUAGCCCAAAUUUCUUAAUGACUAAACCCAAUGUUUAUUCCAGGUCCAAAAUUUAGCGACAUUUCUUGAAAUAAUCAAAUUAAUGUGCACAAAAAAUAUGAGAAACAUUAAACUUAAUAGAGUUUCAUUAUAAUCGUUCUUAUAAUUAAAAUUUACAAGGUGGGAAGAAGUUUCAUAAUGAUAACAUGAUCCUUAAAUUUGUGUGAUGGCAUGCCUUUAGUUAAAGUAUCAGUUAACAUAUGUUCAGUGUUAAUGUGCUCAAUGACCACUUUCUUUCUUUAACAAGUUCCCUUAUGGCUAAAUACUUAAUGUCGAUAUGUUUACUUUGACUUUGACUUUUGUUAUUUUUAGCCAUAAAGAUAGCAGCUGAAUUGUCACAAUAUAUCAUCAAUAGCCUAGAAAUUGAAUCCACAAGUCUAAGCCCAAAUAUGAAACUCUUGUACCAUAUUCCAUGUGAGGUAGCCUCAAAACAUGAAACAAACUCAGCCUCUAUAGUGGAAGUAGUAGUUAAGGAUUGCUUGACGCUCCUCUAAGAUAUAUCUAAGCCAGCAAACAUAAAUAUGUAACCUGAUUUUGAUUUAUGUGAAUCAACACAAUUGGCAAAGUUUGAAUCAGAGUAGCCAAUCACCUCCAAAUUAUAUGAUCGUUUGUAUGUAAACAUGUAGUCCUUUGUCCCAUUAAGAUGUCUCAAAAAUUCCUUUACAGCUGUCAAAUGGUCAAUACCUGGAUUACUCGAUAUAUUCCCAAUAUUCCAACUGCAAAUGCAACGUCAGGUCUUGUGCAGACUUGAGUAUACAUUAGGCUCCCAACAAUUGAAGCAUAUGGAAUGUUUUUCAUUUGCUCCUUCUCAAAUUCAUUCUUUAGGUAUUGGUUCAAAUUGAACUUAUCACCCUUCACAAUAGGAGCCACACUCAGUGAAUAAUCUUUCAUCCAAAAUCUUUCUAAAACUUUGUUGAUAUAGGUUUCUUGAGAUAGACCUAAGAUACCAUGACGUUUAUCACGAUGAAUCUUAGUGCCAAUGACAUAAGACGCAUCACUCAUAUCUUUCAUAUCAAUUAGAAAGAAAUAAAUUUAGGAAAAAACUAGAGUUUUUCCAAAACAAGAUCUUGGUAGUGAUAUAUAAAGUAAUAAACAUUUAAUCAAAAUUGUACCUUUAAGAUUCGUUUAGGAUGAGCGCUUCGACCAAGUAGUCUUCUCCGCUAUCCUCAAGCUCACGUCUGUUGAGUGUAGGUUUAUUCAAAUCAGAAAAAUUUUCACAAAAAUUACAAGUGGGGUAAUUUCACAAUUUUUCUAAACUUUUGGGUCAAGUUGUAAAUAAAAAAAAUAUCUUUAGAAAUUUGCUGAAAUAAUCUCUUCAUAGAAUUUUCUCUUGAAUUCAAGUGUGUGAAAAAUAAUGACCCAAGACUCUCUUUAAAUAGGGAGAGUUUAGAGAGUUCAACUAUGAUUAAACUUAAUCACUUUUAUAUUAAAUUUAAUCUAAUAUUUAAUAUUAAAUCUUAUUAAAAUAAUAGAAUGUUUAUCUACAAGAUAAACAUUAAAUUAAAUUUAAUAUUAAUACAAUCACUUUAAUAUUAAAUUAAUAAAUUCCUAUUAAAAUAAGUAUUAAAUUAAAUUUAAUAUUAAACUAUUAAAAUAAUAUUCUUUUUGAAAUAAUUAAUCUGGAAUCAAACUCUCUAGUAGAAUUCCAGUAAGAAUGUAACUCUUCCACUGCUCAACCACCGACGACCAACCGUCGCCACCCACCGGGACGCCACCAUCGCAGCCACCGGGAUCGCCUUGUCCGGUGAUGCAGGUGUGACACCCUUAUGGCUCGAUUCGACUGUUGUAGGUUUGGUCUGGGUCAUUGACGACCCAACCGGUUCGGCCCAACCACCGGUUGAAAUGUUGGCUCGAUUUCACAUACCUAGCCCCAUUCGACCAAUUUUUGGGUCUUGUUCUCGAUUUUGGGCUCCCGGGUUCAAUUUAUGAUCUCAGGUCUUAUUUUUAAGUUCAAUUGUCUAUUGGGCCAAUUAUUUGACUUGAAAAUUUAUUUCUAAAAAUAUUGUUUAAUCAAUUUGAUUAAUUUAAUUUUACUUGAUCAAAAUUAAUUUUUUCAAAAAUCACUUAUAUUUUCAAAAUUAAUUUUUCAAGAAAAUUCUUUAAGGAAACUCUCUGGUUGAACAAUUAUCACGACCACCUAAUUUAAUUCCACAUCGAAUAAAUCGAUUCAAUUAAAUUAUUCCCAAAGUCAUAGAAUUUUCUUCUGAUUCAAAUGCAGUCCGAUCGAGCUUUUGUUGAGCUAGCAAAAGACCAAUCGGGCAUAUACAAUUAGGCUCUAGUGAUUGCAAUUAUGUUCAGAAGCAUCGUUUUGAUAAUUCGCAAUUACUUAAUCAUGGAGUCAGUUCACAAGAAGUACCAUGAUUGAAAAAUCCUUAUUGUAUACUCUUUACGAAAGCAAUUCAUCCAACUGCUUUGUCCAAUGACCUCGUCAUGUGUGUGUUACCCUUAUAUGAUAUCCUUGAUUCUUUUGAGUUAAAUCUGUUCACUCAAUACAAUCCUAUUUUAUCUCAUUGUCAGCAUUAUGUCUUCUUAAUGAUUAAUAUGAUCACUGGCAACAAAUGACUGUGAUAAAUUGCUCGUUCGAGAACAAGUAACUUGUGGCCACGUUCCAUAUUUAUCAAUCCACACAAUGCCAAUGAGAGGAUAUCAUUACUCUUUAAUUGAGCUAUGAAUUUCACCCUUUCUAGUUAAACCAUGUCAUACACAAGUCAUGUACCCAACAUAUCAAUUAUCUUUAGAGCAUAAGCCUCCACUUAUAUCAAGCACAUGAGUUACAUACGCAUGAUCAGUGACUAAAUUAGGAUUUAGGUAAUUCACACCAUGAAUGUCGUAAGUGAAUUAAUUCACAAACGGAUUUAAAAUUAAUUCAUCUUGGGUUUAGUCCAAUGUAUCAUUCUGCCAAUGAAUACAUCUAUGCCUUUACUCGUGGAGUCAACUGCUCCGAUAGCCAAGACUAUUCAUCUCCUCAAUUGGAAUUGUAGACAACAUAAUAAUCCUUCUCAGUAUUUGAAUCAAAUGCUCACUUUGAUUCUUUUAUGAGAUUGUAUAAUCAUUUAGAUUAUCUACUAAACUAAGUUAUCUUUCUCGCAAUGUAAAUGUUCUUACAAUGCCACUUAUCAUUAGUUUGAACUUAAACAAUUAAUAAGCUAAUAUUUGUUUGUCACAAUUUCGCUAUGCAUGCAAAAUAUGAAAGACAGAAAUACAAAAGACAUAACAUGAAAUGUAAAAUUUAUUUAUUCAUCAUUCAAAUACAUAGAAAACAAUUACAUGUUUACUAUAAUAUGGGCAUAUUUCUCAACAGUAGGUAUGUUGGUGCUUUGCAAGAGAAAACAAGAACAAAAAGAAAAACUCACACACUUAGCAGAUGGAAUAAAAUGCUAUCGAUCUCAUUUGUAUUUUCAUUCCAAAAUUACAAUAUAGAUGAUGAGUUCUUACAAGUAAUCAACUAAUCCAACUACUAUCUUGGAAAAGUAAAAACAAAACUAGUAACCAAACUGAUUAGGAGAAAUUAGUACCUAAUAACAUCAUUUCAAUACUAACUCUACUUGUUUUAACAAGUUACCUUCACUAACAGACUAAGCAAAAACAUAUUAAAUUAUGCACUUGCAAACCCUGCUCCUACUUCAUUUGGUGGCACGUCAAAACCCUUAACACCUUGCACUAGACAGCUCGCAAGGUGGUUUGCACAUUAAUAAUUCUUGGUUGGGCACGCAUCUUUGCUAAGCUUGCAUGUUUAAUGAGCUCGCAGCUUUCGAUGAACUUGCAAUUAUGUUUGAGCUCACAACUUUGAAUGAGCUCGCAGUUUUCGAUGAGCUCGCAUAUCUGGAUGAGCUCGCAAAUUUGGAUAAGCUCACAACUUUGCGACCUAAGUUCGCCAUUGCUUGAAUGGCUACUUCGCAACAAGGUAAGAGUAACGAGGUUUAAACUCAUGUCAAACAAAUAUUCACAAAAGCUUUAAUCAUUUGAUGAAGCCAGAAAUUUAGUUUAAAAGGGACCGAGAUAAGAUUAUAAAAUUGGGGCGUCAAAACUAAAAAUUUUGUAUUAAAAUGCUUGAAUUAAAUUAUUAAUUUUUCAAAAGAGCUAAAAUUACAAUUUUUUAUUUAAUUAGAGGUUAAAAAAGUUUAAAUUGAAUCUUUUAAUUUUGGGAAGGAAAGUAUUGAGCCAAGGGAAGUCAAGGUCUACUCUCUACCCCUUUUAGUUAUGGCAUUGAUCACCUCUUCAUAUAAAUCAAGAUACAAAUUCGAUUAAAAUAAAUAAAUAAAUAAAUAAACAAAAUCUCGUUGGCUAAAAGUAGAAUUGCUUAAAUUUGUUUACAUAUAUUAGGAUAUGUUAAUCCUAAAGAACUUAGGAUCAUAAUUAUAAUGAUAAAACUGUUUAGAAGACUUGGAAAGACAUGUUUUUUAUUUGGAUAAAAUACAUUGCAUGGAUAUAGCAAUUAAGCCUAAUUAUAUAUCAUUUGUUUUCAAACUUAUUUUCUGUUUUUGGGUAGCAGCAGCGCCUCUUCCGUCGACACUGAGCCGUCGUUACUACCCUGCUGAUUGUUGGAUGUAGAUCCUUGAGAGCAACAACGGAGGCAUAUACCACAGCAAGAACAAACACAUUGGACCAUUUUAUCCAACAUCAUUUUUUUCACCAACUUUCUUUCUUCUGGAAACACAGUUGCCCUCCCUUUCUUUGCUUCUGUCAAUGAUCCAUCUUCAACUUUCUGAUUAGGCCCCAUCUUUGGAAUUCCGCUAGUCUUUGUAAGAGUUGAGAUAUGCCCUUAAGGUGUUCGAUCAAAGUACUAGUUCAUAUAUAUAGCUCCAAACAGAGGCAUAAAUGCUGCAGAUUUGCCUAAGAAUCCUUGACUGAAACAACCACAGGGAACUGCCUUUGGAAUAUCUUCCAUUUUUAUUGAAACAAAAAGAAUCGAGGUUUGGUAAAUUAGCAACUUCAAAUGUGCGAAACCACGUGAAAUACCGAGACGUAUGAGAUCAGCAGAUUAACAUACGUAGUCUUGAACUUGAUCUCAGCGAUUCACUAACGUCAUUGUCGUUUCGUCAUUUUAGCUUAUUAUAUAACUCCAACCAAGCUACGUAUGAGUGUUACAUGCUUUUAUAUGUUUAUAACUUCAAAUAUGAAUCAAUUUGUUUUUUUUCUAUUUCGUUGAAUUUGAGUGAUUUUUUUACUACAUGUUCGACUGCUGUACUUGUAAGUGAUCAUCAGCUCUUUCUGGAAGACGAUUGAGUUCUCAUCUUUUCUUCUGUUCUCAAAUCCAUCAACUUAUGGUACAAUACAAAUAUUAGAAAUUUUUGAAACAUUUUGAUUUCGUCUUGAAUUGGAUUAACAGUUCUGUAUACAAAUAUUAGAAAUCUCCGUCUUCUGUCCCACUUAAUUUCGAAAUUGAGCAAAUUGAUCAUUCUUAAAAAACCAGAGCAACUUAAUUUCAGAAGUAAGCAAAUAAAGUCAAUUAAUCACGAGAGUAAUAUUUUUCAUCAAUAGUAUACGAUUUUGAUUGGUAUAAUAACAAAGUUAGCCCACAAAGUUUAAACAUUAUGUUAAUUUGGUCUUAAUUUAAUAAAUUUAUCCCGCAAUAUUUUUGUAAAUGUGUAAAUGUUGAGGUAGAAUUUAUUGAUUCUUUUUAGAAUUAAGGCCAAAAUAACAAAACAUGUAAAUAUUAAAGGCUAAAUUUAUUAUUAUACUUAUCAAAAUUGUGCACAACCGACGGAUGAUAUUAAGGUAGUGAUUAAUUAUCUUAAUUGUUUAUUUUUGAAAUUGACAGAAAUUAAAUUACGUCAAUUUUUCUAAAGGGACUAAUCUAUUUAAUUUUAAAAUUAAGAGGAAGGGAAGAAAUUGCAUACGAAAUCUCAAUAAUUACUAGACUGUGGGCGGAUGUAGAGGUGCUCAUGGGCCACCUGGCCCGACGGCCCGCUUGAAAUAUGGGAGGGUUUGGGUAAAAAUAUAGGCUCGAAAUAUGGGUUUGGACAAAAAAUGAGGCCAGUUUAGAAAAUGGAUCGGGCCUCGGGAACCACUUUUGGCCAGGGCCUAGCCCGGCCCGGCCAAAAUAUUUAAUAAAUUUUUUUAAUUUUAAAAUACUUUUUUUUAUUUUGUUUAUUUUUAAAAUAAAUUUUUGGUGUUUAUUAAAAAAUGGGUGGGCCGGGCAGGGCUCAGGCCUAGGAAUUUUUCUCGGGCCGGGCCUGGACAAAAUUUCUGGCCCAUAUCACGGGCCAAAAUUUUUUGGUCCUAGCCCAAACCCGGCCCGGCCCAGCCCAUGAGCACCUCUAGGCGGAUGCCAUUAAUUUAAUGAAAAUAUUGUACUUUUUUAUUAAUUAGAAAACUACCCAGAAAUUAAUAUAAAAAAGACUUAUAGCUCCAGCUGAGACAAAAAUAGAAAGAAGAAAAACAUAAGAUUUAGACCCUACUUGAUUUUCCAUGUCAAUUUUCCAUGUCAACAAAUUUUGAGAAAAUUGAAACCUUAAUUUACUAAACAUAAAUAAUGGUUGGUUCUGAUAAGGUAAAUUAAUGAACAAGAAGUAGCAUAGCCUUAGAACCUAUUGUCUUUUGCUUUUGGACCAAAAAGUUGAGGAAGUGGAGAACAGAGAGCACAUGAAUCUUUGAAUGUCUUGUAUCUCACGUCUUUGCCAAAACAUCUGUUCUAGGACUAUGCAUUACCUCCAUAUCCCUUCACUCUCUUAUUAUGGGCUCCUUUCGUCCAUUAAACAGUAACACAUCUUGAUUUAGUAGCGAAUUAUUCUUUCCCUUUUUUUCCCAAAUAAAGUAGCUUUUUUUAUAAAAAGAUGAAACAUGCAAAGCAUCAUUCAACCAAACAUAAGCACCAUUGUCUAGAAGCAUAAUCCAGAACCUGCAACCACCUUGAAGGCCCAGUGGAAGUUGAAUAGGGCUAAUGACAUCCAAUUAUAUAUUUCAGUUCCACAUCAUUUUAAAGCACCAAAAUCUUUAACAGAUUUGAUUUCUUCUGCUGCAGAACUUGGUCUCAACUACUACUACAUUUAACAUUUUUAUGAGUAUAUUAAAUCUAACGGUUUAGCCAAAGCUAAGGUCCAUAGGUCGAGGGAAUUGUUGAAUGUCCUUUUUCAAAUCUUGUUUUUAUGCCCUUGUAUUUCCCUCAAAAUAUUAUUUUAGUUUUUCAUUUAAAUUUUUGUCUCUUUUAAGUUUUUAAAUUUAUGUCUUUUUGUCAAAUCACUUCAAAAUGAAUAAAAAAAUUAUACGUUUUUUAAUUUUGCUAACAUUGCGUACAUGUGAAUGAUACGUUAACAUUUAAUUAAUUUUGUUACGUAAAUAUGAUACGUGUUGUUACGUUUCCAUGUCAUCCAAUCAUUAAUAACAAUGUUUGGUUGGCCAAAAUUUUCAAUAUCAUUAAAUUUGGUACUUAAAUUGAUGGUUAUGAUAGUUGAAUGGCGAAAUUAAACCUUACGAAAAAAUAGUACUUUUUUUUGGUUAUCAAUCAUAUACUAAUUUUCUAAUCAAUGGUUUAUUACUAGUAUUAUUAUCAUGCAUUAUAAUUUUAAAAUUUUUAAUCUUAUUAUUACAAAAUUUACAAUCAAUUUUACUAUUAUAGUUUCUAUUAGAGGUGCUCAUGGGCCGUGCUAGGCUCAAAAAAUUUUCAGCCCGCUUCCUAGGCCCGGGCCCGGCCCAGCCCGAAAUAUGGGCCUGAGAUUUUGUCCAGGCCCGGCUCGGUGAAAAACACGAAGCCCGGCCCGGCCCUUUUUUUUUUGCUUAAAAAUAAUUGUUAUUAAAAUUAAUUGUUAUUAAAAUUAUAUCAAAUUAUAUUUUUUUUUAUAUAAUGAACAAAAAAAUAAAAUAAGAUUACUUAUUUUUUCCAUUUCAUGCCGAAUGAAUUGAAUAAAAAUAAAUAUUAUAUUUAUAUUUGCUUAAAAUUGGUCCCUGUACUAGUGUACUUUUACAAAAUUUCAUUAACUCUGUUAAAAAAAUUAAGUAUAAUCACAAAUUUAGCCCUUCAAGUUUUACAACUUUUGUUAAUUUAACCCUACUCUUUUUAUUUUUACUUUCAUUAUUAAAAACUAUAGGAAAAUAAAAAAAACUAAAAUUUAAUAUUAAUCACCAUUAGAUUAGAAUCCACUAACUAUUUAAUUAAUUAUGAGUUUAUUCUUACAGGAUUAAAACACUAGUUUUCUCGAUAAUAAAUUUUAGAAAAACCCCUCUCUUCCAAGUUGGAAGUUCCAACUCUUCCUACUUCUUUCAUAUUCCCUCAACUCUCAUGGAAAGAAGAAAGGAAAGAAAGUCUUCAUGUCCUUUUUUUUUGCAUGGUUUCUUUUGAUUUUCCAGAUACUCACAAGAAACAACGUUUUAGCUUACGGGAAAAUUCAAACGGCAUAAAUCCAAUCCAAAUUCAUAAAUAGAAGCAUCUCUAUUUCUCAAUCCCAUUAUUUUCCUACUAGUAGAUAAACAAUUUUAGCUUACGAGAAAAUCUGCUAAUCUGCUAAUCUGCAAAAUGUUGUACAAAGUAAACUAAAAGAAAAUCAAAUUAAAUUAAAUUCUAAAAAGAAAAUGUAAGUGAAAGCUUACGGGAAAGGAAGCUAAGGUAAGCCAAAUCGAUUUCAAUGUCGAUUGUUUCUGCAAUAAAACAAAGCAAAAACAAAAAAGAUGAGAUUAAAUGAAGAAACUAAGCAUGUGAUCUCAGUAAACAUUAUAACAAAUUCAUUCAACUCAAAUCCAUGCAAUUUUAAAAUUCUGAGAACUUCAUUCCAAAUAUAUCAUGAAUUAAGCAAUUGUAAGUAACCGUAUUUGGUCUAAUGCCCUUAACCGUCACAUGAGAGAAUAGAUCAAGAGCCUCAUUUAGUGAUUCCUUCUUACAAACUAAAAAACAGUCAAUGACAGUGUUAUAUGCUACAAUAUUGGGUUCAAAACUUAAUUCAAUGACAAUGAAAUAUACUAUUUAUAUUGGUAAUUUAAUGGUAUAGUUUUUAAGUAAAUAAAAAUAUUGCAAAGAAUACUAUACUAGUAGAAGGCGUAGGUUAUGACUUGAUCCAAUAGAGUCAGAACACCUUUCUAUCUAAAAGGAAACGAUCCAGAUUCCACAGUAUGUUGUGGGCUGGGGAGGGAGCUGCUCUGCGAAACUAGGCGUUCAAUGUUCUUAUGGGGGAACCAUACUAGAAAGAGAAUGUAACAGCCCAAUUUUGGCCCUAAUCGGAAUAGUAGUUUCGGGACCACAAAUUCGAGUCUGAAAAAUAUUUUUAAUAUUAUUUUCUGUGUUAAUUAUGUGUGAAUUUACAUUGUGAAAGUUUCGUGAAUUAAUUUUAUUGUUUGUGUGUUUAAUUUAAUAAAAGGACUUAAUCGCGUAAAAUGUGAAAUUAACUAAUUAAUAUGUAAAGUGCUAACUUGCUAAUGUCUUUAUAAUGUGAAGUCCUUAAUAGGAAAUUUGGCCAUUUAUUUAGAUAGUGGACGACAUUAUGUUAUAAUAUAUAUAGUUUUUAUAUUAUUUAUAAAGCUUAUAAUAUAUAUUAUAUUAUAUUAUAAAGUUAUUAUUAUAAUAAUAAUAAUAAUAAGAGAAGACAAACAUUAAAGUGGCCAUUUUCACUUAUUCUUGGCCGAAUAUUUAUUUUAAAAGCAAGACAUGUCACAUACUAGGUUUAAGCCAAAAUUUGCAAAAUAAUAAAAAUGGUGAGAAAGAAGGAUUUGAAGUUGAGUUUCAAGGAACGUUUCACUAACACUUAACCAACAAACCAAUACCUCAUUUAUUUCCUAAAAAUGCAUAGAUAAUCUUAAAAAUUAAGGCAUGACCACACUCUCUCGAUUUACAAACUCAAUUUUACUAACCCCUAAUUUUUGUGGUGUUACAAAAACAAUCUGAGCUCUCGUACGUCAUCCAAUCCUAAAUCAGAUGUUUUCCUGAAAAAUAAAAGUGAGACAAAGGGUGAGUCACCAAAUACUGCGUAUAACCAAACUCAUACAAAUAAACAGAAUGCAAUAUAUAAAUCAUAGUAACGCAAGCAUUUGGUAACAAUUGUAUAACCAGUACAAAACAGAUCUAGAGUAUCACAGAGGUUUCAACAGGGGUAGUACAGCGAAACAAAGCAAAACAGAACAGAGUAGAACAACGCAAUUCAAAUUGAACAGGAUGGAUCAUAACAUAUCAAUUCUAAAUAGAACAGAACAGAACAUAACAAAGCAGAACAGAGCAUGUAUGUUUAUGCAGAUGCAGUAUUUUUCAAACAGAUUAAAAUGUAGAUUUAUCAGACACAAUCUUCCCAAACUCCGUUAAACACCAAAAUAGAGUUCUCCCCCAAACUCAUCCAUCCAAAACACACUAAUAAAGUCAUCCGGGUUGCCCAACAACAAUGGCUUAUCAAUAUGUAGUUAAACUACCAAUCAAAUAAAUGUGGUCAAGCCACUAUAGUACAGUUGAACUACCGGAACAAAAGUGUGGAUAAACUACUAGAAACUUCCUCCUUUUACUUCAACCCAAGUCCCAUGCAAUGUUUCAUGACAUGCUUAUACAGAAUCAAAGUAAUGAGCAUGUAAUUCAUGCUAUCUCUCAAUAACUAAAUUAGUAAAUAUAGGAGUCCAUGUUUUGUAAAAUAGAUUUAUCAAACCUUAACGGACCAUAUCAGAUUUUCCAUGAAGUCACAUGCAUGAUUAUAAAUCAAAUUCAGUAACAAUCAGUCUAACAUGUUCAGAUAUCGCAUACUUUUCAUCAACAGAGCAACGCAGAGGUGUACCAACAAACUUAACAAAAAACAGAUCGUACCUGAUAAUUUGCAUACAUAGACAAUAGCACAUUAAGUUCUGACGAAUCUUACUUACUUAGGUUCAAACAUAACAGAUAUACGUACAGAUCACAAGUUGUUCAUCAUUAGUCUAACACGUUCAGAUAUCACAUAUAUCAUCCAUAUAUUAGUCUUAAAGCAUCAGAUAGUCCUCUUGCGAUCAAAUUCAGAUCAUAAAUACAUUGUAGAGGUCAGUGCUCGUGUUUGGCAACACUCACAGCCUCAAAAAAUAAGAUUUAGAUCCUAUUCAUAUGUCACACGGCUUGGACACAUGCCCACGGCCUAGACACACAUACAUGUCCUUGCUCGUGUGGCUCACACAGCCUGGGCACACACCCAUGUUGUCUACCCAUGUGGCUCUAAAUCAUAAAGAGUGAGUUACACGGCCUAGACACAUGCCUAUGUCCUUGCCUGUGUGGCUCACACAGCCUGGGCACAUGCCCAUGUCCUUAGCCGUGUGGUUCUAAAGCGUAAACAGUGAGUUACACGGCCUGGACACACGCCCAUGUCCUUGCCCGUGUGGCUCACACAGCCUGGGCACAUGCCUAUGUCCCUUGCUAUGUGGCGUCGACAGUCUCGUUCUUUGACUACUAAAAAUGUAGAAAAAGUGGGGGUUUCGACGCCCGCCUGAUACAGACUCGAUGUAAAAGCAACAAGGAUGAAUUUUUGCCUCUAAACGACAAGAAAUUGCCAAACAAAAUGAUUAAUCCGCAGUCAAAUCUCUAAAAACUAACAUUCUAAAAUCGCAGUUAUGUCGAAGAACUUUCAAAACCAGAACUUUAAAUUGAACUUACCGGCCAGCAAAUUAACCAGAAUGAGAAGUCAGACCCUGUACAGAAUCGAUGUAACGUAACAUAACAAAAAGAACGAUCACUUGAAAAUAAGGAACCAAAAUGUAGAAACUAAAGAACGCAAACAAAAUGACAGAAAAUCUCGUAGAAAAAGAAAGAACAAAAAGAAAAUAAUAGUGCCAGAGGUUUUUGAAAGGUUUUAGAUAACCAACUGGAAUUAACUACCUUUUAACGAAACUCAAAAAUAAAACAUUCCCUAUUAUUUCCGCUAGGAUUCAAACACAUGACCAAGGAUUAUACAAAAGUUUAACCAUUGAACCACUAGGCUCAUUGUUGACAUCAACUGACUAAAUUUAACUUAUAAGCCAAAUGUUCAAGGGUAAGGGUUUUAGCAAAAUGUCAAAAUUUCCAAAAACGAGAUUCAAACCCAAACCUCACACACAUACCCCGAACACUUGCCCACUGAAUCAGUUUAAUUUACUUGUCAAGAAUUUCCAAAGCCUAAACUCAAAUCGGGGGAUGACCUCUUUUUGUUUCAAAACGCGAUUUCUUCUAAGCCGGUUUUUGGGAUGUUACACGGAAUUAGGAAAAGAAAAAUAACUCAAAAGAUGCAAUCAUUUUGGUCAUUUCUAAUGAGUUCAUACACCUAAUUGUAUAGAAUUAAAGCAUGACAUAUAUGAAUCAUAGAAGAUCAUAAAAUAUGCAAAAAUUGAACAUUUAAAUCAAAUAAAGUCUAAUUGAGCACAUUCAAAAGGAUUCAAAAAUUUGUAUACUAGACAAUAUUGGUCAAGAUAGAUUAACCAUGCAACCAUUAACUCCCCCUAACUAAUUGCAUAUAAGAGCUAUAUAAAUCAUGCCUAUAUAAUUUUGCAUUCAAUUUUAAGUCAUAAAACAUUUUGAAAACAACAAAGUACAAAAAAUCAUUUGAACACAAAAUUAAGGUAAGGUAGUAAUACCUAAUUCUCUCCUAAGUGUCCCAAAUCUUUCUUUAUCUAAUGGCUUAGUAAAAAUGUCAGCUAAUUGGUGCAAAGUGUCAACAAAUUCUAGAACUACAUCUCUUCUUUCGACAUGAUCUCUAAUGAAAUGAUAUUUAACUUUAAUGAGCUUAGUUCUAAAGUGUUUGAUGAGAUUUUUAGUGAGACAAAUAGCACUAGUAUUUGUCACACUUUAUAGGAAUGGUAUCUACAUCAAUUCCAUGGUCCAUAAGUUAUUGUUUCAUCCACAAAACUUGAGGACAAUAACUACCUGCAGAAAUGUAUUUCACUUCGAUGGUAGACAAUGCAACACUAUUUUGUUUCUUUAAAAACCAUAAUACAAGCGUGUUGCAAAGGAAUUGACAAGUACCGGAGGUGUUUUUACUAUCUAGUUUGUAACCUCCAAAAUUCGCAUCCGAGAAAGCAUGCAAGCUAAAAGAUGAGUCUCUAGGAUACCAAAGACCUAAGUUAGGAGUGUCUUUAAGGUAUCUAAAGAUUCGGUUAAGGGUUUGUAAAUGUGUUUCCUUAAUACAUGAUUGAUAUCUAGAACACAACCAAACACUAAACAAAAUAUCAGGUCUAAUUGAGGUAAGAUAAAGCAAAGAGCCAAUCAUAGGCCUAUAACUUUAAAUCUACACAUUUAACUUCUUCAUCUUUGUCAAGCUCUGUAGAAGGGUUCAUGGGUGUAGCUUAUGGUUUGAGAGUGUCCAUCCCAAGUUUAUUGAGCAUUUCCUUUGUAUACUUAGCUUGAGUGAUGAAGAUAUCAUCCUUCCUUUACUUGAUUUGGAGUCCCAAAAAGAAAUUUAGUUCUCCCAUCUUGCUCAUCUCAAAUUCACCUUACAUUAGCUUGGAAAGUUCUUGACAAAGAAGAUCAUUAGUAGCUCUAAAAAUAAUAUCAUUAACAUAUAUUUGAACUACUAACAAAUCAUUGUCCUUUCUUUUGAUAAAAAGUGUUGUGUCAACCUUUUCUUUACAAAAACCUUUUUCAAUAAGAAAAUUUGAUAAUCUUUCAUAUCCAGCUCUAGGAGUUGUUUUAAACCAUAUAAGGUUUUUGAAAGUUUGAAAACAUAAUUUGGAAAUUUUGAAUCUUCAAAAUCGGGUGGUUGUUCAACAUACACUUCUUCAUUUACAAAAUCAUUUAGAAAAUCACUUUUAUCAUCCAUUUCAUACAAUUUAAAAUCAUUAAAGCAUGCAAAGGCUAAAAACAUCCUUAUGGCUUCCAUCCUAGCUAUAGGAGCAUAAGUUUCAUCAUAAUCUAUUCAUUCCUCUUAAGUGUAACCUUGAGCAACAAGUGUAACCUUGGUCCUCACUGUGUUACCACUCUCAUCUAGUUUGUUUUUAAAUGUAACACCCCGAACCUGGCCUACACAUUAUGGCCAAAUCUGGAGAUAUUACGUAAAACGGUCGAAAAUCUAGUUUUUGUAAAUUUCAAAAAGAGUUGUAAAGUUUUAUUACUUAAAAAUCCUGAUUUAAUAGAAAACAUAUCUAACUUUACUUUUUAGUUGAAAACAAUGUUUGCUUACAUUUUCUAAAAUGAAUACUUUGCAGUGGAAAUUCUUAGAUUGUUAUGUUUAGGAAAAACCGAGUUUAUUUUCUAGAAAUCAGUUGUUUUGCAAGAAACAGACAUUUUUUAUAAAACGUUUUCAAUAGUAUCAUGCAAAAAUUGAAAAUAAAAUUCCAAAAACCAAAAUAGUCCAAAUAUUACAAAACGCUUAAAUCCCAAAAUUUAAAUAAAUUCAAAUAAAGCAAAUUUAUUGUAACCAAGCUUUCGUGGCACCGACCCGCCGAAGUCUAAGGAUUACCUGAAAAUACCAGUCAAUAGAAUACGAGUUUUCAAAACUCAGCGUGUAACAAAUAACUUAAAUAACUAAUUUACAUCAAAUAGAUUUAGCAGAAACAAAAACAUAUUAGAGCAGUACAGUUACAGACAUAUAAUCCUACCCCCAUCCACUGCACACCAACUCCGACCAUCCUAACACACCAUAUGGGGUAUGAAACACCCAUCCAGCCCUACCCACCACUUUGUGUCGGUAUGACCCUUUAUAGAAUAUUUGCAGUUGAGCUACCAGAUAAAUAGACUAAUUAUCGCCUUUUACAGAAACACUUCCUCCACAUAGCAAAACCCACCCCAAAUUUAAAUAUAGAACGUAACAGAAAGCAAAUAUAUUUACAGUAUAUAAGCAUAACAUAACAAAUACAACAUUUUUUGGUUUACUGAUAACCUAUUAUGUAUUUUACUUAUCAUAUGACAUUUUAGAUCGAUCUAAAUGACGUGUAUGACCCUAGGGAAAAAUUCAGAAUUUUGGGCCCACACAGCUUGGCACACGGCCUUAAACACGCCUAUGUGGCCCACAUGGGCCAAAUAGCCCAGAUCAUGUGUCACACAAGGUUCAGCACACGACUGUGUGUCACACACGGCUUACCAUGCGGCCUGGCACACGGUCGUGCGGCAUUGACAGUGCAAUUUUUUUCGACUUUCGUCAUACGCUAUUUUUCGGGUUUCUCAUUACACACCUGGAUAAUUUUUGAAAAGAAAUCGACCAGGAGACUCAAGAACCUAAAUUUAGUAAUUAAACAAUUAAAUAAUUCUUAAUAUCGAUACACCAAUUUCCAAAAAAAACUCAUUCAAUCCAAUAGGAAACACUAAAUUUAUCAAGCCUAAAUUAAGUUUCGUAACGUUCAAAAACUUACCCAAACAAAUACAAUAGAUUCCCCGAACUUUUAACUCACCGAGGGGAAAUCAUGCGCUUCACCACUUUCGCCUAAAUCAAUGAUUUUAGAGUGGUCAGAAUUUUAUCGCAAAGAGAAAAUAACAGAAUAACCACACUAUGAAUACCCAAAGGAAAUAAUUCAUGAAUCUUACCCCCACUACCCAGUUCGAUCAAAAACAGAGAUAUCACUAACCUUCAUCCAUAGAAACCGAAGUUUUGAUUAUGCACAAUGGAACACAGUUACUAUCAGUAAAAAGUGUUGAAGCCAAAAUUGCAAAAUGAAGAUUUCAAGAAAAGAAUUCUGGAAGACAAAUUGACUGACGGUAGUGGAAUUGGAAAAAGAAAGAGAAAAUGAAGAACAAACGUGAUAAACGAUAGGAGGAAAAAUAGCAUAACGUGCACAAUAAAUUCUUGAAAAGAAAGAAAACCCCCAAAAAAGAAAAAUAAAUAAAAUAUAGAUAAUACUAAUAAAAUAAAUUAAAAGAAUUUGAUAGACAUCAUGACACAAAAAUAUCAACUAGCCACAUGAUUUCCUAGUAACCAACACUAUCUAAAGUUUGAAAUUAAGCCAAACACCAAUUCAUGGACGGAACACCAAGAAAUUGCAAAAAUUGAUACCAUCCCACUCCCGCAGGGGUUCAAACACACGACUAAAAAACAGACAAAUGCUUAACCACUAAACCAACAAGCUUAUUAUGCCAUAAAUUUACCAAAAAUAAUAAAUAAAUAAAUAAAAUUAGGCUUAAGAACAAAAAUAAUAGAAUUUUCCAUAAAGCAAGAUUCGAAACCAAGUCCCCUAAUACAUAAUCAAGGCACUUAAACACUAAAACAGAUACUGAUUAUGACCAAAUUAACAAAACAUGAAUUUUAAGAUUUUUGGGAUAUUGCACUAAAACUCAUUUAGUACCUAUGGUAGAUUUAUCACAAGGUCUUUCAACUAGGGUCCAUACUUUAUUUCUUUUAAAUUGAUUUAACUCUUCUUGCAUGGCCAAUAUUCAAUAUUCCUCAUCUAAUUUUUUUUUUGAUAUUUUUAGGCACAAUGCAUGAGAUAAAUACAACAUAACUCCAAGUAUUGCUAAGGGAAUAUCUAAUAGCUACCCCUUUAGAUGGAUAUCCCAAAAUCUUACCAUCCUUCACAUAAUUGUACUCUCUUGGAUGAUGGACUUCCCUUUCCUCUAGGGUGAGCUCCUUUAGAGCAUAUUGUGUUUGUUCUUGGAUUCUUUCAUUUGAUAAUUGAUCAAUUUUUCAUCAUUGUUUCAUAUUCCUACACCAACAUCAUCAUCAUCAACAUCAUCACAAGAAUCCUUUCUAGGAAGGAAGUUAGAAUCAUCGAAAACAACAUGUAUGGACUCUUCUAAUACAAAAUUUCUUUUAUUAAAAACUCGAUAAGCUUUAGAAUUUAAGGAAUAACUAAGAAAAAUUCCUUCAUCACUUUUUGCAUCAAUUUUACCAAGAUUGUCUUUUCCAUUAUUUAAAACAAAACACAGUCUUUUCCAUUAUUUAAUACAAAACACUUGCAUCCAAAAGGAUGAAAAUAACUAAUGUUAGGGUUUUUUUAUUUUUGAAAAGUCCAUAUGGAAUUUUCUUCAAAAUAGGUCUAAUCAUUAUUCGAUUAAUAACAUAACAAGCAGUGUUUGUGGCUUCUACCCAAAAAUAUUUUGCCAAAUUAUUUUCACAAAGCAUAGUUCUAGUCAUUUAUUCUAAAGUUCUAUUUUUCCUUUCAACAAUUCUAUUUUGUUAAGGGAUUCUAGGUGCAGAAAAAUUAUGACUAAUACCAUUUGAGUUGCAAAAAUUAUCAAAACCAAGAUUUUUAAAUUCGGUUCCAUGGUCACUUCUAACAAUAUCGAUAGAGUUACCUUUUUCAUUUUGUUAGUUUUUGAAAUAUGAUGAAUUUUUCUAAAAAAACCCAAGUAAAUCUAGAAUAGUCAUCAACAAGUACAAAAGCAUAUUGUUUUCCACCCAAGCUAGUAGUCCUAAUUGGUCAAAAAAGAUUAAUGUGAAUUAAUUGAAGAACUCUACUAGAAGAUACAUCAUUUAUAGGUUUAAAAGAAACUCUCUUGUGUUUGCCUUUAGUACAUGCAUCACAAAAUUUAUAUAAGUUAAAAUCAUGUCUAAAUUUCCUAUGCCACAACAAAGAAGUAUUUUCAUUUUUAAUCAUGAGGCAAAGGUUUAAAUCAUGAAAGUUGUCUAAAUGCACCAUAUAAGUAUUUCCUAUUCUAUAUGACCAACAAAGAAUAAUCUUAUUAGACACAAUGGCAAUGCCUUUGCAUCCAUUAGACUCAAAUAUGACAUUGAGACCUUUAUCACAUAAUUUCCUAACACUUAAAAGAUUAUACUUAAGACCAUUGACAUAUAAAACAUUUUCAACAAAAAUUAAAGAGUUUUUACCAAUAGAGCCAAUUCAUUUAAUGAGUCAUUUGGAGUUGCCACCAAAUGUAACUUAUCCUAUACUUUUUGGCUUAGAUUGAUAAAAUGGCUCUUGUCAUCAGUCAUGUGUCUUGAGCAUCCACUAUCAAGGUACCAUGAGUUUUUUCUUGAGUUUUUCUUUUGUGUCCAUAAGCAUUAGUUUCCAAAAGUUUAGUCCCUUUAGGUAUCCAUUUAGAAAGGAUAUCCUUAUCUUGAGUAGUUAUGAAUCCUUUAGGGACUCAUACACUUCUAACUAAUUUUCCUUUAUAAGUUUUAAAAGAAAAUCUAUGUUUAUAGUACUUAAAACUAUUUUUAACAAAGUUUUGUUUUGAAUUUUCUCCUCUUUCAAACACUUUUUCAAAAAUUUUGUUAGAGUGAGCUUUUUCAUUCUUAAGCAAUUUAAGUUGCUUUUGAUGGUCAUCGUGAACUUCAGAAAGUAAAUUGUGCAAGUCACAAUUCUUUUUCUCAAUCAUUUAUAAUAGCUUGCAUAUAAUUUAUUUUACUCCCAAGUUCAUGCUUGACUUUAGAGAGUGAAUUAUUUUCAUCUUUUAGUUUUGAAAUAGCUUUUCUAUAUUUUAAAAUCAUUAAUUCAAACUCCAAGCCUAUUUCAUCAUAGGCAUCUUGCAACUCAUCAAAAGAAUAAGAAGUUGAAAUAGAUGAGUUAGAAGUUAUCUUAGACUCUUUUAUGGCCAUAAGAAAAAAGUAGGCUUCUUCUUGUUUAUCAUGAGUGACCUCAAGCUUGUCCCAUAUCUUCUUGGCAUUAGAACAAGAUGACACCCUGUUGAACUCAUUCGGACCAAGUGUACAAAAUAGAAUGUGCAUGGCUUUAGCAUUAAGCUGUACAUUCUUUUUAUCUUCUUCAUUCCAUUUUCUCUUACUCUUUGACACUAACUACUCUUCUCAUUUUUGAGAAAUGGAUGGAUCAUCCAUGAUGAUAUCCCAAACCGCAAGAGCAUUUGCUUGAAUGAAGAGCAUCAUUCUUGUCUUCCAAUAAGAGUAAUUUACUCCAUUGAAGUAUGGAGGCUUUGAGAUGGACUAAAAUUCUUCAUAAAAAUUUGAACCGAAAAUGGACGUUAUUUUUGUAAAAUAUAUUAAUGAUCAUUUGAGCUUCUUCGAGAAUCUUUUGUUGCAUGUUAAAUUGUCUUUAAAGAUUAGCUCUAACACCAAUUGUUAGCUCAAUUAAUCACCAAAAAUAGCCAAGAGGUGGGUGAAUUGACCUUUUAAAAAUUUGGGGAAACAAAGAGAAUAAAUAGAGACGAUAAACAUGGCGAUAUAUAGUGGUUUAAUCUUAGUUUUCCAUAACUAAGGAUUUUUCGAAAUUCACUAAUUUGACAACCUUUAAGGAUAAGGUUUAAUCUUAAAACUUCUUUAAUGUUUUAUCCAAAUCUUAAAAUUGCAACUCUUUUAAGGUUUCUACCUAAACCUUAAAACUCAACCCUCUUAAAGAGAAUAAAAAAUAAGCAAACUAAGAAAUAAUCCUCACAUGAUUAGGAUGUUUGUCAAUUAAGCACAAAUACAAAGAAUAACACUUGAGCUGAAUGAAUACAAUGAAAGCUCACAAGUGUUUACAAGAAGAAGAUAAAGAAUUGAAGUAAAAACUGAUUGGUAAUGGAUUUUUUAUGUAUCUUGAAACACUUGAUCUAUUGUAAUAUCAACUGUUGUUGUAGAACCUUCGUAAGUUGGUAUUUAUACCCUCUAAUUGAUUUUCAACUGUUGUGGUUGUUGAGAAAUUGAAUAAAGUCAUUGGGUAUGAAAAUAUCAGUUCAUUUAAUUCACUUGCAACCACGAGUAUCGAUACUUGCUAACCAAGUAUCGAUAUCUUUAGCAUUUAAUGCAAAAUUCAGUGACCAUUGGAGCUAGAAAUAUUGAUACCAGUAAAAUUUCAUCUAUAACACAUGAAAAGUAUCGAUAUUGGAUCGAUACUUGGCUAAAAUGUUUAAGAAUCAGAAUGUCAAUUUGGUAUCGAUUUUUGGAGAGGUAUCGAUAUUUAGAUACUUUUCGGCCUGGAGGAAUAUGGACUUGUUUUAUAACAAUUUUAACUUUGAUUGAAAAUGUUUAACUUGAUUAAAAGAUUAUUCAAAAAGUUUUCUAAGAUUUCAAAAUAGUAGGUCCAAAAUUAUUUCUCUUAGACUUCAUUUGAAAUCUAAUUUUGCCAAUUUUGUUCAACUUUAACUUUUAUUCAAAAACAUUUUAAUUUGUUAUAUCAAAAUAAAUUUCCAAAUAAAGCUUGGUUUAACAAAGAGCGAGUGGAAAUAUUAUCAUCAAACAAUCAUAUGUGAAGCUAAAAUUUCUUUGAUAUAAAAUCCUCAAAAUCUUAAUAAAAAUAUCAUUUUCUUUGAAACACUUAUAGCAACUCUUUUAAACCCAAAAUCAAUAGAUCAUAACAUGAAUUAACUAAAUGAAAAAGUAACAUCAUUUUAUAUACAUAAUUUUCAAUUAUGUUGGAAGUGGAUUAUUAUUUUAAAUUUGUGUUAGAUUUAACUAUAAAAAUUUCAUAUUUUAUUAAGUAAGAAAAGUUUGAACAUGUAUUAGAGUUAGUAGUGUUAAUUGAAAGUAGAAUUUUUUUUAAAGAUAAUAUCAUUAAUUGUAAUAUCAUUAUAAAGAAAGGGAUAUCCUAGACAUAUUGGAAACUUGAAUAUUACAACCAAAGACACAGUAUGCACACUUGACAUAAAGUUCAAGCCAUACCAGAUAAAGCAAAGUACACUUGUAAUAGGCCUCCAUCACCUGAGGAAGAGCAAAGUAAGACUCAAACCUCUCCUCAGAUGAAUCUAAUAUGUUAGGACAAAGGCUGCCAAUAAACAAAGUGAACACAUCACUUUAAAUUGUUAAACCCUUUUCCAGAUCCUUAUUCCGGUGGUGAUAGGCAUAACAUAACGAACCUGAAAAUAACAUAUAUAUUAAAAAAUACUCAGCAAAAACUUAAAGCUAAAACAGAAAUUAAACUAAUGAAAAUAGAAAUCUUGAUUCAUUUCUUUACUGUGUAAAACUACAAAUAUUUAUAAGUGUUGUAUGAGUUAACUGCUGCUAACAACCUAACUAACUGUGUAACAUACUAACAGCCAAGCUACAGCCUUCCUUAUACUCCUAAAAUUCUUCCAACUUCUUCAUAAGUAAAACUUGAAGACAAUUGCGAAAACGUGUAAAAGGUGAAGUAGAUAGAGGUCUAGUGAGAAUGUCAGCCACCUGAUCACAAGCCGAAACUUCACCAACAACAAGCAACCCAUUCGCAACUUUCUCACAAAUAAAAAAUAAAUCGAGCUCUACAUGUUUGAACUUAGAGUGAAGAACAGGAUUGGCCGCAAUAGCAACUGCACUUGAAUUGUCACAUCAAAUAACAGGUAGAUCAGCAGAACUCAAUUGUAGCUCUUGUAAUAAUGAGACUAACCAAGUAACAUCACUGGUAGUUGCAGCCAAGCUUCAGUAUUCAGCCUCAGCUGUGGAUCGAGAUACUACUUGUUGCUUCCUUAAUGACCAUGAGACUGAUGUAUGCCCAAAAUACACACAAUAGCCUGUUGUUGACUGACGAUCGUUAAAAUCUAACCACCAGUUGGCAUCGGCAUACCCUACUAAGGACAACCUUUCAGAAGGACCAAAAACUAUCCCAAAAUUAAUAGUGCCAUGUAAAUAACGUAAAAUUCGUUUUAACGCAACUACAUACACGGUAGUUAGUGCAUGCAUGAAUUGACAAACUCGAUUCUCAGAAUAGGCAAUAUCAGGUCGAGUUAAAACUAUAUAUUGUAAAGCACCAGCAUUCAGUGGGAUCACUUAGACGAUCUCCUUCUUCCUUUGACAAUACUGAAGAACUGACCAUAUGUGUGGGAACACUUUUUGCAUUAACUAAGCCACUUUUGUCAAAAAUCUCUCAAAUGUACUUGUGCUGACAUAAAUGAGGACAUCCAAUGGAAGACCAGAAAACUUGUGCUGAGUAUUUUCUUGCACAGUGAUACUUUCAAAAAGACUUUAUCUUCGAUCUGAAACUCUAUAUCCUUUCUUUUCAAGUCUGUAUAUGAUUUCUAACGAUCCGAUGUUGUUUUCAGACUAUCACAAAUCACUUUCACUUUCUGUUCAGUCUCUUUAAUCAAAUCGACCUCGUGUAUCUUAUUUUCACUGAGCUCGGUCCAAUACAAUGUUGUACGACAUUUACGAUCGUACAAAGCCUCGUAAGAUGCCAUUUUGAUACUAGAUUGAAAGCUAUUAUUAUAUGCAAAUUCAAUCAAAGGUAAGUAUCGAUCCUACAUACCUUCAAUCUCAAGAACGCAACAUCUCAACAUAUCCUCAAGUAUCUGAAAGAUUCGUUCGGAUUGACCAUCUGUUUGCGGAUGGAAGGCUGUGCUAAAGUGUAGUUUCAUACCUAAAGCAUCUUGCAGUUUCUUCCAAAACCGCGAUGUGAACCUCGGGUCUCUAUCCGAAACAAUAGAAAUAGGCACUCCAUGCAACCUCACAAUCUGAGAAACAUAUAAUUCAGCCAGCUUAUCAAGCGAAUAAUCUGUACGAACCAGAAUAAAGUGUGCUGAUUUAGUCAAUCUAUCCACAAUAACCCAUAUUGCAUCUUUCUUACUCAGUGUCAAUGGUAAACCAGAUACAAAAUCCAUUGUAACUCUAUCCCACUUCCACUUGGGUAUCAUAAUCGGCUGAAGUAACCCAGAAGGUACCUGACGCUCAGCUUUCACUUGUUGACAAACUAAACAUUUUGAAAUAAAGUCAGAAAUAUCUCGUUUCAUACCAUGCCACCAAUGAAGUUGUUUCAGAUCAUUAUACAUUUUUGUACUACCCGGGUGAACAGAUAAUCGACUGUUAUAAGCUUCAUUCAAAAUCAUCUGAAUCAACUUUGAAUUCCUUAGAACACAUAUUCAGUUUCUGAACCUCAAACAAUCAUUGGUAUCAACUCGAAACUCUGUUACACCACUCGAUUCACAUUGAGCUCGCUUUGCUAACAAAUCAUUAUCAACUUUCUGAGCAUUACAAAUUUGUUGAACAAAUAACGAUCUAGCUUUAAAUUCAGCUAUUAUCAAACCAUCAUUGGACAUAGUCAUAUGCGCAUUCAUUGCUUGCAAAGUAAACAACGAUUUUUGACUUAAAGCAUCAGCAACAACAUUAGCCUUUCCCAGAUAAUAGUCACUUACAAGCUCGUAAUCUUUUAACAACUCUAAGCAUCGACGUUGUCUUAAAUUCAGAUCUUUUUGAGUCAUCAAAUAUGUCACAUAACUCUUUUCAUACAACUUUAACUAUAUGGAAUCAUAAGAUAUCUCUGUAAAGUCUUUUUUUAAAACACACUUCAAACCGUUCAUUGACACAUGACUGAGAAUCGUAAACUUUUUAUUCAACUUAGGCUGAACGAGUACUGAUGUUUCGGUUGACAAUAUCUCUGUGCAAAAAGGAAAACUUCAACAAUCGAACUAACUUUAAUUUACUACAACAUUUCCCAGAUAGAAUCGUUCCGAUAGAUAUAAUUUUGUAUCAAAUCUUCAAGAAUACAAAUUCUUUUUCCAAACUAUCCCUCAAUUCACAUAUGUACGUUUAAAGUUUAUUUCUAGUCUGGUGGAUAGAUUCAAACACAUAUAACCCAAUUAUCUUUUCAAUCAAAUAAUUCAAGUCAGACUAAACCGCUGAAUCAGACUUUUCGAAGAAAUCUUUUCUUCUCGUUAAAAGGAUAGCCCCAAAUAUAUCAUUUUCCAGAUUUGAUCUUGAUCUUCUAUCAUUUUCACUUUUGCUGAUGUCAAACCUUUUACGAGAACUAGAAAAGAGUUUAUAAUAAAGCUGUCUCAUAUAUUAAUCAUCAAAGUUUUGAAUUAUACUGAAGUCACCUUUAUCAAAUAGAAAUCAUUGGGCCUUAAUGAGAACGAUGUCUCAACCCUAUAAAUAGAGAUUAUCCCAGCUGUUAAUAAAGCAUUUGAACACAGAAGAAAAUUAGAUAUGGUUUAAACAGCAACCAAUGCAAAAACACAACUUCUAUAACUCUGAUAACGGUACUGCAGUACUCCCAUAUUUCAAAACAGAAAUUAUAAUAGAUAUAACCAUUUCCAUCAAAUGGAUAUCUCUUACAGAUAAUCACAUAGAAUCAUAAGAAAACCAGGAUAGCGGGAUUUCAACAUAUGAAGCUACACAUGAUAUCUGGAAAUUACAGCCCAUAUAAAAUGAUAACAAUUCUGAUGAUAUCCCAAAAAAUUUCCAAAAAAAAAACAGUGUCACUCAUAAAUAUUGAGAUCCACAGUAACAGAAGUAAUAUAAUCUUCAUGUAUAUUCAAAAGAACAUUAACCAGUAGAAACAGAAUAUUAGCCUCAUACAGAUUUUACCGUCGACUUUCAUAUCCACACAAUGGAAUAAAUACCAGAGAAAGACAGAGCAAUGUCGAACAUAACCCAAACAGACCUACGAUGCUUUCGUCUAUUAGUAUGUUUAACUAAUAUUCUUAUACGAUAAGAAUUCCUUCUGAACUUAAACAGUCACAUAUACUUUUGGGGAUAAUUGUACACAUAAAAUGCUCAGAAGAAAUCAUAGUAACUGUCCGACUAUAACCACUGCACUCAACCAUCAAUACAAUUCAAACAUUAUUCAACUGUCUAAUCCUGUCAUCAUUAAGUCUAUAUUAUCCCAUCAAUAACAAAAAUCAAUUUCAAAGAACUUUCAGUUAAUACCUUUCUAUAUAUAUAUCAAACCUGAAUAGUUUUAUUUCAUCAAAUUCCACUUUUUCGUUAAAAGCGACUUUGCAUAAUACGAAUGGCCAUUAAAACGAUUCAAUAUCUCUUAUAGCACUGUCUCAAUUUGCUGACCCAUUCUCUUAUCUGACCACAUUAGUAAUCUUUCAAACACAAACCUCUGUAACUCCACACUUGUGAGCUUAUUCGAUCCAAAUCUUACAGAUUUCAUUGUAAUAUUUUACUGAUAAGGGGUGAGGGUAGUAAAGCCUCAAAUUUAACUCGGACAUAAAUGCACAUAACACAUACUAUUACAAAUAGCCAAUUUAUUAACAAUUUCACAUUCUCCAAACAUUUACUAAACAUUUGCUUAUAUUCACUUUUGUUCUUAACACAUUAUUCAUAUACCAACUCAAAUCACUAACUCACAAUCAAAGCAUUUCAGAUAGCAAUCGUAACUCAAAUAUCAUAUCUCAUAUGCUCAUAUAAGUACAACAUUUAUCAAUAACAACAUGUCAUACAAUUUGGUCCUUACCUUUAUGAGUUUCUACUCAUAAUCAACAUAUUUUCACUCAAACAUUUGAGUAUUUACUUUUGUACUAUCAGAAUUAGCUUGGUUGGAAAAACACAUAUGUCUCACCAAAACAAUUUUCGUCAGAGUCGGGAGAUAUCACACUAUCACAGGUUAUAUAUGGCAUAUAUAGCUAGACUCACAUUAGCUAUGUUAGUCCUAGAACCGACUAAACCAUAACUCUGAUACCAAUAAAAUGUAACACCCCUUAACCCGUGUCCAUCGCCAGACUAGGGUUACAAGGUAUUACCAAACAAAACACAGUUCAGAACAGACAUUCUUUACACUUCAUAGGCCCAAUAAUGUAUUCUCCCUUAUAAAAUUUUCUGAAAUAAAUUAAUAAACCAACCUCUUAUUCAUACAAGUCAAAAUCAUUUAUUCGAAUCACAUAUCUAACCACACAGAUCAUGCUUUAUCAAACAUUCUCUUAUACGAACUAUAUUUCAAUAUCUAACCAUUUCAAUUACGUUUGUUAAUUCAAAACUUUCAAGCCAAGCCAUCAAAUAUCAAAACCAAUUUGUAUAUGUUUCAAAAUUACAAAAAAAAUUCAAGCCAUAUCAUUAACUAAAUAACAAACGUAAUAUUUAAUAAACAUUAUACAUACACCUGUUAAACUAAUUUAGCCAUAUCUCACAAUUUAAUAACCAUUUACACAUAAAACGUUAGGUAACUUUAUACAUGACCAACUAAUUUUUUUUUUAACAUCAUCCAACCAUGUGCAUAACACCCUAAAACCAAAAGUCAUUUCUAAACUCAAUUACCAAAUCAUAGCAUUUUAAACAUUAUAACCUUAUGUACAUUUUACUAAAUCAAAUUUAACCAAUAAAUCAUAACAUCUCUAUCACCCAGUCUAUAAGAUAAACAUAUUAUCUCAUAUCUUAACAUCAAAACAAUAUGUCAUUUAUAGAUAUUCAAAUGACCCCUUUUUCCAAACCAUAUUAUACCACUUUUCAUGCUACCAAAGUGAGUUAAUUAAUAAGCCGAAUAUAUACCCUACUUACCACUUCUCAUUGCCAAAUCAUAUAACCAACAUCACAACAUAUUUACCAUAAAUCAUACCUCUCAAUUAAGCUUAUAACAUGACCAAAAAUAAUUACCAACAUUUGCAUCAUGAACAAGCCAUUUUCGCAUGGCUAUAUACAUAUACAAAUUUCAAAAAUCAAAUAUAUCAAAACUAGCCUAUACAUGCCACAUAACCAAAUCUCAAAGCGUUUAUUUACCGAAAUGAAUACGGGAUAGUGUGAUGAGAUCUCCUAAGACUUCCAACCAGAGCAAGUCUCCGAAACUCUAUAACAUAGGAAAAACACACAGAGUAAGCUUUGAAAGCUUAGUAAGCCAUAAGCAAAUACAUCAUUCCAAUAAUGUUUAUAAUUCAAUUUAACUAAGCUGAAUUUAACAAAUCUCAACCACAUAUACAUUCAUCAUAAUCGUAAUUUCUUAAGACCACAUUAGGUAACUUCACUAGACUUAAUUAUGGAUGGAUAUAUAAACCGUGUUUUCAAAUUUAUAUAUCUACCAUUAGCUCAUUCGUAGGAUUAAGCUUCCACAAUUUCAUUAUAUACCAACCGAAUCAUGGUUAUUUAUUACAGUUUAUUCGUAAAAAUAUAUCAAUUUCUUUUUAUACACUUCGAAGCCCGAUUAACCAUAACAAUUCACACAUCAAAACCAUGUUCCGUAUUUCAUAAUUCUCAUGUUCGAAACAUAGAACCAUUAUUUCAUAUAACAAGCAUAUAUAACACAUCAUUUAUUAUCAUAUAUUUCAUAUAUAUCAUCAUUUUAAUCAUACUCACAUUUCAUAUUAAAAUUUCAUAUACAAAUCAUUUUUACCUAAAUCAUAUAUGGCAAAAACACAAUUACAAUUCUACAUUUCUUAUAUGAUUAAUUUGUUCAUAGUUCACUUGCUAAUAUUCACAUCUCAUUUUCACAUAAAUUAUAUAACAAAUAAUCAUAAUCAUACUCACUUUCAUUGCUCAAAUUCAUAUUCAUCACAAACAUACCUGAUUCGGAUGCACAUUCAUAUACUCAUUUAUUUCUCGGAAUGCCCGUUGAACCGUUUGGAAUCAUAUAGGAUACUUGGAUAGCUAAAAAAAAACUCGUACAAUGCCAACGUCCCAGACGUGGUCUUACAUGUAAUCAAUAUCGAUGCCACUGUCCCAGACAGGGUCUUACAUGAAAUCAAAUAUGAUGCCGAUGUCCCAGACAUGGUCUUAUACAUAAAUCUCAAAUCGAUGCCAACGUCCCAGACAUGGUCUUACACGAUAACACUUAUCGGAAUCCUAUGUCAUGACAUAUGUAUCCUAACUAUUCCUAUGGUUCUUACGGGGCUUUUCGGACGUCAUAAUUCUAUCGAUUCAAGCUCGUAACUAGUUCUCCAACUCUAAAUUCAAUUCGGCAUAUACACAUAUAUUUAUUAAAGAUCAAUUCAGCACAUAUAACAUAUAUACAUUCAAAUUUAACAACAUUUAUUUACUUAUAAACUUACCUCGUAUGGACGCGAACGGAUCAGAACAACUAAUCGAUAACUUCCGAUUUUUCCCGAUCCAAACCUGAUUUCCAUUUUUUUCCAAUCUAAUUAAUAUCAAAAUUAACUUAAUUAUUCAACAUUUCAUUCAAUUUUCAUUCAAGAUCAUAUAAAUGGAAAUUUUCAUUUUAGCCCCUAACAUUUCACAUUUUUCUCAAUUUAGUCCUUGUUUCAAAAUAACAUAAAAUACACAAAAUUUCACUAAAUCCUUGUUAGGCCGAAUUCUACCCAUACUACUAGCAGCCCAUAUUUUUAGUUUAUUCACACAUUUAACCUUGAAUUUUACACUUUUCUCAAUUUAAUCCUUAAUACACAUUUUUAUCAAAAAUCACUUAAUUAAACAUAAUCAUCUAUCAACAAAAGUUUAUAUUUCAUCAUCAAACCACAAAAACAUCAAGCUAACAUCAAUGGCAAAUUUCAAAAUCAUCACCAAUUUACAAAAUUGAAGCAUGGGCUUUAAAGAACACAAAGCAACGAUUUCAAAAACGUAAAAAUUAUCAAAAACCGAAUAAAAACUAACCUUGAAUCAAGCUUUAAAAAUGGCCGAACCUAGCUUAGGUUUCUUUCUCUUUUUUUUUCUUUAGUUUCGGUCAAAAUAAGAUGAGGAUAUGGCUUUUAAAUUUGUUUGUCUUUUAUAAUAAUAACUUUAUAAUAUAAUAUAUUAUUAUAACCUUUAUAAAUAAUAUAAAAAACUAUAUAUUAUAAAUAUAAUGCCAUCCACUAUCUUAAUUAAUGGCCUAAUUUCCUAUUAAGGACUUCACAUUAUAAAGACAUUAGCAAGUUAGCACUUUACACAUUAAGUAGUCAAUUUCACAUUUUACGCGAUUAAGCCCUUUUUCUCAAAUUAAGCACACAAACAAUAAAAUUAAUUCACGAAACUUUCACACAUGUUAAUUCAUGCAUAAUAAACACAAAAAAUAAUAUUAAAAUAUAUUUUUUAUUUUUUUUUGGACUCGGAUUUGUGGUCCCGAAACCAUUGUUCCGAUUAGGGUAAAAAAAAAUCGGGCUGUUACAUCGAGUGCACAUAUCAAUAAACGAUACAUAAUACCAGUGAAUACCAGAAGCAACAGAUGAAGGUCCCCAUAAAUUAAAGACAACCAAAACAAACGGUUCAUUAUAUUCAGUAGUAGAAGGAGAAAAAGGCAAUUUAUGAAAUUUCCCUUUCUAGCAGGCGAUACACACAUUUGUAAGGCUAGAAUUUUUUAAUACAAUCUGACUUUUUUCUAAAACAGGCUUAACCACAAGAGCAGAGGGAUGACCAAAUCUUUGGUGCCAUAACGUAAAAGUAUUACAGUUGUUAGAAGGAGACAGAGGUGUAGUAUUUGAGACAGGAGAAGCCAUUGCAGCAUGAACAGAAGCAGUCGGUGAGAACUGAUAGAGACCACCAAAAAUGUGGCCCAGUAGUAAAAUUUCCUAAGUCUUGAUGUCCUUAACACAGUAAGACGGAUGAAAUUUAAAAAAUACGUUAUUUUCAGUAGCAAAUUAAGAAAUAGAUAGAAGAUUCUUUUGUAUAGUGGGCACACAAAGAACAUUAGACAAGUGAAGUAAAUUAUUCUUCGUAAUCAAAACAGAAUGACCAACACUUAAAAUCUUUGUGGGAGUCCCAUCACCCAUAAAGAGAGGAGAUAUACUUGAAUACGGAGUGGAUUCAUUCAAAGCAGAUGCCUCUCGACAAACAUGAUGGGUAGCCCCUGAGUCUAGAUACCAGGAUGUCAUCGCUACAGGAAUAGGAAUAUAGGAAUCACCAUUAGAAUUAGACCCAAAAUUAGUUGCAUUAACAUUGGAGCUAUUGGAAUUAGAAACAUCAGAUGAGUUAAAAUCGAGAAUACGAGGCAACUAGACUCUUGGUGGCACUGAAGUAGGAAAAACAUGAGCAUGUGGUUUUGUCCUCCAUGGAACUUGAGACUCAUUGUCCUCCAUGGAACUUGAGACUCAUCAUUACCAAAAUAUCGAAAACCCGAAUUAUGUCCAACAGUCCCAGCAAACUGAACACAAUUCGAAAUUGGUCGAUGGGAACCAACACUAUUAAAAUGGCCUCCAGAACCAUGACCCGUAGAAGUUGAACCAAAUUGAUGACCUAGCAAAUUUAAUUCUGCCAAAGAACACAGCCCACCAGGUGUUGAAGGAUUAACAUAAUUAUAAGGCCCAACUAACGGCCUAGAAAGUCCAGUACUAGGACCUGCCAAAUGUCCAGCACAAAAGCCUGCUCCAAGGCCUGCCACAUGUCCAGCACCAAGGCCUGCUAAUGUCCAGCACCAAGGCCUGCUCCAACGCCUGCCGAAUGUCCAAAUAUCCUGGCAUCAGAUGACCCAACAGAUGGCCCAAAGGCAACACCAGUCCUAUCACCAAAAUCAUCAAAAUAUUGAUAAACCCUAGUCUGUGAAUAAGGCACCACAAUAGAGAGAGCCACCCCACCACGGAUUCGACUGUGGCACCAUCGUAGAUGAACCAUCACCAGAACCUGUCAUCGAACCAAGCAUAGCAGCAUACUGUUCACCAGAACCGUUCAUUACCGACGCACCCGAAACACGAUUGACAGAUGAAUCUCUCACCCCCAACGCUGGACCACCAUCAUCGCGAUUGAAACGGUAGUAACACCGUUGAGCCAAGUGUCUAAAUCGGCCACAGAUUUAGCACUAAACGCAUGACCGAAAGCCUCUUCCAUGACUAACAGGUGGUUGUCUGCCGCGCCCAGAACCAACCACCACUAGUGCCCCCAUCAAAUGUGCAUGCAUCGGUGUCUCUUGAACCGCAUGAACAUGCCUACCUUCAAACUCCAAUAGGACAUCAAUCAAACGCUGCAACGGUAGAGGCUCGAAAGAAAAUGACGCAAGGGUGAGAACAGCGUCAAACUCCGACGGCAGUCCGGCUAGUAUGAUUUUAACCUUUUCUGUUUCAAAGAUCCGAGAAUCGACCGCAUCUAUUAAAGCGCAAACUUUCUGAAUCUUUGCAACGUACUCCUUAAUCGACAUCGUACCCUUCUUGAUCAAAUGAAGUUCAUGACGGAUGCAAGAGAGCUUCGCACCAGAGACAGCAGCAAAAAGUCGCGUAGCGGUGCUCUAUACAUCAUUCGAUGUUUUUGCAUCUGCAAAACUAGAUAAAACAGAGGAAGUAAUAGUAGAAAGAAGCCAAGAGGUAAGCAACUUAUCCUGUUGAACAUAAGCCAAAGAAUCCGGAUUUGCCACCAAAGAACCAUCCGACGACUGCACGAACCUCGAUGGAGCAGAAAUUGUGGCGUCGAGAAAGCCAGUUAGAUUAUAACCAUCUGUGAUUAACCGAAUGUGCUGUUACCAUUGCACAAAACUGUUAUCAUCAAGCUUCACAGUUUCGUGUCGAGGAAACGACUGAACCAACCGAGUGUUGGUGAAUAUCAAGUAGCAGGAAGGUGCAGUGGUGGAAUCUGUGGAAGCAUUAGUAGCCAUCAGAGUACUAUAGAAUAGGUCUCCAAGGAUUAGGCAACUGAUACCAUGACAAAUACACAGCAAAAACUUAAAGGUAAAACAGAAAUUAAACUGAUGAAAAUGGAAAUCUUGAUUCAUUUCUUUACUGUGUAAAACUACAAAUAUUUAUAAGUGUUGUAUGAGUUAACUGCUGCUAACAACCUCACUAACUAUGUAAUAGAGUAACAACCAAGCUAUAGCCUUCCUUAUACUCCUAACAUAUAUAAUUUUUAAAAAGCAAAAACAAUCAAAUCAAGCCAUAAAGAGUUUGAGAAACCGAAACACAUAAAACUCGAAAAACACGAGCCUCUAAGGCUUGAAAAAUUGCAACUAAUUACCAUUGAGUUGAAUAGCGAAAUUAUAAAAAGGAAAGACUUGGUAAAGUCAUGGGGAUAUUGGUGCUGAGAUUAAGUCUAUCGCACGUUCCUUUACGAUUAGUCUACUUAUCAAACAAAGCCACCCUAUAUGCCUAUGAAUCUUACUAAAUGAGUGGUGGUGGAAGUGUAAACUGAAGCAUGGAUCUGUCGGAUUAGUAGUCACCCUCUUGGCUGUGGUCCUGGUCUUGGCCUUGGCCUUGGCUUUGGGCCACCACAAGUAGAUGUUGCUUCCUCUCUCAUUCUUUAAAAUUCAAUCCACAUCCAAAGCAUCGGAAAUGACGUGAUCAAAGGGUGAAUGAACAUCACUUUUUAAGUGUAUUAGCAUUCUGUUCACAUUCAAAAAAUAUAUAUAUAUAUAUAUAUUUUAACUUCAUAUUUAGCGUUAUAUUAGACUUUUAAUAAAAAGAGGUAUAUGACUUUUUGUUAAUUUUUCUUGUGGAAUUAAAACAACUUUAUAAUAAAGUGAAUAAAAUAAUAAUUAUAAGAUACAUUGCCAAUGAAGAUGUAAAUUUGCAUAAGUUGAAAAAUUAUCUAUCAUUUUAUUAAAUUUUACUUGAAAUAGUGAUUACAAUUUUUAUUCGGUAUUUAAAUGAUACGGGCUGAAACAAUAUUUUUUAUUUUCCUUUUCUCAAUAUUUUAAUAAUAAAAAACUCUAAAUUCUUAAAUUGGAGAAAAAUAUAGUAAUAAUAUCAAAUAAACUUAAGGCCGAAUCAGUCAGGGGUAGAAUUUUUUAACCCCUCUUCCACUAAACAUAAUAAUAUUGUUUAUAUAAAUAUCGUUGAUUUUAUCAACCAUGUCGUCCUUGUCCUUGAGCCACAAAUUUAGCUGCUUGCUUUUGAUUCUUCAAAGUCUUCGCAUCGAAAGGGAAAAAAACUCGUUGGUCCUCCCCUCAUUUAUUCAUUUAUUUAAAAAAAAAAAGUCUAAUAGUUGCAGUUUUUAUAUUUAGCAGUGAUUAAUUUAAAUGGUAAUGUACUCAAAAUGAAUAAUUUUUACUCAUUAAAAAGAGGGAAAAAAAGGGUUAGAAUAUUGUAUGAAACCAUGUCAUCGUAUCAGCAUAUUUCAUUUAAUUAUUACAUUGUGUUAUAAAUAGUUGAUUAUUUCUAAAAAUAUUAAAUGAAAUUUAUAUAUGUUAAAUAAGAAAAAAUCGUUGUCCUUAAGUUUCAGAGAAUACAAAGGAAUCUUUAUCUUUAGUAGUUGACCUCGAGUGAAGACUAAUAAAUCCACUUGACAAACAGCUGUAAGGACACGAACCUGUGGAAUGGGGAUUCACUUGGGUUUUAAAUCAUUCAGUUUAACCAAUGGAAUGGAAGAAGGUGAUCUUGGACUUGGCUUUUAAAUUAUUAACUUGUAGAAAGGGGGUUGGCGUCGUGGACUUGGUCUUAUAGCAAGUCAAUCAUCGUACAGAGAGGAUUGCCUUGUUAAUCAGUAUAAAGAAGGCUUAGAUGAUCACCAAAAGUUGAGAAAUCAACUAAACCAAAUUUAUUAAAUAGAGUGACUGAGGGAGUGUGGAAAUAUUGUGUGCCAAGUGCCAAUCCUCAUAUGGCAACGCUGGCUCUGGUUAGAAUUUUACAAUUGAUACUUUUCAGCUGUUUGCUUGCAGCAGGAGAGUCGGUGGCUUCUCAAGCCUGGCCAGGUUGCAAAGAUGAGUGUGGAAACAUGAGCAUUCCAUAUCCUUUCGGCAUGACUCCAGAGUGUUACUUGAACAAGCGCUUUCUAAUCACUUGCAACACGUCUGUCAGCCCCCCUCGACCACAUUUGAUGCAUGGUAACUUAGAAGUCACUAGCAUAACACUUGAAGGUCAGGUGGAAAUCUUGCAUCAUGUAGCUAAGGAUUGUUACAACCCCAACGGAACAACUGCGGGCCGAAAUUUCCCUGGGCUUUGGGCGGCCAUGUUUACCAUCUCAAAUAGAAACAAGUUCAUUGCUGUUGGUUGCGACACAAAGGCGCAAAUUUGGGCUAAACGUGAGCAUAACAAUAGAACAUAUUUUACCGACUGCAUGGCAUAUUGCGAGAACGCGGACGAUCUCCACCUUAAUGGUUCUUGCUCAGGUGUAGGAUGUUGCCAAGUCUCCAUUCCUAGAGGACUUAAGAAUCUUAGCAUGUCAGUAAGAAGCUACUACAACCAUACAUAUGUAUGGGGCUUCAAUCCUUGUAGCUACGCCUUUGUUGUAGACGAGAGCAAGUUCAGUUUCAGCGAUAAAAGUUUUGCUGAGUUAGCGAAUAAAACAUUUCUUCCCAUGGCGCUUGAUUGGGCGAUUGGAAAUGAACCUUGCAAUGUAUCUGAGCAUAAACCUGAUUAUGCUUGUAAACAAAAUAGCAUCUGCUACAACCCUGAAAACAGGUCCGGUUAUCUCUGCAAGUGCAAGGAUGGAUACAAUGGAAACCCAUAUCAUCCUGAUGAAGUUGGUUCAGCAUGCAGCAAACUCGACAGCAUGCAGGCCAUCAAGACCAAGUCAUGCAGGAGCUGCUGGAACGAGCUGAACUAUUCCUAUUUUGUUCAACUUGUAAUCUUAAGUUAAUGUAAUGUACUUUAGUUCAUUUAGAACUAUGUUAGGUUUAUGAUUGAUGUAUUUUGAUGACAAUUAAGCUGUUAAGUCAGCUUUGUUUAAGUGUGCAAGCUUAGUUUUUCAAGUUUCAAUGUAUUAGUGGUAGUAGGUGAUGAUUAGGUAUCAUUAUGCAGAUUUUGACAAGCAAAUUGCUUGGUUUAUGUAUUGGCAUUAUGCCAUUGUUCAACUAAUGAAUAGAAUCAGUUUUUGUUCAUCAAUUUUCCUCUCCAUUUUCUUAGCUUUUUCUUUCUUUCUUCUGGCUUGAAUUUCUCUUGUUUGCUCAGCAAGUCUCGAGACUUGGUUGACAAGAUAUUGCUGAGGCUGCUUGAUUCUGUUAUUGCACCAACAAUUGGUAUCUAGAGCCUAUUUCUUAAGGGAUCUGUUACUCAAUUCUAUGGCUUCAUCAAGCUUUUCACCAGCUGCACCUCAAGUCUUCAAUGGAGAAGGCUAUCACAUAUGGGUGGUCAAAAUGAAGACCUACCUGCAGGCUUUCGAUCUGUGGGAGGUGGUCAACUUUGAUGUUGAACCAGAGCCACUUAGAGCUAAUCCAACAGUGGCUCAGAUCAGGCAGCAUGCUGAUGAAAGGACCAAGAGGCACAAAGCUAUGUCUUGCAUCCAAAACUCAGUGUCUGAUGUGAUUUUCACAAGGAUUAUGGCCUGUGAAUCACCAAAACAGGCCUGGGAUAAGUUGCAGGAAGAGUUUCAAGGGACAGAGAGGACAAGGCAGCAACAGUUGUUAAACUUGAGGAGAGAUUUCGAGAAUUUGAAGAUGAAGGAAGAAGAAACUGUCAAGCAAUAUUCUGACAGGAUUAUGGCUGUGGUUAACAGCAUCAGGCUCCUUGGAGAGCAGUUCAAUGAAGCUAGGAUAGUGGAGAAGGUUAUAGCAACUCUGCCUGAGAGGUAUGAGGCAAAAAUCUCAUCUCUCGAGGACUCAAGGGAUCUGUCCACCAUCUCCCUGACAGAGUUGAUCAAUGCUCUAUAUGCUCAAGAGCAGAGGAGAGCAAGCAGACUGGAGGAGCACCAAGAAGGUGCCUUUCAGGCAAGAGCAAAUACUGCCUACAAAGGCAAGAAGGCCUGGAGAGACAAGCCAAAGAAUGAUGCUGCAAGAAGAGAAGGUCAGACUUGCAAGCACUGUAGAAAGGCUGGUCAUUCAGAAGAAAAAUGCUGGUUCAAUCCAGAUGCUGUGUGUCAGCAUUGUAAGAAGAAGGGUCAUGUUGAGAGAGUCUGCAAGAGUAAGACCAAAUCGAGGCAGAAUCAGUUUCAACAGAUGAAAGCUGAGGCUCGAGUAGCAAAGGAGGACAGUGACCAAGAGGAGCAAGUCUUUGCUGUGUCAUGCUCAGCUGCUCAGGAAAGGUCCUCAUCUGGUUGGCUUCUAGACAGUGGAUGCACCAACCACAUGACACCUGAUGCUGCAAUCUUCAAGUCUUUAGACAGAAGCUGCAGAACUAAAGUCAAGAUAGGAAAUGGUCAUUUUAUCCAAGCUGAAGGCAAGGGUGAUGUGCUGAUAUGCACACUUACAGGUACCAAAGUGAUUUCAAAUGUGCUGUUGGUGCCUGAAAUUGAAAGAAACCUGCUCAGCAUAGCUCAGUUGCUGGAAAAAGGUUAUUCAGUUGUGUUUAAAGACCACCAGUGCCAAAUCAGUGAUCCAAGUGGAUCCAAACUGAUGGCAGUCCCUACGGCUGAUAAGAGCUUUGUGGUUGACUGGACAAAAAAGUCAGACAUUGCCUACACAGCCACUUCAGAUGAAUCCAAGCUGUGGCAUCAAAGAUUGGGACAUGCCAACUUCAGAUCGAUGGCUCGAAUGGUCAGAGAGGACCUGGCUGAAAAUUUCAUCAACUUAGUGGACCAUGAUGAUGUAUGUGAUGUAUGUCAGCUAGGAAAGCAGGCCAGACUCCCAUUUCCCUCGAAUCAAGCCUGGAGAGCCUCUGAAAAACUCCAACUGGUGCAUACUGAUGUGUGUGGCCCUAUGAAGACUGAGUCAUUAAGUGGAAACAGGUAUUUCAUACUGUUCAUUGAUGAUUUCUCGAGAUAUUGCUGGAUUUAUUUUUUAAAACAGAAAUCAGAAGUGGCCUCAGUGUUUUGGAAGUUCAAGACUGCUUCUGAGACUGAAACAGGCUGCAAGCUGAAGACCAUAAGGUCUGAUAAUGGGACUGAGUACACCUCAGCUCAGUUCCAAGCCUUCUGUGAUAAGGCAGGCAUCAAACAUCAACUUACCAACACAUAUUCACCUCAGCAGAAUGGGGUAAGUGAAAGGAAGAAUAGGAGUUUGAUGGAUAUGGCCAGGUGCUUGAUGAUUCAGAAAAAUCUGCCUAAAGCACUAUGGGCAGAAGCAGUUAACACUGCAACAUACAUUCAAAAUAGACUUCCAACCAAGGCUUUGGAUCAAAAGACCCCAUUCGAGGCCUGGUUUAGCUUCAAGCCAUCAUUGGCUCAUCUGAAGGUCUUUGGAUGCAUCUGUUAUGCACAUGUACCUGCUGUUAAAAGGGACAAAUUGUCUGAAAGGGCUCGACCUGGUGUUUUGGUGGGGUAUAGCACUGUUAAGAAGGGCUAUAGGAUUUUAGAUCCUUCAACAAACAAAGUGUCAAUAAGCAGGGAUGUGGUAUUUGAUGAGAGGUCAUGUUGGAACUGGGAAAGACAUGAACCUGAAGAAGUUUCUGAAGAACUUGCAGUAGACCAAGCUGAGCCAGACCAAAAUGUCCCUGAAAUGGAUAUUGAUGAUGAACCAGUCAGAGGAACAAGGUCAUUGGCUGAGGUUUAUGAAAGGGCUCAUGUAGCCAUAGCUGAACCAAGCAACUUUGAAGAGGCUGAGGCUCAACAAGGGUGGAAGCAGGCAAUGGCUGAGGAGAUCAGCAUGAUUGAGAAGAAUCAGACCUGGAAAUUGGUUGAAAGGCCAGUCAAAAGGAAGGUGAUUGGGGUGAAAUGGGUGUACAAAGCCAAGCAGAAUGCUGAUGGUACCUUGAACAAGCUAAAAGCAAGGCUAGUGGUCAAGGGGUUCAGUCAAAGGUAUGGCUUGUACUAUUUGGAGACCUUUGCACCAGUGGCCAGGCUCGACACCAUCAGACUGCUGAUUGCCUUAGCAGCACAGCUCGAAUGGAAGAUUCAUCAACUUGAUGUGAAAUCAGCCUUUCUGAAUGGUUUCUUAGAUGAAGACAUCUAUGUUGAACAACCACAAGGGUUUGAAAUAGCUGGCAGAGAGCAUAUAGUCUACAAAUUGAAGAAGGCCCUAUAUGGCUUAAAACAGGCUCCAAGGGCCUGGUACAGCAGAAUCGAUGGCUACUUGACUGAUCUGGGAUUCAAUCGAAGCAAGAGUGAGCCAGCACUGUAUGUCAAGAAGCAAGGGACACAAACACAACUCAUUGUGUCCCUAUAUGUUGAUGACCUGCUGGUGACAGGAGGAGAUCAAGCAGUGCUGGUUAAUUUCAAGACCAAGAUGCAAGAGGUAUUUGAAAUGUCUGAUCUUGGGAAGAUGUCCUAUUUUCUUGGAAUGGAGGUGACUCAAGCACAGAAUGGGAUAUUUUUAAGUCAGAAGAGCUUUGCCACAAAGAUUCUGACCAAGUUCUCCAUGCAAAACAGCAAACCAACUAAAACACCAGUUGCUGUUGGAGAAAAACUAUCGAGCCAAGGAGAUUUUGAGAAGGUAUGUGAAACUACCUACAGGAGUCUAGUUGGUUGUUUGCUAUACUUGACUGCCACUAGACCAGACAUAAUGUAUGCUGUAGGAUUGCUCUCAAGGUUCUUGCAUUGUUGCAAUGAGAAGCAUUUCCAGGCUGCCAAGAGAGUGCUCAGAUAUGUCAAAGGCACUUUGGACUAUGGCUUAAGGUACAGCAGGAAAGGAAAUCUAAAUCUAGUUGGGUACACUGAUAGUGACUGGGCUGGAUCAAUAGAUGACAUGAAAAGCACCUCAGGGUAUGCUUUUAACCUUGGUUCAGCCAUGUUCUGCUGGAGCUCGAAGAAGCAAAGUCUGGUGGCACAAUCUACUGCUGAAGCAGAGUAUGUGGCAGCAGCAAGUGCUGUCAACCAAGCCAUUUGGCUUAGGAAAAUCCUGGCUGAUUUGAAUAUGGAUCAAAUGGAAGCAACAGAGAUCUUCUGUGACAAUCAAUCUGCAGUUGCAAUUGCUAAAAAUCCAGUGUUCCAUGGUAGAACAAAACAUUUCAGCAUCAAGUUACAUGUUGUUCGAGAAAUGGAGCAAGCUCAGGAAGUAAAGCUGAUCCACUGUAAUUCAGAGGAUCAACUUGCUGACAUUUUAACCAAAGCUCUUAGUGUCACAAGGUUUGAAUAUCUAAGAAAGAUGCUAGGUGUUUGCUCCAUGCAAACCAAGGAGGAGUGAUGAAGUUGGUUCAGCAUGCAGCAAACUCGACAGCAUGCAGGCCAUCAAGACCAAGUCAUGCAGGAGCUGCUGGAACGAGCUGAACUAUUCCUAUUUUGUUCAACUUGUAAUCUUAAGUUAAUGUAAUGUACUUUAGUUCAUUUAGAACUAUGUUAGGUUUAUGACUGAUGUAUUUUGAUGACAAUUAAGCUGUUAAGUCAGCUUUGUUUAAGUGUGCAAGCUUAGUUUUUCAAGUUUCAAUGUAUUAGUGGUAGUAGGUGAUGAUUAGGUAUCAUUAUGCAGAUUUUUACAAGCAAAUUGCUUGGUUUAUGUAUUGGCAUUAUGCCAUUGUUCAACUAAUGAAUAGAAUCAGUUUUUGUUCAUCAAUUUUCCUCUCCAUUUUCUUAGCUUUUUCUUUCUUUCUUCUGGCUUGAAUUUCUCUUGUUUGCUCAGCAAGUCUCGAGACUUGGUUGACAAGAUAUUGCUGAGGCUGCUUGAUUCUGUUAUUGCACCAACACAUCCCCAUGGUUGCGAAGGUAUCUAUAAUAUGCUCAUAUUACCAUUUCUUUUUCAUUGUUCUGCUCCUUUUUUGCCACUUUAGGAGUGAUCUGUUUUCUUUUAAUGAUUUCCAGAUAUUGAUGAGUGCAAAGAUUCGAGGCUACACAAUUGUAUUUCUAAAAGGAAUUGUGUUAAUAAGCCUGGAACUUAUAAAUGUUUUUGCACAAAAGGCUUUAAUGGGGAUGGCGAAAACGAUCGAAAGGGCUGUAUGCGAAAUCAAGCAAAUGUCAUAAAAAUCUCUAUUGGUAGGUGUUUCAAUGAAUGCGUUUUUUAUCGUAUUGGAUCGAUUCUAGCUUUAGCUUUUAUAUAACACAUACUGCUUAGAUCAUUUCCAACAUUUUAGCUGGUGUUUUAUGGCAGUUAUUGGCGUAUGUGUGCUGGUUGUUAUUGUGGGUUCUUCAUGGUUGUUCUUCAUAAACAAGAAAAGAAAGCUACUCAACAUGAAAAAGAAGUUCUUUAAGCAAAAUGGUGGCUUACUGUUACAGCAAGAGCUACAUGAACAACGAGUAUCAACUGAAACCGUUAAGAUUUUCACUGCAGAAGCGCUUAAGAAUGCAACCAAAAACUAUGAUGAGAGCCAAAUUAUUGGAAAGGGAGGGUUCGGCACUGUUUACAAAGGUAUCCUGAAGAAUGGCACUGAGGUAGCUAUCAAGAAAUCCAAAGUUGUUGAUCAAAGCCAAAUUAAGCAGUUCAUCAAUGAGGUUAUUAUUCUCACCCAAAUAAACCAUAGAAAUGUGGUCAAGCUUUUAGGUUGUUGCUUGGAGACUGAGGUCCCCUUGUUGGUUUAUGAAUUUGUUUCCAAUGGCACCUUAUCCGAGCACAUCCACUGUGAAGACAAAGCUUCUUCGAUUUCUUGGGGAAUUCGGUUAAGGAUAGCUAUGGAAUCAGCUCAAGUGUUGUCAUAUUUGCACUCUGCAGCUUCUAUACCAAUCAUUCAUAGAGAUGUGAAGCCUACAAACAUCCUCCUGGACGACAAUUAUACUGCAAAGGUUUCGAACUUCGGAGCUUCACGGUUAGUUCCGAUGGAUCAAACUCAGUUAUCAACGAUGGUGCAAGGAACUCUUGGAUAUUUAGACCCUGAAUACUUGUGUACAGCGCAACUGACAGAUAAAAGCGAUGUCUACAGCUUUGGUGUAGUCCUAGUUGAGCUGCUAACGGGCAAAACUGCGCAUUCUUUUGAAGGGCCUGAAGAAGAAAGAAACUUAGCGAACCAUUUUGUUCUAUGGUUGAAAAAUGAUCGAUUGUUUGAGAUUCUAGAUGAUAAAGUGGCGAAAGAAGGAGCGGUUGAGGAGAUUAAAGAAGUAGCAAAACUAGCAAAGAAGUGUUUAAACGUAAAAGGUGAAGAGAGGCCUUCAAUGAAGGAAGUUGCACAAGUGCUUGAGGAUGUAAGAAGACUCAGGUGCGAACAUCCAUGGGCUGAAGUUGCUAUUAAUUUGGAGGAAACAGAGUUUCUGCUUGGAGAAACAUAGAUGUUUCUACUAAUAACAGCAGCCAAGGCUUCACAACAAUGGCGGUGUAGUUGUUUAGCAAGAAACCAGAUAAUUAUAUAUAUAUGUAUACAUAUAUUUGUGAUCUUUGUUGAUUUUAAAUUUGUUUUGGGACAUUUUAGGUGUUCAUAUUUUGAUGCUUAUAUGUAAGAUUCAGUAGUAAAUAAAACAGCCCUCGAGGUGUUUCAUCUUCAGUAGUAAAAUUAGAGAGGUGCAACCACUCUCUAAAACCCACCUGGAAGGACAUAUUGUGGAGGGCAUUGAUGAGGUUAAGGAGGUUGGCGGCAUUGGAGAAUGAUGCAGCUGACUUGGCGAGGGCUUCAAGGUACUUU
rnacentral:lncRNA from 1 species